rnacentral:lncRNA from 1 species
UUAAAGAAGAGCGAGAUAAACAUUCAAACCUUGUAAAAAUCGGGGAAGAAAUUGUGAAAAAGUGUGGAGGAAUUCCUCUGGCAGUCAGAACACUAGGAAGUCUAUUAUAUUGCUCAACAGAUGAACAUGAUUGGGAAUAUGUGAGGGAUAACGAGAUAUGGAAGUUAGAGCAAAAGGCAAAUGACAUUUUACCUGUUCUGAGGUUCAGUUAUGAUCAACUACCGCCUCGCCUGAAACAAUGUGUUGCUUAUUGCUGUAUCUUUCCAAAGGAUUAUCAAUUUUCAAGUGUUUAUUUGGUUCAAUUUUGGAUGGCUCAAGGACUUCUCCAUCCACUUAAUGAAAAUGAUGAACUAGAUGACAUUGGCAUGCGGUCCUUGAAGCAACUAUGUUCAAGAUCUUUCUUCCACGAUUUGGUACGAGGAUUUGAGAUGUUCACUUUCAAAAUGCACGACCUCAUCCAUGAUCUUGCACAGCUAGUGGCCAAAGGUGAAUUCCUAAUAGUGAACUCUGACUGUCAAUCUAUUCCCAAAAGAGUCCGCCAUUUGUCAUUUGUGGGUGCUAAUGCAUCAAGAAAAGAUUUUUCAAGCUUUUUAUCUGAUUUAGGUCGUGUGAGAACCAUUUUCUUUUCAAUUAAUGAUGAGAAGGUAAGCCAAUCAUUUGUUAGAUCAUGCAUCUCAAAGUCACAGUUCCUGAGAGUGCUAAAUUUAAGUGGCUCUGCUAUUGAGGCUUUGCCAAGAGAGAUAGGUAAUUUGAAGCAUAUGAGAUAUCUUGACCUAUCAAGAAAUUAUAAAAUCAAGAAACUUCCAAAUGCCAUUUGCGAGCUGCAAAGUUUACAAACACUGAAUCUUGAAGAAUGUCUGGAGCUAGAAGAGUUGCCUAAAGAUAUAAGGUACCUUGUUAGUCUCAGAGUGUUUGAGGUAACCACAAAGCAGAAGUCUUUGCAGGAGAGUGGAAUAGGGUGCUUGGUUUCUCUUCGUUGUUUGAUAAUCUCUCAUUGCAGGAAUUUGGAAUAUUUGUUCGACGAUAUAGAUCAACUAAGUGUCCUUCGAUCAUUAUUAAUUGCUGAUUGUCCCCGUCUAAUCUCAUUGCCACCUGCCAUGAAAUACCUCAGCUCAUUGGAGACUCUAAUGUUUGGUGUGUGUGAAAGCCUUAGUCUUAAUUUGAGCAUGCAAUUGGAAGGGGAAGGAAGUCAUCAAGCUCGCAAUACCACAAGGCCUCACCUUCGGAAACUUCUCAUUGCCGGAGUAACACCGUUAUUGGAAUUGCCACAAUGGCUUCUUCAAGUUUCUGCUAGAACUUUACAAAACUUAUUUAUUGCAAAUUGUCCCAACUUCAUGGCACUACCAGAGUCACUGAGAAAUUUCGAAGCACUUGAGGGUCUUGUCAUUGGGAAUUGUCCAAAAUUGUCAUCGUUGCCGGAGGAUAUGCUUCACUUGAAAACAUUGAGGAUUAAAGGCUGUCCUGCACUGAGUGAUAGAUGCAAACUGCUAACAGGUGAAGAUUGGCACAAGAUUUCCCAUGUCGCUCACAUUAAGCUUGAUGACGAGAUAAUUAAAUCAAGUGAUAUUUAGGUAUGGAUUAAUCUCUCCUUUGUUUUUCCUCUUUUCAUUCGAGUUUUUACUUUUGAAUUUCUCAUCUAGCUAUACCGUUUAUAGUUUGAUGUUUUGUUCUGUUUACCGAACAGAAACUUGUUGAAUGUUAAUUAGUUAGUUAGUUCAAAUUUGUACUAAUUUCUUUUCUUCUAAUAAAUGAUUAGUUUGUUAAUACAAACUCCAGCAUAUUAUUUGGAAAACCGAACCAUUCUUGGGGUUAUUUAUAUCUGUUUCUAUAUCCAAACGGUUCAGGAAUUUUCAGAACGGAAGUUAUAAUGGGAUUUUCUUAAUUAGCCAGUUAUCUUCGUAUGGAACCUUAUUCACAUAAAAAAAGAGCUUCUGAAAUUUCAAUUUUUGUUAAUAUUUUAACUCGCGCCGAAGCAUCUAACAAUUUGUCCUCUAUUUUCUCUUCUUUUCUUUUCUUUUUCCCCAAAUAUUGCAGCUUUCUUCGGAGAGGUUCAGGGAAGCUAUAGAGACAAUGAAAUUAUUACUGUAAUGUUGUUCGGAACAGAGGUUCAACGGUUUUAAUGUUGUGUUUAAAUUUGCAAGUAUUAUAUAUUCAUUACUUAUGAUAAGUACAUCGAGUGAUGUAUAUAUGCGUGCUUGUAUGACCAUGACUGAUGACCUUAAAUAUGUAUGUGCCUGUGUUAUCAUGACUGAUAACCUUAAAUAUAAUACCAAUAAUGUUGUAGAAUUUCUGAAAUUCUCAUGACGAACAAUUUAUGUAAUUUAUAGUCUGUUCUUUCUCCUCCCUCGGCAGUCAGUAAUAUAAUUUGCAUUGCCUGCGUUGCUUAGCCCUACAUAAUUUGCAGAUAUAUAUAUAUAUUUUUUUGAAGAGUAUUGAUGUGUUGUAUUUUGUGCUUUGUGAUUGAUGACUUACAUUUUCCCAGGAAAAAAAGGGGAAACGGAUAGGCUUCUUGAAUUUAUCCAGUUAGUUUUUUGAAUGGUAACCUUUUAGGAUAUGACUCGCAUGUUAAUUAGUAGCAAUUGGCCUGCUACUAAUUAGAUAUUGAAUUUUGGCCUUGAGGUGAAAUUAGUGAGCAUGUUUCUUCAGGAUCUUUUUUUUUUUUAUAGGACACUUGAAGAAGAAAAUUCAUGUUUUUGCGAUGCUUCUUUCUCAAUACAAAAUGACUAAUUAGAAAGAAUACUUAUUAUAAUAGAACCUAGAAUUUGUAUGUAUCUUAGGAUGAAAAUUCUGUACAAUAAAAAGUCUUAAAGUGUUGUCGAUCGACACUAUCACCUUAUCAUAUUACCAUUCAAUUUUUCAUUUUUAUCUAAUUAAAAUGAAAAAUUAAAGUUGAUACGAGAAAAUUACAGAAGAUUGGAACUUGAAGGGCAAUGUUAAUUUUGAAACGGCACCAUUUAAGCUCCAACUACUCUAUAUAUCAGCUGAGACAGAGAGAGAUGGUUUCAGCAUGCAAGCAUGUAUGUUGAGAGAAACGGAUGAAAUCACUAAAUUGUUGGGGGUAGAGGAGGCGGGAGAAGAGAUGGUUUCCAUUUCGGCCCUAGCUUUCCUUCAUUUGGUUGACAAAAGUUCAUCAGAAUUCAAACUCCGUUACAUCGUUACGGGUCUUUUGUUUAUUUAUUUUCAAUGUCUUAUUAUGUUUUUAAUUAUGAGCUCAUGAGUUGAGUACUUGAGUUUGAGUCUAGUGAGUCCAGGAUCGUUAAGUUGGACCAAGACUCGUGGGAACAAUUAAUUUUUCUCCAUUUCUUUGAGAUUUGAUCAAUAAAUUAGUUUCAGUUAUACUAAUUAUUCAAUUAUUUUAAAUUAAACCAACUUGUGUUGAGAGGCUAAAGUUCCUUUAUUAACCUUAAACUCUUAGCUUAAAAUUCCCUUUAUCAUAGAGUUCAACGAAAAUAAAGGAUGUUUGAUCCUGAACAAGAUGUCUAUUGUUUGCAGCUGAUUUUGGGUCAAUGAAUAAAAAACCAUAAAACCAACCCAAGAGCAAUAAAUUUAUAUUUUUGUCGGGGAGCGGGGUACCUCGCUUGUUUAGACUUUUUGUGGAGCAAAGAAGGAUUGAGAUGACGGAGGAUAUGGAGGGGGUCUGACUUUAGGUGCGGAGGGCUGGUGAAACUCGCCUUAAACCUGCGAAACAACAAAAAACGAGGUCAGAGGUGGAGCUGGGGGUGGCCGGCGACCACACUCCGACGCUCAAGUCAGAGUUGGGUUAUCUCAGGUUAGAGAGCUUGCAAGCUCUCGGUAAUGGAGAUUUUGAAGUUGAAGAAACUCUAGUUCUUUCUGGUGAGUCUGUUCCCCCCUUGAUAAAAAUCAAACCUGAGUAUUUAUAUGGUGUACCCCGGUCGCCGUGCCACCUGGCGCUAUUUUAGUGGCGUUCCUUGCUGUAAUGUCAAGAAUAUUCUUAUUUUUAUGCGUAUGGCGGCUUAGACGUUUCAAAAAUAUGAGUGGAGAGCAAGUUUGUGGCGUAUUCACGUGCUGGGCGUAGUGGAGUGGUCCCGCGUACCUCUGCAAUUCCGUUGUAAUUUUGCAGGCGUAGCAGGAAAAGCUGGUGGUCCCAACUGUCACAAUAUCACACUUUUAGCGGAUUCGCUGGCGUGACAGGCGCCUGUCUCCUCUUUUGCGGCACGAGAUUUCCUUAUUUUUUGACACGUAUCAAACCGAUCUUUUUGAGAUUCGGGGCCCACAUAUCCCUCCACAUAUUUACGAACACUUUUGUAUCCUUUCAUGGUGUACCCGAGGUACCCGAGAUAAAUUAAUCUCUUAUCGACACGUGGCGCUUCAUCAUUGGCAUCAUAUUUCCUUCCCAAACAUCUAUUAUAGUCUUCUUAUAUUGUCUGUUCAAUAUCAUUUUUACGCCUUUAUUUUACUUUUGAGCUGUAACAUUGAGUCACAUUCUUUUUGCUGUUAUUAUUUCGAUUAGUGACUGGUACAGUGGUAUUUGAACUGCAUAGUAUGUCAAACUUUCGCUCUAUAUGCCUUAGAAACUCUGUACAUCACUAAUUUCCUAGCACAGGCCUUGUUGACUGUCAAAGAUUUGAAGCAUAUUUCUGGAUUGAAGGCUUUUCUGUAGUCGAUUUGAUGAUAAGCACAUUUAUUAUCUCCAAUAUUUUAAGCAGUAAUUUGUAACUAGUAUUUUAAACACGUCAAGAGCCGCUACAAUCAUAGAGCUUGGAGCCCAUCAGGCCAUCACAGCGGCGAGAGUACAAAUGAGUUCGUGGGUCUACUCACUAAUGGACUAAAGCCUAUUCACAAGAAUUCCAAGAACGGCUCAUCGCCACACGUCCCUGGGGUUUGUACGUGCGGCCGUCCACUUCAUGUUCAUCUUUUAUGUACAGAGACUGGACACGUGCUAGCAUCUUAAGAACGUCGUCACGACAAGAGCCGUUCGUUUCCACAGCCAUCAAAACAAGUUGGCUAAGGAAGGCGACUAGUCAAUAAAUCAACGGUCGGUGAGCGGCAGAGCCAAUGGGUCCGCCUACCUUGCAACACUUGCAUUGUACCCCAAACUUUGUCCUUUUCUGAUUCAGCCAAUAAAUUUGAUGACUAAAGUGUUCAACGGAUGAGAUGUGUUCAAUUGAUUAUUAACACCUAAAUCUCUAUUGUUUAUUAUAAUGUUAUAAAAACUAAAUUUUUUUAAAUAUUUGUUUAUAUAACUCUUACUAUUUUAAAUUUUUUAAAGUUUGAUCUAUUGACCUAACUUAAUUAUAAAAAUAAUUGAUGGUGUAAAGAUAAUAAUAUAAUAUCACAUAAAAUUUUUUAAAACACGUGAAAAUUGAUAAAUGUAAACAAUAUUUCUUUUGUUAUAUAAUCUAUAUUUAAUAUAGAAUAAAUAAACUGAAUAUGUAUUAAGAAUAUAGGUUAUUAACCUUGCAAUACUUUAGAAAAAUAUAAAAUAAAAAAGGUAAAAUUUCAAAAUAAGAAACAUGUAAAAAGUGUUAGGUUGUAAAAUUUUAUCAUUUUAAUAUUGCAAAACUUUACUUUUUUUUAAUUAAAUUUUUGUUUCUAACAUUAGUUGACAUGCUAGUUUAUUUAUACAUACAAUGUGUUAAUGUACCUAUAAAAUAUCAAUAUUACUCUUGAAAUUUAAGGGAGCCAUUUUAAUUUUUUAAAAUUUUAAAUGUAGCCCAACAAAGUUAUAGAAAGAUAAAUAAAGAAUAAUAUAAAAAGAAGUUAUUUUUUAAAGAAUAUUUCAAAAGAAUUCGAGAUUUAUGUUUCUUGAGAAUUGUCCUUUUUUUUAGAUAUUUGAGCUUAUGAAUCUUUUUGUAAUGAUAAUUUAUUAUUUAUUCUUGAUUAAAAAUAAUUGAAUAGUAAAUUUAUUGGUUUCUGAAUACUCUUUUAAAUGUAGAGCAGCAACUUAAUUUUUAUUAUGUCAGCCUAAAUUUUUUUAUGAUAGCUAAUCAACUAUCUCAAAAGACUUUGCCACCAUUAUGUUUACUUUUUCUAUAUCUUCUAGACCAUCAUCGCUCUAAGAACUAAGGAUUCGUUAGGCAUACUGUACUAUAUUAUAUUAUAUUACAUUAUUUAAUAUAGGUGUAUUGUAUUAUGUUAUAUUGCAUUAGCAGUAAAUUAUAAUAAUAUAGUACAACAUUUGGUAAUUGGUAUUACAUUGUAUUGCAUUAAUUUUAAAUUAAGAUUAAGCUACCAUUUUUUUAAUUUAUUAUUAAUUAUAUUAAAUUAUUAUUUUUAUAUAAAUAUAAUAUGAUAUAAUAAAAUAAUAUUAUACUAUAAUUUAUUUUUAUAUUUUUAUUUUUAUUAUAAAAAUAAAAAUAUAAUAAAAAUAUAUUUAAUGCUCAAUUAAGGCAAAAUAAUAAUAAUAAUAACAAUAGUAUUAUUUAAAACGAAAAAAUCUAUAAAGUUUAAUGAUGAUGAUGAUGAUGAUGAUGACAUUAAUAAUAACAUAAUAAUUAAAAUAAUAAAAUUAAUAAAUUUUAAUAAUAUUUAUAUUAAUAAGAUAAUAAUUAAAACAAUAAAGUUAAUAUAUAGUAAUGACUUAAUUAAAGUAAUCAUAAUAAUUAAAAUAAUAAAAUUAAUAAAUUUUCAUAAUAAUAAUAAUAAUAAUUAAUGACAGUAAUAAAAAUAAAAUAAUAAAUUAACAAAUUUUAAUGAAAACAACAAUAUUAAUAAGAUUAAUAGUGAUGAUGUUUAUGAUAGUAAUAAUAUAUAACAACAAUUAAAAUAAUAAAUUUCAAUAAUAAUAAUAUUAUUAUUAUUAAUAUAAUAAUAAUGAAAUUAAUAAAUAAUACUAAUAAUAACAGUUAAAAGUUUUUUUAAAAGCCAUUUUAUUAAAAAAGGAUUUAUGUAUAAAACUUUGUAACUUCUAGUACUUAUUCUAUUUUUUCAUAGAAUAUAAGAUAGUGCAGUGUAAUUAAUUCAAAAAGACUAAUGUUGCGUUUACUUUUUGGAUUGGAGUGGGAAUCCUGAGGAGUGGGAAUCCUUGGAUUAGGAGUGUGGAGUGGGAGUGUGAGUAGGGUGUUUACUUAGACUAAAUGAAAGUAUGGAUUGUCAAUUAGAAUCCCAAUUAUUUGUUUACUUUGUCUUGGAUUGGGAGUAAAUUAUUUUAAAUUACAAUUUUAUCCUUAUGUACAGAAUUAUAAUUUGUAAUUAAAAAAUUAAUAAAAAAUAUAUUUGGAAAAUAAAAUAAAUAUUUUAUUAUAUUUAUAAAUUAAUAAUAAUUACUAAUAUUCUUAAUUAUGUAAAUCAUAAUUUUUUAUUAAUUUUAAUUUAAAUUAUGUGAAUAAAAAUUAUUAAUAAUAGCAACACAAAUGAAAUAUUAUUAUUGAUAAUAUAGUACAAAAUUAAUAUUUUUUAGAAUAAAAUAUUUAUUAUUAUUAAUUAAAUAAAUAAUUAAUAUUUAUUAAAAUUAAUGUUUAAUAUUAUUAAUUUAAAUAUAAUAUUUAUUUAUUUUUAUUUUAUUAAAUUUAAUAAAAUAAAUAUGAUAUAAUUAUUAUUUUUAAUAAAUAUGAUAUUAUUUAUUUUAUGAAAUAUUAUUUAUUUAUUUUAUUAAAUUUUAUUUAUUUAUUUUAAUUUUAUAAGGAUAAAAUGGGAAGAGGGAGGAGUGGAUUCCCACUCCCACCUCCCCCAAUGGGAGUAGGAAUCCCACUCCCCACUCCAAAUUUGGGUGGGACCCACGGAUUCCCACUCCCACUCCCCUUUUUUUUGAGGUAAGUAAACACUGGAGUGGGAGGAAUCCACACUCCACACUCCCACUCCAAAAAGUAAACACUGCCUAAAUUCAGUGGUAUGCUGCAACCGUUGCAACAUAAUUUCAUCCCACUUUUAACAACUAUAAAAAAUUUUCAACGAUAAAAUAGGAGGCUAAGGAAACAAUAAAAAAUGUGCAGAAAAGUUGUUAAUAAAGAGGAAAAACGAAAGCUCCAUCUCCAACAAUGCCGCGUACAGCGUGGACCGACUUUUGCUGGUCGGAUAAGAAAAAUAAGAACCGUGUUCGGUAACACAGAUUGUGGCACGUGGUGUGCGUCUAUUGGGCCUGAGUUGUGGUGGACCCAUAUGGGCCAUGAGUGUUUAAAAUCCAAUAAUAUAUCCGCCAGGACUCAGCUUUCGUCUUAAGAUAUAAAAAACGCGGACAGCUGUUCACCUUGUUCAACGCGGUUACUUUCAUCAGCAUCGUCGUCAUUAUCAUACUAAACAAAAGCUUACCCCACCUGCGGUCAAUCCUUACCCACUACCGAAACUACCCUUGUCUCAACAUUGUUUUUGUCGCCUACUAAACUCUAAAGCAGGGCAAUUUUGGAAUGGAAUUAAGCUACAGCAGAUGAUUAACGCGACCGCAUUAGCUACAAUAAAGUAGGUUUAAUUUUGGUUGGUGAAUAGUCGAUCCAACCCUAGUUCUUAGAGAUCACUACAAACUGACUCCCUAGAUACACUAAAAAAAGUCCCAUUUCAGCACAUAUACAAGAGUCGAGAGCCCUCAUUUUUCUUUGCUUCAGCCAUUUUAUAGCAGUGUCAUCGCAAACACCUUGAGCUCUAUCGAAUCAUCGAAGACAAUUUGUGAUUAGCGGGAGAAUUACAAGAAAGGUACAACUACUUCAAAUUGAUAGAUCUGUUUAUAUGAUUCAGCGAUAGUUUUAUAUAUGGUUAGGUUAUGACAAUAAUCAAGAGUUAAUCAUGUACAUCAUCAGUUACAUAAAUGCACAUACUAAUUUAUUCCUCUACUUGCCAGAAUCAUACAUGUAAAAUGAGAUGAAUUUUAAUGUUUAAAACUUUGCAAUUCAUUAAAAUUUUAGUGGGAUAUUAAUUGGUAAAAUCACUCAGUGUUAGUAUAAGAAGUUUGUGAAUUGUGAUUCCAUCAGUUUAUGUGGGUGGAGCGAGAAUUAUUUUUUUAAAAAAUAAUUAAUAAUAAUAUUAAUAAAAAGACAUAAAUUUCAAGGUUUAAACUUUACAAUUCAUUAAAAUCUAGAGAGAUAUAUUGCGUAAAAAAUUUGUAUCUAAUUAAUUUUCAGGUAGGGGGAUAUAUAUAUAUAUAUAUAUAUAUUAAUUUGGAUAAUAUUUAGAUACCUCCCCUGAGGUUUGACAUAUUUUUAGAUAGAUGGCGAAGAUGUGUUUAUUAGUGAAAACCCCCCUGCCGUUAGUUACUUUUCUGCUUGACUGUAAGUUCACAUUUAAAAUACAAUAUUGCCCUUGACAGCUUUUGGCAUGCCUGACAUGCCUCAAACCUUAAUUAAAGCAUCUGCUCCAAAAUCACUGCUACAAAAUUUGAUGAAACUACCCUCACGAUGUAUGUUAUUUACAACUGUAUCAAACAAAUAAUACGAUAAUUUUCCCUUAAUUUAACAUUUAAAAUUUACAAAUAAAACCAAAUAAAAAGAAAAAAAAAAUGAACGUUAAAUUGUUGCCUUCCAAAGUCUUUCAAUAGAAUGCUAGAAUGCUGGAUGAAUCAGACAAAAGCAAACUAAUGAAAACUAACAGCAACUAAUAAGUUCUAAACUGCAGUGGUGUGCACUUAAUAGUAGCCACACUACAAACAAACAAAUUAAGAUUCAAUGCCACCAAAGUAAUCGAUAGCUUAUUUUAAUCCAUCACGGGUCUAGUGUCGUAACUACAGUACUAACAAACAUAAUAUUCCACUCAAAUAUGAAUUCAAUUGAAUUUAGCACAACUGAGAAGUGAAGCUUAAAUUGAAUAUAAAACCAAAUAUUGCAUUUCAGUAUCAAAUAAUUUAAACAGUAUUAGUUAUAGCUAGAAUUAACAACAUUCACAAAGCAGGCAAUAUAGCUGCACACAAUAGGCUCCUCGUAACUCAUGUCCAAUCUGCAGGAAUAGCAAGCUUGCGAUAUUACUUGUCUUUGGCAACAUGAAUUUUUCAUAUACAAAAAAAUCAAAAUAAGAAAAAACUCAAACCUAUGCAUAGUCUGAGAAGAAGAUGAUAUAUCCGCCUUUCUAUUUUUACCUAUCAAAAUGUGUUAUAUCAUCAAAUCAAUCCCUUCAAAUAUCAGUUGGUAGGAUUAGAUUAUGCUUCAAUGCUUUGGUUUUCAAUGCACCUUUAGUUGAUCUGCUUCAUUGCUGGAUGCUAUGGGUCAAGUAGUUUCAUUCUUGGGUAAGCUAUCUUGGUUUCUAGAAGCAAAAAAAAAAAAAAAACAAUAAAAAUGAAAAACGAUAUUAAACAUAAACCAAUGGUUACUGACUACAUUUAAAAAAAAAAAAAACUAAUGUGGAUUGGAAUUAAAAUCUCAGCAUUAUCACAGGCGUUGGACUAGCACAGGACAAUCUUCGCAGCUAUACCACUUUCAAGAUGCUGGGAACUACAACUUACACAUCCAUCAACACUUGUGACACAAUCCACAACAUAUAUAAGCAAUGAAUGAAGUUAUGCUCUACAGAGCAAUGUAUGAUGCACAAAAUCUUUAUCAAAUGCAGGCAAAAAAAAAAAUAAAUAGAAAACUCCACAAAAAUUUCAAGAUCAGGCAAAUUAAAAGAAAAUCAAAUAGAAAACUCCACAUCAUGGUGUCUUAGGUGAAAGGCAGCUUAAAAUUGUUUGCAUGCAUCAUCAUCAACUAACAUUAAACCCACUUUAACUCAGCAAAGUUCGGCAUCAAUUAGUCUACUUGUGUAACAAUUUUGAAGGUAGUGCUCUUCAAAUACAUCAGGAGCAUCACUAGACAUAAAAAUAAAACUAAGAAUAAAAAAUUCAAUUUUUUAACCCAUCUAAGUUGAAAUCAAGCUCUGAUUUAGCACCAACAUCAAACCCAUUUAAUCCAUCGUCAUUUAAGCUUCAGGAAAAUCACGGCUUAAUAAACUCAUCAACUUCUUUUUCUUUCCCCUUCCCCCUCCCCAAAAAAAAAAAAAAUUAGGCUUCUUCACUGUAAAUAAACCCACAACAAAUACUCGGACACGACCAACUAUCAAAAAAUGCAUUCUACAUUUUUAGUAAAGGCAGCAUAAAUGCACUCCAAAUGAACCCAAACAAUACUUGAAUUCGACACUGACCUGUUAUAAUUGGCUUCCCCAAAACAAUCUGAAGGUAUAAGACGCUGACAAAACUCAGAUCAAAACACAAGGUGCGGUGACUAUUGUUCCUUUACUUCACGUAAAGAUUGAGCACUGGACUGGUUUGCAUAUGACAAAGGUUUCGAUUUGAUUCUAACACAGAGCUAUACACGGAACUUGAAGAAAGAGAAAUAGGAAGCUUGAAAGAAAGAAAAAAAUAUAUAUUGAAAAUCCAACCAGGGGCAUUUUUGUCUUUCUAAUGUCAACUAACAGUCAAGCACGAAAUUAACUGACGGCAGGGAGUUUUUCACUAAUAAACGAAUCUUCGCCAUCUAAGUGCAACAAGCCAAAAACUGAGGGGAGGAAACUAAAAAUUACCCAUAUUAAUUUUCUAGUCUGAGAUUUUACAGUGCGGGAAAGUCCGGUAAAAUUUUAAAACCAUACGGUUUUGAAGACUUACAGUUUUAAGUUUUUUAAACCGUGCGGUUUUAAAGAUUUCUCAAACUUUUCCACACUUAAAAAUCUUGGACUGGAACACACACACACACACACACACACACACACACACACACACACACACACACACACACACAUAUAUAUAUAUAUAUAUAUAUAUCUAUAUAUAUAUUUUGUGAGGCUAUUUCCACACUUAAAAAUCCUGUAUGCAUUUGCUUGCCCCCAAGGAGCUGAAAGUUCUCAAAUUGUUUGUAGACGUAAUAGUUCUCCUGAUGUCAUUUGGCUUGCUAAUCUUUUUUGCUCGAAAAUUUGCCCAUUGUGUGGUCUUGACAGUGGGUGAAAUUGAUUCGUGGUUUCAGAUGAAGACAGCAGCAGAUGUGUGUGUGCUAUAUGACAUCGAGAAAAAGCAAAAGCCUUAAAUUGUUCAUCAACAUUUUCCAUUUCAGAAGAAUCUGUUUGUGGUUCUCCUGCUCGAGUGCCUACUUUUCAGUGUGCAAGCAUAUAUGUUGAGACCGGCAGAUGAAAUCACUAAACUUUUACAGUUGAUCUGAGGCUCCUCUAAAGAAUGAUUUGGAUUUUGGAAUUAAUUUGGGGAAAGGGAUUUUUUCUGGUAUAUGAGUGUAAGCAUUCCUUCAAUCACGUAGUUUUGUGCCAUUAACAUAAUGGCAAUUCUACAACUGGGAUAAUGAUAAUUUUGUGAUUGGGAACUCUUUACUGGUUUCUCUUUCGCCAUCUGUGUCUAUGAUUAAGGUUGUUUAAAGUGUUAUGGCUUUUAAUCUACAACCAUUGCGAAAUGGACUCACUAGCUGGCAAAUAAUAAAACAUAGUGCUGUCAAAUUUUGUAAGGAUUAUGUAUACACACUCUUUCGUCUUCAAUGCCCUGAAACCGGGUAACUACAUGUAUGAUUUUCAUUCAGAAAAACUGGCGAGAACUAAUGACUUUGCAGAUUAAAAAAUAAGUAGGAUUAUCAGAUUAUGUAGCAUUGUUAUGUAAUGUCUUGUGGUUUUUUUAAGGUUAAAGUUGGUUUGGAAAUUAAUUAAAAGACGAUUUUCAUUCUAUCAUAAGACGAGUUUUUAACAAGAGGAGAAGGUUCCUUUUAUAAUUUACUAAUUUAUACAACCUUUAAUAUUAAAAAAAAAAUUUAUAUAUUAAGGACGAUUAUUCUUGCUCACUUAGUAAGAUAUGUACAUAACAUAGAUGUGGUAAGCAAGGAAUCAAUUAUGUAUUUCUUGUAUCUGAAAAAAUGAAUCAUCCUUUAACGAGGGUUAUCAUCAAUUGCAGGUUUCUAGUUUGGUUGCUUGGUUUGAGGACUAUGAAUAUUACAUUGUCAUAACUAAAGGAAAGAAUAUUGUAUACACAGCACACUAUAAUUACCAAUUCUUUAUCUUAUAAUAUAAGUUCAUAGUGAUUAAUUUGUCCGUCUUCAGCCAAAAAAAAAAAAAAAGUCCCAUUUCAGCACAAAUACAAGAGCCCUCAUUUUUCUUUGCCCCGGUCAUUUUAUAGCAGUGUCAUCACAGACACCCCAAGCUCUGCCGAAUCAUCAUAGACAAUUCGUGAUUGCUGGGAGCAUUACAAGAAAGGUACGACUACUUCAAACUGAUGGAUUUGUUUGUAUGAUUUAGCUAUAGUUUUAACUUUUAACAAUAAACAAGAGACAAUCAUGUACAUCGUUAGUUACAUAAAUGUAGAUACUAAUUUAUUCCUGUACUUGCCAGAUCCAUACGUAUAAAAAUGAGAUAAAUUUUAAGGUUUAAAAAAUUUCAAUUCGUCAAAAAUCUAGUGCCAUAUUAAGCGGUAAAAUCACUUAGGGUUAGUACAAGAAGAGGUUUAUGAUUCCCCGACCCGUUUAUAUGUAGGGGUUGAGAAGGUAUUAGGCAAUAAAGAAUUAGUAAAAAUUAAUAAACAUAUUAUAAAAAGAAAUAAAUUUCAAGAGAGAUCGUAAAAGAUUGUAUUUAACUUAUCGUUAGUGGAAUGGAAUCUUUUUGGAGAGGCUAUAUUUGGCUUGGAACAUAUAUUAGAACAAGGUUAUUUGAACCCACCGCACUCUCCAAAAUCCACUUCUCAAUAAAAAUUUCAUUACAAAAUUUUUCUUAAUUAAAUUACUAUUUUAACCAAAUAUUAUGUUAAUUUAUCUCCCUAAAGCUUUUACUUUUUUCACCCUUUUUUCUUUUUUCCUCUCCGUCUCCCCAAUUUUUUUUUCUAGUCCUGUGUGGUUCUUAUACUUUAAGGCUUCUAUUGGAGUAAAAUCUCUAUUCAAAUUGCUUAUCCAAAAUUUUUUUUUUCUUUUAAAAUUUGCCUUUCCUUUACCCUCGAGUCACUAUUAGAUGUAUAUGCUCGUGAUGAAACUUUAGUAAUUGGAUUUCUAUUAAAUAUUUUAAUUUAAAAAAAUGAGAAGAUCACUAUAAAAAUAUCAAAAGAUCACAAACUUAAUUAUAGCAAUAAUUAAGGGAAUUAAAAUACUUACUAUUUCUGUUUGAACUUAUUAUUAUAAAGAAAGAAAGGGAAAAAAAAAGUCGCUGCAACUGCAUCAAUUGAGGACAUGUUAUGAAAAGUAUCAUAGAAAGUAGUGAGAGAAACAACUAAUGAAAAUUAAUGAUACUGAUUGAGGGUAUAUUGGGAAUAUUUGUGGGUUUUUUGAAUGAAAAAAUGAAAUUUUAAGUUGUGAUAAUGUGUUUAUUAUAUAAAUGGGUUUAUUCAGCAUUACAAUGGGUUUAAAUGGCUUUAUCCUUCAUAUUAUAAUACAUUUUUAUAUUACUAUAAUAGCCGUAAUAUAGAGGAUAAUGUAAUGAAAAUAUUGUUACUCUUAUACCUAUUAAAGAAACAAUAUUAUCUUGUACAGACAAGAACACUCCAGUGCUCAAGUGUAAAAGUUUUUUUUUUUUAUUACAUGAGACUAUUGCUCAAAUUACAACUCAUAUUACAUGAGAAUAUAACUAAUAUUUACAAAUCAGACUAUAACUGGGACCAACAUACAUCAAUGUUAAUGGAGCGCUGCCCAAAUUUUACUCCCACUGGGGUAAGGAAGCAGACUGCCUUCACUCAAAUUUAAUUGAGGAAGAAAAUACCCCCAUAAUGCAUUGUGGGGGUUCGAACUGCUGCUCUCCAAGUUGGAGAGCAACAGCUCACACCACUCGGCCAAAGGCCGAGUGCCUCUCAAGUGUAAAAGUUUUAGUAAAACGUAUAAGAACUCUUCAGUGUAAACAGAAUUUCGUCAAGGUGCUGUAAUAUAAUCUAAUGCUUUUUGGUAGUGUAAACUAUGUGUGCCACGUGUAGUAUUUCAAUCUUCACAAGUGGCAUUGUAAAUAGUGGCUCUUAUUUCAGUUCCUCGUAGGCACUCUAGAGACACACGUUAGCUUCGAAGCUAGUAUUUGGUCAUCAUGUGCUUCUUUUAAUGAAACAUGUGGUUCAUUUUAUCCUUAUACGAGAGCAUUUUGUGCAGAAUAACCAUGUCAAAUGCUCAUUUAUCAAGGACAUGUGUCGUGUUCUCAGAACAUAGUAAAAAUAUGAUACGCUAACCCAUGUACAUUCAUGGAAAAUCAAAUGAAAACAAAGAACUAAAAAAAAGUACAAAGGCUAAUUAAUAAUGUUUGAGUUUGAGAUGAUUAAUAUUUAAUUUUAUGGUUGUAAAGAUAAGAAUAAAAGUAGGUCUAGUGAGGACUAUCCUCAUAUUAUAACACUAUUUAAAAUAACUUUUGUUAUAAAAGAUUUUAUUCAAUUAGGUAUAGAGACCGUUCAAACUAUAUUUUAGGUACAAACUCAUCUAUUUGACAUAAUAGUAUGCCUCAUAAUAGGACUAACAUUGGUCAAAUCAACCUAUUUCGAUAAGAUCCAUCGAAAUUAAUAUUUAAAAGACUUAUCACCUCAUUAUACAAUACACAACUUUGCCAUCUAGUAGAGAAUGAUUGGUUGGCACACCAUAGUUUACAUAAAUAUUUCUAAUAUUUGAAUCAUUUGUUUGGAAAUUUUAAUCCUACCAAGAUCUUGUAAGUAAACAUAUCAAAUAAAUAGUAAAUAGAUAAUAUAUAGAGAAUAAAACCAAUCAUACAACACAAUAAUUUACCAGAGAAAAAUUCCUAUACUGGAGAAAAACCACGGCCGCCAAAGAUGACGAAAGAAAAUCCACUAUGUAAAGAUCAUUACAAUCACUCUAGUAUUUUCUUCACAUACAAAACCCCAAUAACAAAUAAUCUCUCAUUCUAGAAACUGUCUACUUGUAUAGAACUGAUUAUUGCAAACAAGUGAAUCUAACCUUCUUAUAUAUUGUGAUUGUUUCAUAUAAGAGAAGUAUUUAUUUCCUUAUAUAAUUUGUAUUCCUCCUUUAAUAAAUUCUUUGGAAUUACUUAUUCCUUAAACAUGAACCCCCCAAACAAAAAAAUUACUAAAUAAAAAAAUUAUAGGAAAUAUUUUAAUUUAGGAUUUACAAAUCCUCAUUGAAAAAAGAGAUAUGUUUCUUAAAAAUCUCCACUUUGGCGAGUUUUUUAAUUAAACGACAAAAUAUGAUCCGCCAUACAUCUAUGCAACCAUGUCGUCUCCACCUUCUUUAGUCUACCAAAACCACACUGACAUUGGACUAAUGAGAAUCACUCCACCAUGAGUAAAAUCUUGUCCUCUAUCUAGCAGCCAUAAUUUUCUACAUCGAGAAUCAUCAUACUUCACAUUAUCCAGAGUACACAUGUUUGGCAUAGGUUGAUCACAUUUUCGAAAUUACCCACUCUCAUGUUUGGCUUCUUUGAGAGUCCUCAACGAUCAACAUAAAAAGUCCACCACAUACCUUGCAUAAAUACUAAACUACAUGUUGUGUGCACAUCUUGUGGACCCAUUAGCAAUAACACAUCCUCUUCCACGACACACCAAUAGAUGACAUAAUUAGUUUCUCCUUCUAUUAAUUUACAGCUACUUUCCAAAUUUGCUAUAUUCUAACAAUCUCUUUUAAGAUGUUUUGAUUACCUACACUCCUCCAGGGGUUUCUACUAGUGGAAUAGGCCUGACAUUGCUCUUUGCUUUACUUGUACAGACAGAUUGAAUCAAUAUGUUAUUGACUUGAGCUUCCCAAAAGCCAAAAUUAAUUAUUCCAUCAAACUUUUCUAUUUCUAUCUUCAUAGGUUUUGAAAACCUCCUUGUUGACGUAUUUGCUCUACAUUGCAGCCUUAGCUCUAUUAUCACCUGCUAAGAAAUAAUUAAUCUCACCUAAGAUUCGCAAGAAAAAAUAUGAAAUAAAUAGUAAAUAGAAAAUAGGUGGAGAAUAAAGCUAAUAAAAUAAUACAAAAAUUUACAAGAAAAAUUUCUAUAUUGGAGAAAAAUUAUAAUAGCUAAGGACGAUAAGAGAAAAAUUUAUUAUGUAAAUAUUAUUAUAAUUACUCUAGGGUUUUUCUCACACCUAAAACACCAAAAGCACCUAAUUUUAAUAGAACUACUUUUCUCUCACACUGAAAACUAUUUACUUACAGAUCAUUGAUUGUUGAAUUAUGCAAAGAAGUAAACUCAAUCUCUAUAUAUAUAUGUAGUGAUUAUUUCAUAUAGAAGUUGUAUUCCUUUCCUUAUAUGAUUUGUAUUCCACCUUGAAUAAGUUAAGUUCUAAAGAGAAAAUUACUUAUUUCUUAAAUAUGAAUUAUCUUCAAUAAGAAAACUGAAAAGUGUAGAAAAUUCCUAAUUUAAGACUUAAAAAUCUUCUUUGAAAAAAGAGACAUCUCCCAAUAUCCUCAAAUCCUCCUUACAAUGCCACCAAUCUCUUUUGUGACUAGCCCAGUUGAAACUUUUAAUGGAUGGGCUGUAAUUGCGAAUAUCCAAAUACAACAAAUUUCCAUAGGUAUAUUGGUAGAUUGAAUGACAACUAACAAUGGUAGACUCUUGUGCCAACUCAUGGAAUUCAUCAAUAAGGCCUUGGCUGAUCCAUCUCAUGACUGGUAGAGUUCAAACCCCCGCUAAAUAGUAAAAAAAAUAUUUGGAUUAUUAAUUACUCUUUCUUAAGUCUAUUUAAACUUAACUUUGAGAAUUAUGAACGUCUACACUUUAAUUAAAACAAUAAAAGCCCACCCGUUUGUAUUUAAAAUUUUGUUUGAAUUUAUUCACGAGCAACAAGAAUAGUAUAAAUGGAAAAAAAAACCAUCAAAUAAUAUCCCAUGACUAUGUUUCUUCAAUUUCAGGAGCAAUGGUGGAAUCAUAUUUUCCGAUUGAAAAACUUUUGGAAAAAUUAGGGAGCUUUGCUUAUGAAGAACUUUUAUUGUUCUGCGGUGUCAAAAAUGACUUACAAAAGUUAAAGGAGACGUUAAUCACUGUCAAAAGUGUGGUUUUGGAUGCUGAGGAAAAGCAAAUCCAUAAUCACCGGUUAAGCGAUUGGCUGGGAAAGCUUAAGGAUGCUUGUUAUGAUGCAGAAGAUGUGUUGGAUGAAUUUGACGUGGAAGAUCUACGAAGGCAAGUCAUGAAGCAAAGAAGCAUCGGAAGAAAGUUUCGUAACUUUUUUGGAAGCUCAAAUCCGAUAGCUUUUUGUUUUAGAAUGGGUCAUCAAAUCAAGAAAAUGCGAGAGAGGUUUGAUGAGAUUGCAAAAUUGAGGGGUGAGUUUAAUCUCAUUGAACGACUUGACGAUCAUCGGCGAGUUGUGCACAAAGAAAGGGAACCCACUCACUCGUUUGUGGUUUCAUCAGAUAUUAUUGGAAGAGAUAAAGAUAAAGAAAAGAUUAUUGAACUAUUGAUGCAAACAAGUGACGGCAAAAGUGAAACUGUGUCUGUGGUUCCUAUUGUGGGACUUGGAGGUUUGGGCAAGACUGCACAUGCAAAAUUGGUGUACAAUGAUCAAAGGGUAGAAGAGCAUUUUGAGUUGAAAAUCUGGAUAUGUGUUUCUGAGGAUUUUGAUGAGAGACAAAUUAUGCCAAAGAUUAUCAAGUCAAUAACUAGUCAAAACCAAGGUGACUUGGAUACAGACCAAUUGCAACGAAUCUUGCGAGAUUCUUUGAAAGGUAAGAGAUACUUGCUUGUUAUGGAUGAUGUAUGGAACGAAGAUCCUGAAGCAUGGCGUAAAUUGAAAAGCUUAUUAUUGGGAGGUGCUAACGGAAGCAAAAUUUUGGUAACCACACGUAGCAGGAAGGUUGCUUCAAUCAUGGGUACGAGGGGAGGUACUACUGGCUACAACUUACAAGUUCUACCAUUCGAGGAUUGCUUGUCGUUGUUUAUGAAAUGUGCAUUUAAAGAAGAGCAAGAUAAACAUCCGAACCUCAUAAAAAUCGGGGAAGAAAUUGUGGGAAAAUGUGGUGGAAUUCCUCUGGCAGUCAAAACACUUGGAAGUCUACUAUAUGACUCAACGGAUGAACAUUUUUGGGAAUAUGUGAGGGAUAAUGAGAUAUGGCAGUUAGAACAAAAGGAAAGUGGCAUUUUACCUGCUCUGAGGUUAAGCUACGAUCAAUUGCCGCCUCGCCUGAAACAAUGUGUUGCUUAUUGUUGUAGGAUUAUCAAUUUGAUAGUCAGUCUUUAGUUCAAUUUUGGAUGGCUCAUGGUCUUCUCCAAUCGCAUAAUAAGAAAGAAGAUUUAGAAGAUAUUGGUAUGCAGUACUUGAAGGAAUUAGUAUCAAGAUCUUUCUUCCAAGAUUUGACUUUUGGGAUGUUUGGACGGGAGGUGUUGUCUUUCAAAAUGCACGACCUUAUGCAUGAUCUUGCCCUGCUAGUGGCCAAAGAUGAAUUCCUAGUAGUGAACUCUGAUUGUCAAUUUAUUCCCAAAAGUGUCCGUCAUUUGUCAUUUGCUGCUGCUAAUGCAUCAAGAAAUAACUUUUCAAGCCUUUUAUCUGAUCUAGGUCGUGUGAGAACCAUUUUCUUUUCAACUGAUGAUGAUGAGAAGACAAGCCAAUCAUUUGUUGAAUCAUGCAUCUCAAAGUCGCAGUUCCUGAGAAUGCUUAAUUUAAGUGAAUCUGCUAUUGAGGUUUGUCCUAGGAAGAUAGGAAAUUUGAAGCACUUGAGAUAUCUUGAUCUAUCGAGAAAUUCUAAAAUCAAGAAACUUACAAAAUCCAUUUGCGAGCUUCAGAGUUUACAAAUACUAGAUCUUGAAGGAUGUCUGGAGCUAGAAGAGUUGCCUAAAGACAUAAAAUACCUUGUUAGUCUCAGAGCAUUUGGACUAACCACUAAAGAGAAGUCUUUGCAAGAGAGUGGAACAAGGAGCUUGGGUUCUCUUCGUUGUUUGACAAUUUUUGGUUGCAGGGAUUUAAAACAUUUGUUCGAGGAGAUAGAUCAAUUAAGUGUCCUUCGAACAUUAUCAAUUAAUAGUUGUCCUCGUCUAAUCUCAUUGCCCCCUGCCAUCAAAUAUCUCAGCUCAUUAGAGACUCUUAUUUUGUGGACGUGUGAAAGCCUUGAUCUUAAUCUGAACAUGGAAAUGGAAGGUGAAGGAAGUAAUCAUGAUCGCAAAAACACAAGGCCUCACCUUCGGAGGGUUGUCAUCGGGGAAAUAACACAGUUAUUAGAACUGCCACAAUGGCUUCUUCAAGGUUCUACUGAUACUUUACAGAACUUGGUAAUUGUGUUAGUUGUCCCAACUUCAUGGCACUACCAGGGUGCCCAAAAUUGUCAUCAUUGCCGGAGGAUAUGCAUCACGUCACAACUCUGAAAUCAUUGGCCAUUGGAGGAUGUCCUGCACUGAGUGAAGGAUGCAAACCGCCAACCAACAGGUGAAGAUUGGCCCAAGAUUGCACAUAUCCCUCAGAUUGGUCUUGAUGGCGAGAUAAUUAAGUCAAGUGAUAAUUAGGUAUGGAUUAAUAUCUCUUCCUUUUAAUUUCCUCUUUUCAUGCAGCUUUCUAGUUUUUAAUUUCUCAUACAGCUAUGUAAAAUAACAGAGAUAGAUUGUUUGGUUCAAUGGAAAAUCUCUGAGAAAAUGAAACUAUGAAAUUUCAGUAAAUUCAUUUCUUAUUAUUUUGUUUACAAGCUCACGUUUAUAUACUAAGUUCUCACACGUGAUUUCUACUUGUAAUUAACAAACUCUACAUAACAAACUAUGAGCUGUAUAACGACAUUUUAACCAACUCAGCUGAACUUCUAUAUUUCACUAAUAACUUUUUGCUGACGUAGCUUCACUGAACUGCUUGAAUAGUGAGCUUCCUUCACAAGCUAUACCAUUUAUAGUUUAAUUUUUUGUUAUGUUUACCAACAAAAACUUCGCUUUGAAUGUUAGGUAGUUAGUUCAAAUUUGUACUAAUUUAUUUUCUUCUAAUACAUAAUUAGUUCGUCAGUACAAAUACAAAAAUAAUAUUUUGGAAACCACACUUUUCAAAAUAUUAUUUGACUCAGGGCUUUACCUACACAUGACAUUUCAAAAUAUUAUUUAACAUUCGGAGCAACAGUGUUGUUCCUUAAUUAGUUUAGGUGAUUCAAACAGUUCAGUAUUUUUCAGAAUGGAACUUAUAAUGAGAUUUUUUUAAUUACCUAGUUAUCUUCACAUGGAACCUUAUUCACACAAAAGAAGAGCUUCUGAAAUUCCAAUCUUUGUUAAUACCUUAACUUGCACCGAAACAUCUAACAACUUUUCCUCUCAUUUUUCUCCCAAAAUAUUGCAGCUUUCUUCGGAGAGGUUCAGCCAAACUGUGGAGACAGUGAAAAUAUUACUCUAACGUGGUCCAGAACAGAGGUUUAACGGUUUCCAUGUUCUGUUUAAAGUUACAAGUAUUAUAUAUUCAUUGCCUGUGGUUCCUAGUCCAACUUGGCAUGUAUAUAUGUGUAUAUAUACAUGAGGUUUAACGGUUUCCAUGUAUAUAUGUGUGUGCCUGUGUGAUCAUUACUGAUAGCCUUAAUCAUUAUGUUUUAAUACCAAUAGUAAUGUUUCGGAAUUUCUCAAAUUCUCAUAAUGUACAAUCCAUGUUUAUGGUCUGUUUUUCCUCCUCCCUCAGUAGUCAGCAAUAUAAUUUGCAUUGAUUGCAUUUUUUAGCUCUCCACAAUUUGCAGAUUUUUAUGAAGAACAUUGAUGUGUUGGGUAAUGGAAUGAUGGCGUCUGUAUUUUGUGCUUUGUGAUUGAUGACUUACAUUUGCCCAGGAAGAAAUGAAAACAAAUCGGCUUCUUGAUUUUAGGUAUUUGUUUUUUUGAAUGGUAACCUUUUUAUGAUAUGAGACGCAUAUAAAUCAGAAGCAGUUGGCAAACUAAUUAGAUAUUGCAUCGUGGCCUUUUUUCAUAUAGGACACUUGUAACAAGAAAAUUCAUGUUUUUGCAGUGCUUCUUUCUCAAUACGAAAUUACUAAUUCGAAAGAAUAUUUAUUAUAAUAGAACCAGAGACAAAGUGAAAAUUCUAUGUAUUUUAGGAUGAAAAUUCUGUACAUAUAUAUAUGUUAUUAACUGAUUGUGGCUGACUCUGAACAAGGAGCAAAAAAUGGUAUGCAACUCUGUUUUGAUUAAAAUUCAAUGACUUUCUUCGUAUUAAUCAAAUUAAUUAAUUAUUUUGGUAAAAAGAAUUUGCCAAUUGUGUGGUGGUCUUGAGACCCUUGACGGUGGUGAAAUUGAUUCAUGGUUUCAAAUGAAGACAGCAGCAGAUGCAUGCGUGCCGUAUGAGAUCGAGGGAAAAGUCAAGAGUUUGAUUUCUCUAUUUUACACGUUGAUACCCAAUUUUACACUUCCAACAAAUUUGAAUGAAACAAUCCUGAUGUUCACUUUCUUCUUCGAUUUCAUUUUACGACUUAACAAAAUCUCUCAAAAUCGUUGUUGAUCCAUUCCGAACUUGCGACAGCUUUCAUUCUUAUCGCAAUUAAUUAUUCAAGCAAUGGAGAUGCUCCUGAUGAGGAACAAGGCAGCGGCCAUGGGGUAAAUGGGAAGCUGAAAUUAGAGACCCUUACAAGGGCGUCCGCGUUUGGCUCGGCACACUUUCUCACAGCCGAAGAAGUCGCAAGAGUUCAUGCUGCGUCGCCAAGAGUAUCCGUGGCAACAAGGCCUAGCUCAACUUUGCUCAUCGGCCGCCAAUAACUUCACCUCCAGCUAAGAAACGCUUCAUGCAGCAGAGUUUCGAAUAUUACUUUUUCUUUGGUUUUCAUUGAUUUCUUUUCCCUUAAAUUGUGAACAUGGCUUUUAUUGUUGAAAAUUGCUUCUUUGGCUCUGCUCUUAUCUACGAGGUUGUGCUUUCCCUUGGAUGCUCUUUAAUUAACAGCUUUCUUAAUAACAACUGAAGUGAAAAGUCAUUUUAUCAAAUGAUUUGAUGAAAUUUCAAGUACUUUCAUCUUGGUUUUUGCAGUUAAUAGGAAUAGUUUGGUGUUGGGAUGUGGUAUAUGUAUCAAGUUCUCGUUGCAGGUGAACAUUACUGGUUUAGUGGGCGAUCAUUUACUAUCAUUGCAUGCAUUAUCAGUUUUUUUUUCGGUGUAUUAAACUAUCUAGUAUCCAAAAAUUAUAUUGGGUCUCAACUAAUCUAGAUAAGAGUUGAGUAGGACCAUUAGGGUGGCAAAGCUCUCCCAACAGUAUUUAACGCAGCUGCAUUCUUAAGCCUCGAACCGAGAACUUUGGUUAAACUAGAGCAACCCCAUACCAGUUGAUCUACGCGCUUGUUGCCUUGUUGGUAUUAUUAGUUUAUUUUAUUGAACUAUCCCAAAUAAGUAAAGAAUCCUCACUUCCCUCUGUUUUCUUUAGAUCCUAGUGGUGUUCAGCAUGCAUCAACUAGUGUUCAUGCAUGCAGUGGCGGACCCACACGUGGGCUAGACUGGGCUGUAGCUCGGUCUAGUCCAGAAAAACUCAUCGAUGCCCCAUACUUUUUAAUUAAUUUAGUAAAACAAUAGAAUUUUUAUUUACUUUUCAUAUAUGUCCCUAACUCAAAACCUUUAUAUUUCCAUCAAUUUAGUAUAAUAAUAUAGUUUUUAUUUUAUAUUCAAAUAUGUCCCCAACUCAAUUACCCUUACAUUUUCAUCAAUUUUAUAUAACAAUAAAGUUUUUAUUUUAUUUAUAAAUAUGUCCCUAAUUCAAUUAUAUUUAUUUUCAAUUGAAAUUAGUGACUUAUUUUAUAAAAUGAUUAAAUUAUAUAUUUAUUGUAUAUAUUUAUAUAUACAUGAGGUUUAACGGUUUCCAUGUAUAUAUGUGUGUGCCUGUGUGAUCAUUACUGAUAGCCUUAAUCAUUAUGUUUUAAUACCAAUAGUAAUGUUUCGGAAUUUCUCAAAUUCUCAUAAUGUACAAUCCAUGUUUAUGGUCUGUUUUUCCUCCUCCCUCAGUAGUCAGCAAUAUAAUUUGCAUUGAUUGCAUUUUUUAGCUCUCCACAAUUUGCAGAUUUUUAUGAAGAACAUUGAUGUGUUGGGUAAUGGAAUGAUGGCGUCUGUAUUUUGUGCUUUGUGAUUGAUGACUUACAUUUGCCCAGGAAGAAAUGAAAACAAAUCGGCUUCUUGAUUUUAGGUAUUUGUUUUUUUGAAUGGUAACCUUUUUAUGAUAUGAGACGCAUAUAAAUCAGAAGCAGUUGGCAAACUAAUUAGAUAUUGCAUCGUGGCCUUUUUUCAUAUAGGACACUUGUAACAAGAAAAUUCAUGUUUUUGCAGUGCUUCUUUCUCAAUACGAAAUUACUAAUUCGAAAGAAUAUUUAUUAUAAUAGAACCAGAGACAAAGUGAAAAUUCUAUGUAUUUUAGGAUGAAAAUUCUGUACAUAUAUAUAUGUUAUUAACUGAUUGUGGCUGACUCUGAACAAGGAGCAAAAAAUGGUAUGCAACUCUGUUUUGAUUAAAAUUCAAUGACUUUCUUCGUAUUAAUCAAAUUAAUUAAUUAUUUUGGUAAAAAGAAUUUGCCAAUUGUGUGGUGGUCUUGAGACCCUUGACGGUGGUGAAAUUGAUUCAUGGUUUCAAAUGAAGACAGCAGCAGAUGCAUGCGUGCCGUAUGAGAUCGAGGGAAAAGUCAAGAGUUUGAUUUCUCUAUUUUACACGUUGAUACCCAAUUUUACACUUCCAACAAAUUUGAAUGAAACAAUCCUGAUGUUCACUUUCUUCUUCGAUUUCAUUUUACGACUUAACAAAAUCUCUCAAAAUCGUUGUUGAUCCAUUCCGAACUUGCGACAGCUUUCAUUCUUAUCGCAAUUAAUUAUUCAAGCAAUGGAGAUGCUCCUGAUGAGGAACAAGGCAGCGGCCAUGGGGUAAAUGGGAAGCUGAAAUUAGAGACCCUUACAAGGGCGUCCGCGUUUGGCUCGGCACACUUUCUCACAGCCGAAGAAGUCGCAAGAGUUCAUGCUGCGUCGCCAAGAGUAUCCGUGGCAACAAGGCCUAGCUCAACUUUGCUCAUCGGCCGCCAAUAACUUCACCUCCAGCUAAGAAACGCUUCAUGCAGCAGAGUUUCGAAUAUUACUUUUUCUUUGGUUUUCAUUGAUUUCUUUUCCCUUAAAUUGUGAACAUGGCUUUUAUUGUUGAAAAUUGCUUCUUUGGCUCUGCUCUUAUCUACGAGGUUGUGCUUUCCCUUGGAUGCUCUUUAAUUAACAGCUUUCUUAAUAACAACUGAAGUGAAAAGUCAUUUUAUCAAAUGAUUUGAUGAAAUUUCAAGUACUUUCAUCUUGGUUUUUGCAGUUAAUAGGAAUAGUUUGGUGUUGGGAUGUGGUAUAUGUAUCAAGUUCUCGUUGCAGGUGAACAUUACUGGUUUAGUGGGCGAUCAUUUACUAUCAUUGCAUGCAUUAUCAGUUUUUUUUUCGGUGUAUUAAACUAUCUAGUAUCCAAAAAUUAUAUUGGGUCUCAACUAAUCUAGAUAAGAGUUGAGUAGGACCAUUAGGGUGGCAAAGCUCUCCCAACAGUAUUUAACGCAGCUGCAUUCUUAAGCCUCGAACCGAGAACUUUGGUUAAACUAGAGCAACCCCAUACCAGUUGAUCUACGCGCUUGUUGCCUUGUUGGUAUUAUUAGUUUAUUUUAUUGAACUAUCCCAAAUAAGUAAAGAAUCCUCACUUCCCUCUGUUUUCUUUAGAUCCUAGUGGUGUUCAGCAUGCAUCAACUAGUGUUCAUGCAUGCAGUGGCGGACCCACACGUGGGCUAGACUGGGCUGUAGCUCGGUCUAGUCCAGAAAAACUCAUCGAUGCCCCAUACUUUUUAAUUAAUUUAGUAAAACAAUAGAAUUUUUAUUUACUUUUCAUAUAUGUCCCUAACUCAAAACCUUUAUAUUUCCAUCAAUUUAGUAUAAUAAUAUAGUUUUUAUUUUAUAUUCAAAUAUGUCCCCAACUCAAUUACCCUUACAUUUUCAUCAAUUUUAUAUAACAAUAAAGUUUUUAUUUUAUUUAUAAAUAUGUCCCUAAUUCAAUUAUAUUUAUUUUCAAUUGAAAUUAGUGACUUAUUUUAUAAAAUGAUUAAAUUAUAUAUUUAUUGUAUAUAUUUAUAUAUACAUGAGGUUUAACGGUUUCCAUGUAUAUAUGUGUGUGCCUGUGUGAUCAUUACUGAUAGCCUUAAUCAUUAUGUUUUAAUACCAAUAGUAAUGUUUCGGAAUUUCUCAAAUUCUCAUAAUGUACAAUCCAUGUUUAUGGUCUGUUUUUCCUCCUCCCUCAGUAGUCAGCAAUAUAAUUUGCAUUGAUUGCAUUUUUUAGCUCUCCACAAUUUGCAGAUUUUUAUGAAGAACAUUGAUGUGUUGGGUAAUGGAAUGAUGGCGUCUGUAUUUUGUGCUUUGUGAUUGAUGACUUACAUUUGCCCAGGAAGAAAUGAAAACAAAUCGGCUUCUUGAUUUUAGGUAUUUGUUUUUUUGAAUGGUAACCUUUUUAUGAUAUGAGACGCAUAUAAAUCAGAAGCAGUUGGCAAACUAAUUAGAUAUUGCAUCGUGGCCUUUUUUCAUAUAGGACACUUGUAACAAGAAAAUUCAUGUUUUUGCAGUGCUUCUUUCUCAAUACGAAAUUACUAAUUCGAAAGAAUAUUUAUUAUAAUAGAACCAGAGACAAAGUGAAAAUUCUAUGUAUUUUAGGAUGAAAAUUCUGUACAUAUAUAUAUGUUAUUAACUGAUUGUGGCUGACUCUGAACAAGGAGCAAAAAAUGGUAUGCAACUCUGUUUUGAUUAAAAUUCAAUGACUUUCUUCGUAUUAAUCAAAUUAAUUAAUUAUUUUGGUAAAAAGAAUUUGCCAAUUGUGUGGUGGUCUUGAGACCCUUGACGGUGGUGAAAUUGAUUCAUGGUUUCAAAUGAAGACAGCAGCAGAUGCAUGCGUGCCGUAUGAGAUCGAGGGAAAAGUCAAGAGUUUGAUUUCUCUAUUUUACACGUUGAUACCCAAUUUUACACUUCCAACAAAUUUGAAUGAAACAAUCCUGAUGUUCACUUUCUUCUUCGAUUUCAUUUUACGACUUAACAAAAUCUCUCAAAAUCGUUGUUGAUCCAUUCCGAACUUGCGACAGCUUUCAUUCUUAUCGCAAUUAAUUAUUCAAGCAAUGGAGAUGCUCCUGAUGAGGAACAAGGCAGCGGCCAUGGGGUAAAUGGGAAGCUGAAAUUAGAGACCCUUACAAGGGCGUCCGCGUUUGGCUCGGCACACUUUCUCACAGCCGAAGAAGUCGCAAGAGUUCAUGCUGCGUCGCCAAGAGUAUCCGUGGCAACAAGGCCUAGCUCAACUUUGCUCAUCGGCCGCCAAUAACUUCACCUCCAGCUAAGAAACGCUUCAUGCAGCAGAGUUUCGAAUAUUACUUUUUCUUUGGUUUUCAUUGAUUUCUUUUCCCUUAAAUUGUGAACAUGGCUUUUAUUGUUGAAAAUUGCUUCUUUGGCUCUGCUCUUAUCUACGAGGUUGUGCUUUCCCUUGGAUGCUCUUUAAUUAACAGCUUUCUUAAUAACAACUGAAGUGAAAAGUCAUUUUAUCAAAUGAUUUGAUGAAAUUUCAAGUACUUUCAUCUUGGUUUUUGCAGUUAAUAGGAAUAGUUUGGUGUUGGGAUGUGGUAUAUGUAUCAAGUUCUCGUUGCAGGUGAACAUUACUGGUUUAGUGGGCGAUCAUUUACUAUCAUUGCAUGCAUUAUCAGUUUUUUUUUCGGUGUAUUAAACUAUCUAGUAUCCAAAAAUUAUAUUGGGUCUCAACUAAUCUAGAUAAGAGUUGAGUAGGACCAUUAGGGUGGCAAAGCUCUCCCAACAGUAUUUAACGCAGCUGCAUUCUUAAGCCUCGAACCGAGAACUUUGGUUAAACUAGAGCAACCCCAUACCAGUUGAUCUACGCGCUUGUUGCCUUGUUGGUAUUAUUAGUUUAUUUUAUUGAACUAUCCCAAAUAAGUAAAGAAUCCUCACUUCCCUCUGUUUUCUUUAGAUCCUAGUGGUGUUCAGCAUGCAUCAACUAGUGUUCAUGCAUGCAGUGGCGGACCCACACGUGGGCUAGACUGGGCUGUAGCUCGGUCUAGUCCAGAAAAACUCAUCGAUGCCCCAUACUUUUUAAUUAAUUUAGUAAAACAAUAGAAUUUUUAUUUACUUUUCAUAUAUGUCCCUAACUCAAAACCUUUAUAUUUCCAUCAAUUUAGUAUAAUAAUAUAGUUUUUAUUUUAUAUUCAAAUAUGUCCCCAACUCAAUUACCCUUACAUUUUCAUCAAUUUUAUAUAACAAUAAAGUUUUUAUUUUAUUUAUAAAUAUGUCCCUAAUUCAAUUAUAUUUAUUUUCAAUUGAAAUUAGUGACUUAUUUUAUAAAAUGAUUAAAUUAUAUAUUUAUUGUAUAUAUUUAUAUAUACAUGAGGUUUAACGGUUUCCAUGUAUAUAUGUGUGUGCCUGUGUGAUCAUUACUGAUAGCCUUAAUCAUUAUGUUUUAAUACCAAUAGUAAUGUUUCGGAAUUUCUCAAAUUCUCAUAAUGUACAAUCCAUGUUUAUGGUCUGUUUUUCCUCCUCCCUCAGUAGUCAGCAAUAUAAUUUGCAUUGAUUGCAUUUUUUAGCUCUCCACAAUUUGCAGAUUUUUAUGAAGAACAUUGAUGUGUUGGGUAAUGGAAUGAUGGCGUCUGUAUUUUGUGCUUUGUGAUUGAUGACUUACAUUUGCCCAGGAAGAAAUGAAAACAAAUCGGCUUCUUGAUUUUAGGUAUUUGUUUUUUUGAAUGGUAACCUUUUUAUGAUAUGAGACGCAUAUAAAUCAGAAGCAGUUGGCAAACUAAUUAGAUAUUGCAUCGUGGCCUUUUUUCAUAUAGGACACUUGUAACAAGAAAAUUCAUGUUUUUGCAGUGCUUCUUUCUCAAUACGAAAUUACUAAUUCGAAAGAAUAUUUAUUAUAAUAGAACCAGAGACAAAGUGAAAAUUCUAUGUAUUUUAGGAUGAAAAUUCUGUACAUAUAUAUAUGUUAUUAACUGAUUGUGGCUGACUCUGAACAAGGAGCAAAAAAUGGUAUGCAACUCUGUUUUGAUUAAAAUUCAAUGACUUUCUUCGUAUUAAUCAAAUUAAUUAAUUAUUUUGGUAAAAAGAAUUUGCCAAUUGUGUGGUGGUCUUGAGACCCUUGACGGUGGUGAAAUUGAUUCAUGGUUUCAAAUGAAGACAGCAGCAGAUGCAUGCGUGCCGUAUGAGAUCGAGGGAAAAGUCAAGAGUUUGAUUUCUCUAUUUUACACGUUGAUACCCAAUUUUACACUUCCAACAAAUUUGAAUGAAACAAUCCUGAUGUUCACUUUCUUCUUCGAUUUCAUUUUACGACUUAACAAAAUCUCUCAAAAUCGUUGUUGAUCCAUUCCGAACUUGCGACAGCUUUCAUUCUUAUCGCAAUUAAUUAUUCAAGCAAUGGAGAUGCUCCUGAUGAGGAACAAGGCAGCGGCCAUGGGGUAAAUGGGAAGCUGAAAUUAGAGACCCUUACAAGGGCGUCCGCGUUUGGCUCGGCACACUUUCUCACAGCCGAAGAAGUCGCAAGAGUUCAUGCUGCGUCGCCAAGAGUAUCCGUGGCAACAAGGCCUAGCUCAACUUUGCUCAUCGGCCGCCAAUAACUUCACCUCCAGCUAAGAAACGCUUCAUGCAGCAGAGUUUCGAAUAUUACUUUUUCUUUGGUUUUCAUUGAUUUCUUUUCCCUUAAAUUGUGAACAUGGCUUUUAUUGUUGAAAAUUGCUUCUUUGGCUCUGCUCUUAUCUACGAGGUUGUGCUUUCCCUUGGAUGCUCUUUAAUUAACAGCUUUCUUAAUAACAACUGAAGUGAAAAGUCAUUUUAUCAAAUGAUUUGAUGAAAUUUCAAGUACUUUCAUCUUGGUUUUUGCAGUUAAUAGGAAUAGUUUGGUGUUGGGAUGUGGUAUAUGUAUCAAGUUCUCGUUGCAGGUGAACAUUACUGGUUUAGUGGGCGAUCAUUUACUAUCAUUGCAUGCAUUAUCAGUUUUUUUUUCGGUGUAUUAAACUAUCUAGUAUCCAAAAAUUAUAUUGGGUCUCAACUAAUCUAGAUAAGAGUUGAGUAGGACCAUUAGGGUGGCAAAGCUCUCCCAACAGUAUUUAACGCAGCUGCAUUCUUAAGCCUCGAACCGAGAACUUUGGUUAAACUAGAGCAACCCCAUACCAGUUGAUCUACGCGCUUGUUGCCUUGUUGGUAUUAUUAGUUUAUUUUAUUGAACUAUCCCAAAUAAGUAAAGAAUCCUCACUUCCCUCUGUUUUCUUUAGAUCCUAGUGGUGUUCAGCAUGCAUCAACUAGUGUUCAUGCAUGCAGUGGCGGACCCACACGUGGGCUAGACUGGGCUGUAGCUCGGUCUAGUCCAGAAAAACUCAUCGAUGCCCCAUACUUUUUAAUUAAUUUAGUAAAACAAUAGAAUUUUUAUUUACUUUUCAUAUAUGUCCCUAACUCAAAACCUUUAUAUUUCCAUCAAUUUAGUAUAAUAAUAUAGUUUUUAUUUUAUAUUCAAAUAUGUCCCCAACUCAAUUACCCUUACAUUUUCAUCAAUUUUAUAUAACAAUAAAGUUUUUAUUUUAUUUAUAAAUAUGUCCCUAAUUCAAUUAUAUUUAUUUUCAAUUGAAAUUAGUGACUUAUUUUAUAAAAUGAUUAAAUUAUAUAUUUAUUGUAUAUAUUUAUAUAUACAUGAGGUUUAACGGUUUCCAUGUAUAUAUGUGUGUGCCUGUGUGAUCAUUACUGAUAGCCUUAAUCAUUAUGUUUUAAUACCAAUAGUAAUGUUUCGGAAUUUCUCAAAUUCUCAUAAUGUACAAUCCAUGUUUAUGGUCUGUUUUUCCUCCUCCCUCAGUAGUCAGCAAUAUAAUUUGCAUUGAUUGCAUUUUUUAGCUCUCCACAAUUUGCAGAUUUUUAUGAAGAACAUUGAUGUGUUGGGUAAUGGAAUGAUGGCGUCUGUAUUUUGUGCUUUGUGAUUGAUGACUUACAUUUGCCCAGGAAGAAAUGAAAACAAAUCGGCUUCUUGAUUUUAGGUAUUUGUUUUUUUGAAUGGUAACCUUUUUAUGAUAUGAGACGCAUAUAAAUCAGAAGCAGUUGGCAAACUAAUUAGAUAUUGCAUCGUGGCCUUUUUUCAUAUAGGACACUUGUAACAAGAAAAUUCAUGUUUUUGCAGUGCUUCUUUCUCAAUACGAAAUUACUAAUUCGAAAGAAUAUUUAUUAUAAUAGAACCAGAGACAAAGUGAAAAUUCUAUGUAUUUUAGGAUGAAAAUUCUGUACAUAUAUAUAUGUUAUUAACUGAUUGUGGCUGACUCUGAACAAGGAGCAAAAAAUGGUAUGCAACUCUGUUUUGAUUAAAAUUCAAUGACUUUCUUCGUAUUAAUCAAAUUAAUUAAUUAUUUUGGUAAAAAGAAUUUGCCAAUUGUGUGGUGGUCUUGAGACCCUUGACGGUGGUGAAAUUGAUUCAUGGUUUCAAAUGAAGACAGCAGCAGAUGCAUGCGUGCCGUAUGAGAUCGAGGGAAAAGUCAAGAGUUUGAUUUCUCUAUUUUACACGUUGAUACCCAAUUUUACACUUCCAACAAAUUUGAAUGAAACAAUCCUGAUGUUCACUUUCUUCUUCGAUUUCAUUUUACGACUUAACAAAAUCUCUCAAAAUCGUUGUUGAUCCAUUCCGAACUUGCGACAGCUUUCAUUCUUAUCGCAAUUAAUUAUUCAAGCAAUGGAGAUGCUCCUGAUGAGGAACAAGGCAGCGGCCAUGGGGUAAAUGGGAAGCUGAAAUUAGAGACCCUUACAAGGGCGUCCGCGUUUGGCUCGGCACACUUUCUCACAGCCGAAGAAGUCGCAAGAGUUCAUGCUGCGUCGCCAAGAGUAUCCGUGGCAACAAGGCCUAGCUCAACUUUGCUCAUCGGCCGCCAAUAACUUCACCUCCAGCUAAGAAACGCUUCAUGCAGCAGAGUUUCGAAUAUUACUUUUUCUUUGGUUUUCAUUGAUUUCUUUUCCCUUAAAUUGUGAACAUGGCUUUUAUUGUUGAAAAUUGCUUCUUUGGCUCUGCUCUUAUCUACGAGGUUGUGCUUUCCCUUGGAUGCUCUUUAAUUAACAGCUUUCUUAAUAACAACUGAAGUGAAAAGUCAUUUUAUCAAAUGAUUUGAUGAAAUUUCAAGUACUUUCAUCUUGGUUUUUGCAGUUAAUAGGAAUAGUUUGGUGUUGGGAUGUGGUAUAUGUAUCAAGUUCUCGUUGCAGGUGAACAUUACUGGUUUAGUGGGCGAUCAUUUACUAUCAUUGCAUGCAUUAUCAGUUUUUUUUUCGGUGUAUUAAACUAUCUAGUAUCCAAAAAUUAUAUUGGGUCUCAACUAAUCUAGAUAAGAGUUGAGUAGGACCAUUAGGGUGGCAAAGCUCUCCCAACAGUAUUUAACGCAGCUGCAUUCUUAAGCCUCGAACCGAGAACUUUGGUUAAACUAGAGCAACCCCAUACCAGUUGAUCUACGCGCUUGUUGCCUUGUUGGUAUUAUUAGUUUAUUUUAUUGAACUAUCCCAAAUAAGUAAAGAAUCCUCACUUCCCUCUGUUUUCUUUAGAUCCUAGUGGUGUUCAGCAUGCAUCAACUAGUGUUCAUGCAUGCAGUGGCGGACCCACACGUGGGCUAGACUGGGCUGUAGCUCGGUCUAGUCCAGAAAAACUCAUCGAUGCCCCAUACUUUUUAAUUAAUUUAGUAAAACAAUAGAAUUUUUAUUUACUUUUCAUAUAUGUCCCUAACUCAAAACCUUUAUAUUUCCAUCAAUUUAGUAUAAUAAUAUAGUUUUUAUUUUAUAUUCAAAUAUGUCCCCAACUCAAUUACCCUUACAUUUUCAUCAAUUUUAUAUAACAAUAAAGUUUUUAUUUUAUUUAUAAAUAUGUCCCUAAUUCAAUUAUAUUUAUUUUCAAUUGAAAUUAGUGACUUAUUUUAUAAAAUGAUUAAAUUAUAUAUUUAUUGAAUAGAUUGAAAACACUAGGGAGCUAAAAUUUUAUUAUUGCUUUAAUUUAUUUUUAAAAAAAAUUCUAAUUGAAAAAAAAAUAUGUCAAUGUAAUAUAACAUCGUCACUAAUAUUAAAAGUACUUACAGAAAUAACAUAUAGUAACAAUUAUCAAUAUUUUCGUAAAAUUUUUAUGUGAAUUUUUAGAUUUUAUUUAUUAGUUUUAUUAAUUAAGAGGACAAGUUAGCAAAUAAAAUUUGAGUAUUUUAAGGAAAUUUUGAUAGAGGAAUCAUCAAUAUCUAGUUUUUUAAAGAGAGCUAGAGUGCCUGACAAAAAAACAACUACACCAAAAUACAUUUUUGCUUAAUUGAAUUUAAUUUAUUAUUGAAACUUUUGACUAAUAAUAUUUUUACAAUUUGAAAUGAUGAAUCAAAUUUAAUUGUUUAAUUUAUUAAGUUUGGUAAUUUAGUACUUCAUUUCAAGUAUAAAAAAUUUUAUUUGUAAUUUUUAAUUGAUUGUAAUUGCAUAUAUUAAGCUAUUUUAAUUUGAAAUUAUUAAUUAAUUUUUCAAUCCUGAUAUAAUUACAUGUUAUCAUAGGUUGCAGUGUCAGAUUUUAUAAUUGAAAAAUAAUAUUUUCAUAUCUGAGCUGCCUUUUGUUUUUUAUUAUUUUUUUAUAGUUAUUUUUGUCUAUAGUACAUAUUUAGAAGGAUAAGGUUCUUGGUGUUCCUUCUUAUUUAAUGUACUUAUUUCUACUUAUAAAUUUUUAUAUUCGCUUUAAAAUAUAAAUUUUAAAAAUUAGCCCGGGAUAAUAUUAAGUCCUGGGUCCGCCCCUGCAUGCAUGUGUUGGUUCAUCAUAGGCAACUUCAGCGCACAUACAACAACCCUCAUUUCUCGUUGCUCCAACCAAUCGAUGGCAGAAUCAUCACAGACAUCUUGGGCUCUGUCGAAUCAUCAUAGACAAUUUGUGAUUGGUGGGAGCAUUACAAGAAAGGUACGACUACUUCAAACUGUUUGAUUUGUUUCUCUGACAAAAGGGUUUUCUCUGUUCUUUAUUUUAUCAGCUGAGAAUAAAUUUUAGAAGUUUACUUUGAUUUCUAGCUUUAUGGCCUCUGUUUGAUGUGUGUAGUAUUUGACUGUAAUGCGAGUAUUGUGUGUUUUCAGCUUUGUAUGUGAUGCGGUAGAUAGUUGGUGUGCUCGUAAAUUCAAUCAAGGUAUGAAGUGAUCUGCUAUCUAUCUUUUGGCAAAUUAAGCGUUGAUGAUUUAUGCUAAUUGAUCUGCUAAAAAUUGUCUUUGUGUGUGAUUGAGUACAUGUUAGUGUGAAUUCUCGUAAUCUUUAUCCAGUCAAAGCAAACUUUCGCCUCUCACAUUGACGGUUAGGCUAGAUGUUUGAUCCUGAAUGAGAUGAUUGAGUUUAUUAUAGCAAUAAUGCUACACAUCCCAAAUUUUUUAUCUCAAAAAGUUAUCUCAAAUGAUGUGUCAUUAAUUGAGUGGUUGAUAAUUCUUUACAAGAUCUAAGUGAAUUAAUUGUAUUAUCUCACCAACCACUCAAUUAAUGACACAUCAUUUGGGAUAACUUUUUGAGAUAAAAAAUUUGGGAUGUGUAGCAUUAUUGUUAUUAUAGUCUUCUUAUAUUGUCGGCUCGAUAUCAUUUUAAAAUAUCUCAUCAACUCCGCUUUUGGAGUUUUAAUCCAUGCCAUUUUACUUUUGAGCUGCAACAUUGAGUCAGAUUCUUUUUGCUGUUAUUAUUUCGAUUUUCGACUGGUACACAACUGCAUAGAAUAAAUAAAUUGAAUAAUAUUUGAACACAUGAAAAAUUGAUAAAUGUAAAUAAUAUUUCUUUUGUUAUAUAAUAUAUAUUUAAUAUAGAAUAAAUAAAUUGAAUAUGUAUUGAGAAUAUAGGUUGUUGACCUUGCAAUAAAAGUAUAAAAUAAAAAAGGUGAAAUUUCAAAAUAAGAAACAUGUAAAAAGUGUUAGGCUGUAAAAUUUUAUUAUUUUAAUAUUACAAAAUUUUACUUUUUUUAUUACAUUUUUAUUUUUAACAUUAGUUGGCACGUUAGUUUAUUUGUACAUACGAUGUGUUAAUUUACCUAUAAAAUGCCAAUAUUACUCUUGAAAUUUAAGGGAACCAUUUUAAUUUUUUAAAAUUUUAAAUGUAGCCAACAAAGUUAUAGAAAGAUAAACAAAGAAUAAUAUAAAAGGAAGUUUUUUUUUUAAGAAUAUUUCAAAAGAAUUUGAGUUUUAUGUUUCUUAAGAAUUAUCCCUUUUUUUAGAUAUUUGAUAUUUGAGCUUGUGAAUCUUUUUGUAAUGAUAAUUUAUUAUUUAUUCUUGAUUAAAAAUAAUUGAAUAGUAAAUUUAUUGGUUUCUAAACACUCUUUUAAAUGUAGGGUAGCUGAUUAACUUUUAUUAUUUCAACCUAAACUUUUUGAUGAUAGUUAAUCAACUAUCGCUAAAGACUCUGCCACGAUUAUGUUUACUUUUCUAUAUCCUUUAGACCAUCAUCACUCAAAGAAUUAAGGGUCCAUUUUGACAUACUAUACUAUAUUAUAUUCAUAUAUUGUAUUGCAUUAUUUAAUAUACGUGUAUUGUAUUAUAUUAUAUUACAUUAGUAGUAAAUUAUAAUAAUAUUGUACAACGUUUGGUAAUUGCUAUUUCAUUGUACUGCAUUAAUUUUAUAUUAAGAUUAAACUAACAUUAUUUAAAUUUAUUAUUAAUUAUAUUAAAUUAUUAUUUUUAUAUUAAUUAUAUAUAUAUAUAUAUAAUAUGAUAUAAUAAAAUAAUAUUAUAGUAUAAUUUAUUUUUAUAUUUUUAUUUAUUAUAAUAAAAAUAAAAUUAUAAUAAAAAUAUAUUUAAUGCUCAAUUAAGGCAAAAGGCAAAAUAAUAAUAAUAACAAUAGUAUUACUUAAAAUGAAAAAAAUCUAUAAAGUUUAAUAAUGAUGAUGAUGAUGAUGUUGGAGACAUUAAUAAUAAUAUAAUAAUUAAAAUAAUAAAAUUAAUAAAUUUUCAUAAUAAUAAUAAUUAAUGACAAUAAUAAUAAUAAAUAAUAAAUUAACAAAUUUUAAUGAUAACAAUAAUAUUAAUAGUGAUGACGUUUAUGAUAGUAAUAAAAUAUAACAACAAUUAGAAUAAUAAAAAUAAUAAAUUUUAAUAAUAAUAAUAUUAUUAUUAUAAUAUAAUAAUAAUGAAAUUAAUAAAUAAUACUAAUAAUAACAGUUAAAAGUUUUUUCAAAAGCCAUUUUGUUAAAAAAAGACUUAUAUAUAAAAUUUUGUAACUUAUAAUGUCUAUUCUAUUUUUUUUAUAAAAUAUAAGAUAAUGUAAUGUAAUUAACUUAAAAAGACAAAAUUCAGUAGUCCGCUGCAACUGUUGCAACAUAAUUUCAUCCCAAUUUUAACAACUAUAGAAAAUUUUCAACGACAAAAUAGGAGGCUAAAGAAACAAUAAAAAAUGUGCAGAAAAGUUGUUAAUAAAGAGGAAAAACGAAAGUUCCGUCACCAACAAUGCCGCGUACAGCGUGGACCGACUUUUGCUGAUCAGACAAGAAAAAUAAGUACCGUGUUCGGUAACACAGGUUGUGCCACGUGGCGUGCGUCUCUUGGGCCUGACUUGUGGUGGACCCAUAUGGGCCACGAGCUGUUGAAAAUCCAAUAAUAUAUCCGCCAGGAGCCCAGGACUCAGCUUUUGUCUGAAGACGGAAAAAACGCGGACAACUGUCCCCCUUCUUCAACGCGGUUACGUCAUUAUCAUAUUAAACACGAGCUUACCCCAUCCGCGAUCAAUCCUUGUCCACUACCGAAACUACCCUUGUCUGAACAUUGGUUUUUUCGCCUACUGGCUACUAAACUCUGAAGCAGGGCAAUUUUGGAAUGGAAUUAAGCUAGAGCAGAUGAUUUACGUGACCGCAGUAGCUACAAUAAAGUAGCUUUAAUUUUAGUUGGUGAUAGUCGAUCUAACCUUAGUUCUUAGUGCAUUAAAAAAAAAAAAAAAAAAAAAAAAAAAAAAAAACCUUGGUUCUUAGAGAUCACUACAAACUGACUGCAUAGAUACACUAAAAAAAGUCCCAUUUCUACACAUAUACAAGAGCCCUCAUUUUUCUUUGCUUCAGCCAUUUUAGAGCAGCGUCAUCACAGACACCUCAAGCUCUGCCGAAUCAUCACAGACAAUUUGUGAUUGGUGGGACUGGGAGCAUUACAAGAAAGGUAUGCUACUUCAAACUGAUAGAGUUGUUUAUAUGAUUGAGCUAUAGUUUUAACUUUUAUAUAUGGUUAAGUUAUAACAGUAAUCAAGAGAUAAUCAUGUUCAUCAUAAGUUGCAUAAAUGUACAUACUAAUUUAUUCCUCUACUUGCCAGAACCAUACAUAUAAAAUGAGAUAAAUUUUAAGGUUUAAUCUUAGGGUUGGCAAUAAGCUCCGGAUUCGCAACAAUCCGGAAGAUCCGGAUCCGGAAAAAUCCGGAUCCGCAUGUUAAAAAAUGCGAAUCCAGAUCUUAAAAAUCACAAUCCGUGCGGAUCCAGAUCCAGAUGUAAGUGCAUCCGAAAAACCGAAUAUCUGGAUCCACAAUUUUUUAUAAUUAAAUUAUUUAUUUAAUUAAAUUUCAAUUGAAAAAUAUAUAAAUUAAAUUAUUUAUUUAAAUGUAUAAGCAUAAUUAACUCUCUAAUCUUCAUUAACUUUAAAAAAUAUUUUAAUAAUAAUAAUAAUAAUAAUAAUAAUAAUAAUAAUAAUUAGAGAAUAUUGUAAUAAAUCGAUUUACCUUACAUUUUUUUUUAUUUUUUUAUGUUUGAUUUAUAUUGUGAAAUUAUUGUUUGUGAAUUUAUGGUGUUGUUGUAUGUUAUUUAUGUUGAAUUGAAGUUAAAUUGUUGAUUCUUAAAUUAUAAUUGAAUUUUAUUUAAUAUUAUUAUGUAAAUUAUUAAAUUUAAAAUUAUAUUUAAAUUUAUUAUUAUGCGGAUCCGGAUAUCUGGAAUAUCCGCCCGCAAUCCAUGUGGAUGUUAUCCGCAUCCGGAUCCGUAUUUUUUUUUUUUUGCGGAUCCGGAUGUCAAAAGUUUAAUCUGGAUCCGCAUGCACCUACAUCCGGAUCCAGAUCCAAAUUUUGCCAUCCCUUUUUAAAACUUUGCAAUUCAUUAAAAAUCUUGUGGGAUAUUAACCGGUAAAACCACUUAGGGAUAGUACAAGAGGUUUAUGAUUUCUCAACCCAUUUAUGUGGGUGGAGAGAGAAUCAAGUGUUUUUUUUAAAUAAAGAAUAAUUAAUAAUUAAUAAUCAAAUUAAUAAAAAUAAAUAAAUUGUAAGGGGGAUCGUAAAAGUUUUGUAUGUAACAUAUUGGUAGUGGAAAGAAAUUUUUUUGGAGAGGACAUUUGGCUUGGAACAUAUAUUACAAUACUCUCUUCAUCCACUUCUCAAUAAAAUAUUUUAUUACAAAAUUUUCCUUAAUUAAAUUAUUGUUUUGGCCAUAUAUUAUGUUCGUUUAUCUCCCUAAAGUUUUUAUUCUUUCACCCCUUUUUCUCUUUUCCUCUGUGUCUCCCCAAUUUUUUUCCAGUCCUAUGGGGUUCUUAUUAAAGCUUCUAUUGAGUAAAAUCUCUAUUAAAAUUGCUUAUAAAAAAGAAAAAGAAAAAAAGAAUGGGUCUCUUUUAAAAUUUGUCUUUCCUUCCUUUACCCUUGAGUUACUAUUAGAUGUAUAAGCUCAAGAUGAGACUAGUAAUUGGAUUUCCAUUAAAAGUUUUAAUUUCAAAAAAUCAAAAGAUCACCAUACAAAUAUCAAAAGAUCACUAACUUAAUUAUAUUGGUAAUAAUUAAGAUAAGUAAAAGACCUACUAUUUCUGUUUGAUGUUAUUAUGAUAAAGAAACAAAGAAAAAAAAAAAGAAAUAGCAAGUCGCUGCAGUUGCAACAAUUGAGGAUAUGCUAAUAAAAGUGUUACAGAGAUAAAUUUAAUUGAUAAAAAAAGAUUUUAAUAAAAAGUAGUGAGAGAAACAAUUAAUAAAAACUAAUGAUACUUAUUAAAGAUAUAUUAUGAAUAUUUGUGGCCUUUUUUGAGGUAACUAAAUAAAUUUUAAAUUGUGAUAAUGUGUUUAUUACAUAAGUGGAUUUAUUCAGUAUUCUAGUGGAUUUAAAUAGUUUCAACUCUCAUAUUAUAAUAAAUUUCUAUAUUGCUAUAAUUGCCCUAACAUAGUGGACAAUAUUAUAUUGUACACAUAAGAAUACUCUAGCACCCAAUUAAAAUUUUUAGUAAAAUAAAUAAGAACUCUAAAUGUAAAGAGAAUUUCGUCAAGGUAUUGCAAUAGUAUUUAAUGCUCUUGGCUAGUGUAAACUAUUGUGCCACAUGUAGUAUUUCGAUCCUGACAAGUGCAUUACAAAUAAUGACUCUUAUUUCAGGUCUUUUAGGUACUUUAGAGAUAUAUUAGCUCUGGAGCUAGUAUUAGGUCAUCACGUGCUUCUUUGAAUGAAAGAUAUGGUUUAUUUUUCCCUACACCAGAGCAUUUUCUGUGGAAUAACCUUGUCAAAUGCUCAUUUACCAAGGGCACGUGUGGUGUUGUCAGUAUGAUAUGCUAACCCACGUGCACUUAUGGAAAAUCAAAUGAGAAAAAUGAAUUAAAAAAAUACAAUAGCUAAUUAAUAAUGUUCGAGUUUGAGAUGAAGAAUAUUUAAUUUUAUGGAUACAAAGAUAAGAAAGAUUUAAUGAGAAUUAUCCUAAUAUUAAAAUACUAUUUAAAAUAAAUUCUAUUUGACGUAAUAGUAUGUCUCAUAAUAAGAUUUGUAGUGGUCAAAUCAACUUAUUUCGAUAAGAUCCAUCCAAUUUAAUAUUUAAAAAAUUUAUCGUCCUGUUAUGCAUCACACAACUUUGACAUUUGAUAGAAAAUGAUUGGUUGGCACAUCGUGACUUACAUGAAUAUUUCUCAUAUUUGAAUCUUCCGUUAGGGAAUUUUAAUCCUAUCCAAGAUCUUGUGAGUAAAAAUAUCAAAUAAAUAAAAAAUAAAAAAUAGAUAUAGAAUAAAAUUAAUCUUAAAACACAAGAAUUUACAUGAAAAGCUUCUAUAGUAGAGAAAAACCACGGUUGCUAAAGACAAUGAGAGAAAAACCCACUAUGUAAAAAUUAUUACUAUCAUUCUAGUGUCUUUUUUCUCAUGCAGAAUCAUAAUAACAAUCAAUCUCUCAAAACCUAGUAUUUUUCUCACACUAAAAACUAUCUAUUUGUAGAGAACUGAUUGUUGUGUUAUGCAAACAAGUGAAUUCAAUUUCCCUAUAUAUAGUGAUUAUUUCUUAUAGAAGAAUCAUUUCUUUCCUUAUAUAAGUUGUGUUUCUCCUUGAAUGAGUUCUUUAGAAUUACUUAUUCCUAAAACACAAACCCCCAAUAAGAAAUCUACUAAAUAAAAGAAUUUUAGAAAAAAUCCUAAAUUAGGAUUUACUAAUCCUCAUUGAAAAAAGAGACAUAUUUCUUAAAAAUCUUCACCUUGGCAAGUUUUUUAAUUAAGUAAUAAAACAUGAUCCACUAUGUAUUGAUAAAACUAUAUCGUCUCCACCCUUUUUACUCCACCAAAACCACACUCACAUAGGGCUUAUGAGAAGCACUCCAUUAUGGUAAAAUCUUGUCUUCUAUCCAGCAACCAUAAUUCUCUACACCGAGAAUCAUCGUACUCUACCUUAUCCAGAGUACACAGAUUCAGGGCAUGUUAAUCACCUUUAUGAAAAUAUCCACUCUCAUGUUUGGCUUCCUUGAGAGUCCUCAACAAUCAACAUAAAAAGUCCACCAUACACUUUGCAUAAAUGCUAAAUCAUGGCUUGUAUGGAAAUCUUGUGGACCUGUUAGUAGUAACACAUCUUUUUCCAUGACAUACCAAAGAUGAUAAUCCAGUCUCUCAUGGAAAAAAUAGACACACCAAUAAAUGACAUUAUCAGUAUCUCCUAUUGAUUUAAAGCUACUUGCUAAAUAUGCUAUAUUCUAAUUUUUUUUAAGGUGUUUUGAUUGUCUACACUCCUCCAGGGGAUUUCUACUAGUGGAAUAUGUUUUACAUUGCUCUUGCUUUCCUUGUAUAACCAAAUUGAAUCAAUAUAUUAUUGGCUUGAACUUGCCACAAGCCAAAAUUGAUUAUUUCGUCAAACUUUUCUAUUUCUAUCUUCACAAGUUUUGAAAAUCUUGUUGUUGACAUAUUUUCUCUACAUUACAGCUUUAACUAUGUUAACACUUCCUGGUAAAUAAUUAAUCCCACCGAAGAUUUUCUAAGCAACAAUAUCAAAUAAAAAGUAAAUAAAAAAAUAGGAGAGUAAAACUAAUCAAACAACACAAGAAUUUAUGUGGAAAACUCUUAUACUGGAGAAAAAUCAUAGCCACCAAGGACGAUGAGAGAAAAAUCUACUAUGUAAAAAUUAUUGUAAUUAUUCUAAUAUUUUCUCACACCUAAAAACCCAAAAGCAUCUAAUCUCUCAAUAAAACUACUGUUUUUAUGCAAACAAGUAACACAACCUCCCUAUAUAUAGUGCUUUUUUCUUAUAGGAGAUUUAUUCUUUUCCUUAUAUAAUUUGUAUUCCUCCUUAAAUAAGCUAAGUUCCAAAGAAAAUUGCUUAUUUUUUAAAUAGAAAUCAUACUGAAUAAAAAAAUUAUUAAAUAAGAAAAGUCUAGAAAAUAUCUUAAUUUAGGAUUUACAAAUUUUCUUUGAAAAAGGAGACAUAUUCCUAAUAUCUCAAAUCCUUCUUGCCAAUCUCAUUUGUCAGUCAUUACUAACGAACUAGCCCAGUUGAAACUUUUAAAUUGAUGGGUCGUAAUUGCCAAUAUCCGAAUAAAACAAAUUUUUAUGAAUAUAUUGGUAGAUUGAAUGACAAUUGACAACAUAUGACUUAAUUAACUACUUCCCAAAAAAGUAAAAAAAAAGAAGAAGAAGAAGAAGAAGAAGAAAGAUACCGUGGAUGAACAUAACACUCUUGUGCCAACUUAUGGAAUUCGUCAAUAAUGCAUGGGCAAAUCCACCUCAUGCUUAGUGGGGUUCAAACCCUCGCUAAAUAAUGAGAAAAAUAUUUGAAUUACUAAUUACUCUUUAUUAGGUCUAUUCAAACUUUAACUUUGAGAAUUAUAAAUGUCUACACUUUAAUUAAAACAACACAAGCCACAUGUUUGAAUUUAAAUUUUGGUUUGAAUUUAUUCAAGAGCAACAAGAAAGAUACCUAAGUUGCAGUUCAGAAAGAUACCUAUAAAAUGUAAACCACUCUAUAUUAUUUACAAUUUAUUCAUAAGUAUUAUGAAAUUUAUAGUACAUUCAGUAAACAAGAAUCAAAAUUAGUUGGAAACAUAAUGAGUUAGAAUCGAAAUAGCUAUAAUCAAAAUUAGGAAUUGAAAUUAAAAUAAUUUAUUUACUUAAACUGCAUGAAUCGUAAUUAGAAUGAGCUGUAGUACCAUUUAUAUGUUUACUUUGUCUUAGAAUCAAAAUUAGAAUGAGUUAAAUUGUAACAAAUUAAUAUAAAAUUCUUAAUUAAUUUUUAUCAUAAUUAUUAUCUUGUAUUUUAAAUAUUAUUAUUAUUAUUCAAAAAUUAAUUAUUUAUAAUAAUUAUCGUUAAUUAUUAUUAUUAUUAACAAUUUAACAAAAUAAUAAUUAUUAAUUAUUGUUAUAGAUUAAUUAAUUAUAAUACUUUUUAUUCUUGUUAAUAAUUAUAAUCUAUUUAAAAAUUAUAAUUAUAUUUAUAGUUAUAAUAAAAUAAUUACUAUAAUUAUAAUUAUAAUUCAUUUAAUAAUAAUGAUAUUUUUUAAUUAAACAGAUGAUAUUUUGGGAAUUUAAAAUUAUAGGGGGCGAAUUGACACUCUUAGGAUUUCAAUGAAAUAAAUAGAGUGUAAGGGGGUAAACGAAAUUUUAUAAUGCAGAAAGUUUUAUAAUACCUAUCAAUACGUUGUAAAUAACAUAGCAUUAGGUGGCUGAAUGAAAGUUUACAGGGCAGCUACUUAGCGGACGUACCCAACAAGAAUAGUAUAAAUGGAAAAAAAAAGUACCAUAAAAUAAUAUUCCAUGACUUUGUUUCUUCAGUUUCAGGAGCAAUGGUGGAAUCAUUCUUUCCGAUUGAAAAACUUUUGGAAAAAUUAGGGAGCUCUGCUUAUGAAGAACUUUUAUUGUUCUGCGGUGUCAAAAAUGACUUACACAAGUUAAAGGAGAAGCUAACCACUGUCAAAAGUGUGGUUUUGGAUGCUGAGGAAAAGCAAAACCAUAAUCGCCGGUUAAGCGAUUGGCUGGGAAAGCUUAAGGAUGCUUGUUAUGAUGCAGAAGAUGUGUUGGAUGAAUUUGAGGUGGAAGAUCAACGAAGGCAAGUCAUGAAGCAAAGAAGCAUCGGAAGAAAGUUUCGUAACUUUUUUGGAAGCUCAAAUCCGAUAGCUUUUCGUUUUAGAAUGGGCCAUCAAAUCAAGAAAAUUCGAGAGAGGUUUGAUGAGAUUGCAAAAUUGAGUGGUGAGUUUAAUCUCAUUGAACGACUUGACGAUCAUCGGCGAGUUGUGCACAAAGAAAGGGAAGCCACUCAACCGAAUGUGCCUCCAGAUAUUAUUGGAAGAGAUAAAGAUGGAGAAAAGAUUAUUGAACUAUUGAUGCAAACAAGUGACGGCAAAAGUGAAACUGUGUCUGUGGUUCCUAUUGUGGGAAUUGGAGGUCUGGGCAAAACUGCUGUUGCACAGUUGGUGUACAAUGAUCAAAGGGUAAAAGAGCAUUUUGAGUUGAAAAUCUGGAUACGUGUUUUUGAGGAUUUUGGUGAGAGACAAAUUAUGAGAAAGAUUAUGGAGUUGAUCAUUGAACAAAUUAUGACAAAUUAUGUGUUCCAAGGUGACUUGAAUACACACCGAUUGCAACAAAUCUUGCGAGAUUGUUUGAAUGGUAAGAGAUACUUGCUUGUUAUGGAUGAUGUAUGGAACGAAGAUCCUGAAGCAUGGCGUAACUUAAAAAGCUUAUUGUUGGGAGGUGCUAACGGAAGCAAAAUUUUGGUAACCACACGUAGUAGGAAAGUUGCUUCAAUCAUGGGCACGAGGGGAGGUACUACUGGCUACAACUUACAAGGUCUACCAUUCGAGGAUUGCUCGUCUUUGUUUAUGAAAUGUGCAUUACAAGAAGAGCGAGAUAAACAUCCAAACCUUGCUAAAAUCGGGGAAGAAAUUGUGAAAAAAUGUGGAGGAAUUCCUCUGGCAGUCAGAACACUAGGAAGUGUAUUAUGUGGCAAAACAGAUAAACGUGAUUGGGAAUUUGUGAGGGAUAAUGAGAUAUGGCAGUUAGAGCAAAUGGAAAGAGGCAUUUUACCUACUCUGAGGUUAAGCUACGACCAAUUAUCGCCUCACCUGAAACAAUGUUUUGCUUACUGUUCUAUCUUUCCCAGGGAUUAUCAAUUUUAUGGUGAUUCUUUGGUUCAAUUUUGGAUGGCUCAUGGUCUUCUCCAAUCGCAUAAUAAGAAAGAAGAGUUAGAAGAUAUUGGUAUGCGGUACUUGAAGGAAUUACUAUCAAGAUUUUUCUUCCAAGAUUUGAGUUUUGGGAUGUUAGGAAUGGAGACGUUCUCUUUCAAAAUGCACGACCUUAUGCAUGAUCUUGCUCAGCAAGUGGCCAAAGAUGAAUUCCUAGUAGUGAACUCUGAUUGUCAAUUUAUUCCCAAAAGAGUCCGCCAUUUGUCAUUUGGUGCUGCUAAUGCAUCAAGAAAUGACUUUUCAAGCCUUUUAUCUGAUCUAGGUCGUGUGAGAACCAUUUUCUUUUCAACUGAUGAUGAUGAGAAGACAAGCCAAUCAUUUGUUGAAUCAUGCAUCUCAAAGUCGCAGUUCCUAAGAGUGCUAGAUUUAAGUGGCUCUGCUAUUGAGGUUUGUCCAAGAGAGAUGGGUAAUUUGAAGCACACGAGAUAUCUUGAUCUGUCGAAAAAUUAUAAAAUCAAGAAACUUCCAAAAUCCAUUUGCGAGCUACAGAGUUUACAAACACUGAAUCUUGCUGGAUGUUUGGAGCUAGAAGAGUUGCCUAAAGACAUAAGGUACCUUGUCAAUCUCAGAUUGUUAGCGCUAACCACAAAACAGAAGUCUUUGCAAGAGAGUGGAAUAAGGAGCUUGGGUUCUCUUCGUUGUUUGUCAAUUUCUAGUUGCUGGAAUUUAGAACAUUUGUUCGAGGAGAUAGAUCAAUUAAGUGUCCUUCGAACAUUAUCAAUUGAAAGUUGUCCUCGUCUAAUCUCAUUGCCACCUGCUAUCAAAUAUCUCAGCUCAUUAGAGAAUCUGUAUUUGGCUAGCUGUGAAAGCCUUGAUCUUAAUUUGAACAUGGAAAUGGAAGGUGAAGGAAGUCAUCAUGAUCGCAAAAACACAAGGCCUCACCUUCGGAGGGUUUUCAUCAAGGAAAUAACACAGUUAUUAGAACUGCCACAAUGGCUUCUUCAAGGUUCUACUGAUACUUUACAGAACUUGUUAAUUCUUGGUUGUCCCAACUUCAUGGCACUACCAGAGUCACUGAGAAAUUUCGAAGCACUUGAGGGUCUUGUCAUCGGGAAUUGUCCAAAAUUGUCAUCGCUGCCAGAGGAUAUGCAUCACCUCACUACUCUGAAAUCAUUGGCCAUUGCAGGAUGUCCUGCACUGAGUGAACGAUGCAAACCGCCAACAGGUGAAGAUUGGCCCAAGAUUGCACAUAUCCCUGAGAUUUUACUUGAUGGCGAGAUGAUUAAAUCAAGUGAUUAUUAGGUAUGGAUUUUUUUUUUCAAUAAGCAUACCACUCUGUUAUAUUUCCUCUUUUCAUGCAGCUUUCUAAUUUUUAAUUUCUCAUACAGCUAUACCGUUUAUAGUUUAAUGUUUUGUUAUGUUUACCAAACGAAAACUUGACUUUGAACGUUAGUUAGUUCAAUCAAAUUUGUACUAAUUUAUUUUCUUCUAAUAAAUAACUAGUUUGUCAGUACAAAACACAAAAAUAAUAUUUUGGAAACCGCACUGUUCUGGGGGUCAGAUCUGUUUCUAAAUUCAAACAGUUCAGGAUUUUUCAAAAUGGAACUUAUAAUGAGAUUUUUUUUUUUAAUUAUCUAGUUAUCUUCAUAGGGAAUUUCAAUCUUUGUUAAUACUUUAACUUGCGCCGAAACAUCUAACAAUUCUUCCUCUUAUCCUUUUUUUUUCCCAAAUAUUGCAGCUUUCUUGGGAGAGGUUCAACCAAACUGCAGGGACAGUGAAAAUAUUACUCUAACGUUGUUCAGAACAGAGGUUCAACGGUUUUAAUGUUGUGUUUUAAAGUUACAAGUAUUAUAUAUUCGUUACGUGUGGUUAUGUAAUUUGCUGAUAUAUAAGUACAUUGAGUGAGGUAUAUGUGUGUGCCUGUGUGGUCAUUACUGAAUUUCUCAGUAAUAUAAUUUGCAUUGACUGCAGAUUUGUGAAGAACAUUGAUACCAAACAUGUGGUGUCUGUAUUUUGUGCUUUGUGAUUGACGACUUACAUUUGCCCAGGAAGAAAUGAAAACAAAUCGGCUUCUUGAAAUUAACCAUUUAUUCUUUCGAAUGGUAACCUUUUUGUGACAUGAUUCGCAUAUUAAUCAAAAGCAGUUGGCAAACUAAUUAGAUAUUGCAUCGUGAUUCGUGGCCUUGAAGUGAAAUGAGUGAGCAUGUUUGUGGAGGUUUUUGUUUUUUUCCUCCAUAUAAAAUGACUAAUUCGAAAGAAUAUGUAUUGUAAUAGAACCUAGAACUUCUAUGUAUUUUAGGAUGAAAAUUCUGUACAAUAGAAAAUAUUAAAACGAAAAUCAAAGAAGCUUGCAACUUGGAACUGCAAUCUAGCUCGACCUACUAUAUAUAUAUACGUUAUUAAUUAAUUGAUCAGGUAAGAUAGGGAGAGACUCGCGGACUCUUUACAAGGAGCAAAAAUGGUAUGAAACUCUGUUUUGAUUAAAAUUCAAUGACUUUCUUCGUAUUAAUCAAAUUAAUUGAUUAAUUAUUUUGGUAAAAAGAAUUUGCGAAAAGUCAUUUUAUCAAAUGAUUUGGUGAAAUUUCAAGUACUUUCAUCUUGGUUUUUGCAGUUAAUAGGAAAUAGUUUGGUGUUGGGAUGUGGUAUAUGUAUCAAGUUCUUAUUGCUGGUGAACAUUACUGGUUUAGUGUGCGAUCGUUUACUAUCACUGCAUGCAUUAUCAGUUUAUUUUAUUGAACUGUCCCAAAUCAGUAACGAAUCCUCAAUUCCCUCUGUUUUCUUUGGAUCCUAGUAGUGUUUGGCAUGCAUCAACUAGUGUUCAUGCAUGGGUCGGUUCAUCAUAGACAACUUCAGCACACAUACAACAGCCCUCAUUUCUUCUUAUAUUGUCGGUUCGAUAUCAUUUUGAAAAAUCAUAUCAAAACUGCUUUUGGAGUUCUAAUCCAGUGCAGUUACACCUAUAUUUUACUUUUGAUCUGCAACCUUGACUCACUGUCAUUUUGCUGUUAGUAUUUCGAUUAGCAACUUGUACAGUGGUAUUUGAACUGCAUGGUAUGUCAACUUUCACUCUAUGUGUCUUAGAAACUCUGUAUAUCACUAAUUUCCUAGCACAGGUCUUGUUGACAGUCAAAGAUUUGAGGCAUAUUUCUAUAUUGAAGGCUUUUCUGUCGUCAAUUUGAUGAUGAGCGCAUGUAUUAUCCCCAAUAUUUUGAGCAGGAACUUGUAACUAGUAAUAACCAGUACCUAAGAUGUUGCAUUUGAUUGACUUCUCUUUCUCGUUUAGUUUCAGCCGUUGGAGCUGUUUCAGACAUGGUAACUGAUACGUAAUUUCUCUCUUUCCACCCCACAAUGUAUCAUUAGUCAUCAUUCGUUCUGGUUGGCGUGGAUACGCAUACUAAUUUGGAUUAUUGUCUGUGCCUUCGUCUUUUGUCAAUAAUCUUUUGCAUUUCAGGAUUAGUACAGCUUGUAUACUGGUAAUACUCUCUCAACUAUACAUGUAAGACUUUGUUAUGUUUUCUUGACCCGUAAUCUAAUGCUAUAAGAUGACGGCAUAAUUGAGCUAUUUUGCAUCUCCAUGCAGGCCUGAUUUGGUUUUUGUGUCACUACCUGCAUUAGAUAUUGGUAGUCAAUGGCUGCAGAUGUACAGGUGCCGUUUCGUUUCCCUGACAUAAUCUCAUGUAACAUGAAAUUGCUUGUGAAACUGGAAGAUAUUUGAUUCUUUUUUUUUUUUUUCAUUUUUGCUAAAGAAAAGUGUUACUUGCGUUGGGAAAUAUGCCUACCACUCUGGAUCUCCGUUGCAGUACAUUCUUGAGAGGAAAAUCUAGCCAUAAAAUGUAAAAGACAACACAAAUUGGCUUUUCAAAGCCUAUGAUGGGAACCGGAUGUUUAUGGGUUAUAGUUGUGUGGCAUGUGAGGUAAUUGUAGCUUUCCGUGUUAUUAUCCAUAUCAGGAUUUGUAAAUGUUAUCAGUGCUUUUUACCUGAUCCAACUGUUUCAACCCUGCAGCUUCUUUACCUAAUCAUAUUUCUUAUUGCGGAGACGCAGAGUGAAAGUUUGGUGGAUGUAGGUUCUCAUUUUCUUACUAUUAGAUUGUUCUGCAUAUAGAAAGAUUUCCCCUGUUUCUCGCUUUGCAAACAAUCCUUCUUUCAGGUUGUGGUGAGUGCUGUGCGACAGGGCAAUCAAGCAAACGAUCAAUGUCAUAAAGGUAACUUGCACUCCAUAUUAUCGUAAUGUUCGUUUAUUCUGAUACUUCUUCACAAUAAGUAAAUUUCUUGAUGUCUACAAAUUAAGGAGACUUUUGUAUGGGUAAAGUUGACAUUUUACAAUGGCAUUCUGGAUCCUGAAAUCGGUCAGUUUGAGAUUCACAUGCUGUGAUAUGCUCUAAUGUUAAAACUCAAACCUUUUCUGUAUCUUAAAUGGAUUGUCGUGGAUAUGCCUGGGAUGAUCAUUUUCUUCCUCUUCACUUCAUCAUCUUUGUCAGAGUAGUUAUAAUUGAUUGAGGAGUGUGAAAACGCAUUGUGAUGAAUGAAUGCACAAGCUAUGUGAUUAAGACUGCAUUUAUUAGGUUGGUGACGGCAAAUAUCAGGCAGGAUAUUCACAAUAGUGCUACUGAAGCUUUAUAUGGAAUAAGGAGACCAAACCUCUAUAUGAUAAGAGUUGUAUGAAUACCAAAUGAAUUGUAAGAGGAUAUGGUUAAUUUAGAUUGUAAUUUAAGAAAGCAUGAGUUCUAAGAGCACAGAAAUGGGAUCAGUCUUGCUCAAGUGUGAACUCCAUCAGUUAGGAAGCUGUCCAUCAAAUGGAAAUAUUUACGUGAUUCAGAGAAAUUUUGGACUUUUGAUGAAAACAAAAAUCCUGUAUGCAUUUGCUUGCCCCGAAGGAGCUGAAAGUUCUCAAAUUGUUUGUAGACGUCAUAGUUCUCCUGAUGUCAUUUGGCUUGGUAAUCUUUUUUGCUCGAAAAUUUGCCCAUUGUGUGGUCUUGACGGUGGGUGAAAUUGAUUUGUGGUUUCAGAUGAAGACAGCAGCAGAUGUGUGUGUGCUAUAUGACAUCGAGAAAAAGCAAAGGCCUUAAAGAGUUCAUCAACAUUUUCCAUUUCAGAAGAAUCUGUUUGUGGUUCUCCUGCUCAAGUGCCUACUUUUCGGGGUGCAGCAUAUAUGUUGAGACCGGCAUAUGAAAUCACUAAACUUUUACAGUUGAUCCGAGGCUUCUCUAGCAAAGGAUUUGGAAUUAAUUUGGGGAAGGGGUGUUUUUUUGGGUAUAUGAGUGUGUGCAUUCCUUCAAUCACGUAGCUUCGUGCCAUUAACUUAUUGGCAAUUCCACAAUGGUGAUAAUGAUAAUUUUAUGAUUGGGGCACAGUUUUAGGAACUCUUUACUGGUUUUUCUUUCGCAUCUGUGUCUAUGAUUAAGGUUGUUUAAGGUGGUAUGGAUUUCAGUACAUUGAACAAAAAAUUAUUUAUUUUUAUUCAAAUAAAAAUACCUAAAAAUCAAACCUAAGUUAAAAAAAAUAAAGUUUAUGAUUGGGGCACAGUUUUAGGAACUCUUUACUGGUUUUUCUUUCGCAUCUGUGUCUAUGAUUAAGGUUGUUUAAGGUGGUAUGGAUUUCAGUACAUUGAACAAAAAAUUAUUUAUUUUUAUUCAAAUAAAAAUACCUAAAAAUCAAACCUAAGUUAAAAAAAAUAAAGUUUAAAAAUUUCUGAAAUUAAUCAAAUUUUAAAACUUGAGACUUUUAACAGAUUAAUCCAACCUUUGAAUAAAUAAACUAAAUGGGGGUCAGUUUUCUCGUGUCAGCUUGUUCAAUCGACACUAUCGUUUCAACCUCCCACGAAUAAACAAAUCACUAAUGAUGUGUCCAUUUCUUCUACUUUAUAAUAAUUUUUAAUAAAAAGAUUAUUAAAAAGAUUAUUAAAGUCAGUCUGGUUCCAAGAAGAAAGUGAACAUGAGAUGAUGAGAUGCCGUAUCAAAUGGGGCCACGUAGACAGAGGUGCUUCGAGGUGACAUGUCAGCAGAUAGCUCCACCGACGAUCUUCAAAAUAAUUUGAACGGUUGGGAUUUUAUUUUCAACUUACCUGUGUCCAGGCUGUUGUUGAUUGUCGCUAUCCUGAAUUGUCCACUUCGAAUUUUUUUUUUAAUUUCCCCAACACUCUCCUGACCAAAGGAGUUAAUAAGAUUUCGAUAUUUUUUUCUUUAAAUGAUUUGAAAUAUCAAUAUUUUAUAAUUUUUUUUUUGGGUCCUAUUUUGUCCAUAAAAUGUUUAGCGAUCUUUUCGUUAAUUAGUUUCGUGGAUGUCUUAUCAAAUUAUUACAACGGUGAUAACGGUUACACAUAAAAAUUAAGGAAAAAAAAAUGAUUAUAAUUAACGGUGUACGAUCCAUGUUGUCGAUACGCCGUUGGACAACUUUCAUUAGACUGAAGAUUUUCCUUUCCGCCCCGGCGCGGAAAUUAUCUGCGUUAAAAAAAUUUGUCACUCACAUUAAAAAAAUUAUCUGCGUCCCGCUAACACACUCUUUCACCUUCAAUGCACUGAGGAAAGAAUAUAUGCUAUGGAAUAUAUGGUAUGGUGUUUGGCUGGUCUGCUUUUUUCUUUUCAAUUAAUGUAAUAUUCUUAUGCUAUGGAAUUGAUUAUCAUAACUAAAGGAAAGAAUAUAUACUAUGGAAUAUAUGCUAUGGUCUUUGGCUGGUCUACUUUUUUCUUUUCAAUUAAUGUAUUAUUCAUAUGCUAUGGAAUAUGAAUAUUACAUUAAGGGAAAGAAUAUUUUUACACAGCACACUAUAAUACUCUAAUUACCAAUUUUUUAUCUUGUAAUACAAGUUCAUAGCGAUUAAUUUAUCCGUCUUCAGCCAAAAAAAAAGUCCCAUUUCAGCACAUAUACAAGCUAGAGCCCUCAUUUUUCUUUGCUUCAGCCAUUUUACAGCAGAAUCAUCACAGACACUUUGAGCUCUGCCGAAUCAUCAUAGACAAAUUGUGAUUGGUGGGAGCAUUACAAGAAAGGUACGACUACUUCGAACCGAUAGAUUUGUUUAUAUCAUUUAGCUAUCGUUUUAACUUUUAACAAUAAACAAGAGACAAUCAUGUACAUCAUUGGUUACAUAAAUAUUAAAAUGAGAUAAAUUUAUUCCUCUACUUGCCAGAUCCAUACAUAUUAAAAUGAGAUAAAUUUUAAGGUUUAAAAAUUUGCAAUUCAUCAAAAAUCUAGUGCGAUAUUAAGCAGUGAAAUCACUUAGGGUUAGUACAAGAGGUUUAUGAUUCCCUGACUCAUUUAUAUGGGUGGAGAGGGAAUUAGGCAAUGAAGAAUUGAUACAAAUUAAUAAUUAUAUUAUAAAAAGAAAUAAAUUUCAAGAGGGAUCAUAAGUUCAUAGAAGAUUGUAUGCCAGUUAUUUGUAAUGGAAUGGAGUUUUUUUGGAGAGGCUAUUUGGCUUGGAAUAUAUAUUGGAAUGAGAUUAUUUGAACCCACCGCAAUACUCUCUAAAAUCCACUUUUCAAUAAAAAAUUUUAGUUCAAAAUUUUCCUUAAUUAAAUUACUAUUUUAGCCAAAUAUUAUGUUGAUUUAUCUCCCUAAAGUUUUCAUUUUUUUUCACCCUUUUUUCUCUUUUCCUCUCUAUUUCCCCAAUUUUUUUUUUCCAGUCCUAUGUGGUUCUUAUAUUUUAAGGCUUCUAUUGGAGUAAGAUCUAUAUUCAAAUUGCUUAUCCAAAAAAAAAAAUUCUUUUAAAAUUUGCCUUUCCUUUACCCUCGAGUCACUAUUAGAUGUAUAUGCUCCUCAAGAAACUUUAGUAAUUGGAUUUCUAUUAAAUAUUUUAAUUUCAAAAAAUGAGAAGGUCACUAUACAAAUAUCAAAAUAUCACCAACUUAAUUAUACUAGUUAUAAUUGAGGGAAAUAAAAGACUUACUAUUUCUGUUUGAAGUUAUUAUGAUGAACAAAGAAAAAGGGGGGGGGGGGGGGAACAAGUCGCUGCAAUUGCAUCAAUUGAGGACAUGUUAAGAAACGUAUCAUUGAGAUAAGAUUUAAUUGAUAAAAUAAGAUUUACUAGAAAGUAGUGAGAGAAACAACUAACAAAAAUUCAUGAUACUUAUUGAGGGUAUAUUGAGAAUAUUUGUGGCUUUUUUGAGUAAAAAAUAAAGUUUUAAGUUGUGAUAAUAUGUUUAUUACGGAAAUGAGUUUAUUUAAUAUUACAGUGGAUUUAAGUAGCCUUACCCUUCAUAUUAUAAUAAAUUUUUACAUUACUCUAUAAUAGCCCUACUAUAGAGGACAAUUUAAUGAAAAUAUUGUUACUCUUAUACCUAUUAAAAGAAACAAUAUUAUCUUGUACGUACAAGAACGUUCUACUGCCCAAGUAAAAGUUUUAGUAAAACGUAUAAGAACUCUAAGGGUAAAGAGAAUUUCAUCAAGGUACUAUAGUAGUAUCUAAUGCUCUUUGCUAGUGUAAACUAUUUGCGCCACAUGUAGUAUUUCAAUCUUCACAAGUGGCAUUGCAUAUAGUGGCUCUUAUUUCAGUUCCUCAAAGGUACUCUAGAGGUACGUUAGCUUAUAAGCUAGUAUUUGGUCAUCAUGUGCUUCUUUUAAUGAAACAUGUGGUUCAUUUUGUCCAUAUACGAGAGCAUUUUGUGUGGAAUAACCUUGUAAAAUGCUCAUUUAUCAAGGACACAUGUCGUGUUGUCAGAACAUAGUAAAAAUAUGAUAUGCUAACCUAUGUGCAUUUAUGAAAAAUCAAAUGAAAACAAAGAACUAAAAAAAAAUGCAAAGGCUAAUUCAUAAUGUUUGAGUUUGAGAUGAUUAAUAUUUAAUUUUAUGGUUGCAAAGAUAAGAAUAAAAGUAGGUCUAGUGAGAAAUACCCUCAUAUUAUAAUACUAUUUAAAAUAAAUUUUGUUAUAAAAGAUUUUAUUUAAUAAGGUAUGGGGACUGUUCAAAAUAUAUUUUACAUACAAACUCAUAUGCAUGACGUAAUAGUAUGUCUCAUGCUAGGACUAGCAAUGGUCAAAUCAACCUAUUUUGAUAAGAUCCAUCAAAAUUAAUAUUUAAAAAAUUUAUCAUCUCAUUAUACAAUACACAGCUUUGCCAUCACAGCUUUGCCAUCUAGUAGAGAAUGAUUAGUUGGCACACCAUAGUUUACACGAAUAUUUCUAAUAUUUGAAUCGUCUGUUAGAAAAUUUUUAUCCUACCAUGAUCUUGUAAGUAAAAAUAUCAAAUAAAUAGUAAAUAGAAAAUAUACAGAGAAUAAAACCAAUCAUACAACACAAUAAUUUACGUGAAAAAUUCUUAUAUUGAAGAAAAACCACAGUCGCCAAAGAUGAUAAAAGAAAAAUCUACUAUUUAAAGAUCAUUACAAUUACUUUAAUAUUUUCCUCACAUAAAAAACCCUAAUAACAAAUAAUCUCUAAUUUCAGAAGCUGUCUACUUGUAUAGAAUUGAUUGUUGUGUUAUUCAAACAAGUGAAUCUAGCCUUUCGUAUAUAUUGUGAUUAUUUCAUAUUGGAAAAAUAUUUAUUUCCUUAAAUAAUAUUUAUUUCUCCUUUAAUAAGUUCUUUGGCAUUACUUAUUCCUUAAACAUGAACCCCCCCCCCCCCCGGAACAAGAAAAUUACUAAAUAAAAAAAUUCUAGGAAAUAUCCUAAUUUAGGAUUUACAAAUCUUCAUUGAAAAAGGAGAUAUGUUUCUUAAAAAUCUCCACUUUGGUGAGUUUUUCAAUUAAGCGACAAAAUAUAAUCCACCAUACAUCUAUGCAACCAUGUCGUCUCCCCCUUAUUUAGUCUACCAAAACCACACUAACAUAAGACUAAUGAGAAUCACUCCACCAUGAGCAAAAUCUUGUCCUCUAUCCAGCAGUCAUAAUUUUCUACAUCGAGAAUCAUCAUACUCCACAUUAUCCAGAGUACACAUGUUUUGUAACACUCCAAAAAUUACUCAUGAAAACACAAGGAUAAAAUUGGAAUGAAACUUUACAUCAUUUAUUCUUAUUAAUAAAUCUCAAGAUAGACAAUUAUUCAUACUCCAACUGAAUCCUUACAUAAAACAUCUGAAAUAAAGUCUAUAAAGAAAAGUCUCUAGUCCAAAAUAAAAAGUCUAGCCAAAUUCACUCUUGAAAGCAACUCCAAAGAUCCACUAAGAAAAAUUCUCCAUCUAAGCACCCAAGCCACAUUUCUAAUCAAUCUACAAAAUAUUGGAGAUGAGGGGUGAGCCGUCAACUCGGUAAGCAAAUCCAUGCACAAUAUUUGAAAACCUUGUCAUUUUACCUUUAAAUAUUUUAUAACAACAUCUUCAUUUAGCAUAAGGGGUGGAUUCAUAUAAAAGCAUUAAAAACAUUAAAACAUUCAUAAAAACGUUAAAACAUAAACAUUGGUAGCUCAUGCCUCGUAGUCAUCAUCAUUCAUCAUUCAUCAUUUAGGGUGUUAUACCCCGCAUUUUUCCUCAUUUAGGGUACUAUACCCCACAUUGUUCAUAAUAUCCUUGUGCACCAGAUCAUCAUCAUACCAACAAGCUGGCCUUAGCAUUUCAUAACAUCACAACAUUAACAUCAUAUACAUUACUACGGACUAUGAGCCAAAACAUUUUUGAAUCCACCUUACAUCUUUUCAUAAAUAGCAUUUAAAGUCUUCUAAAACAUUUAAGAACUUUUCUUUUACACAUUUAAUUCUUUUAAAAAAUUCUUUAAGAAAACAUUUAAUUUAAAAAAACUAAUUUCUUAAGAAAAAAUCAUUUGAAAAUACAUUUAUAUAAAUUCAUUUAGAAGCGUUUUUAUUUUACAAAAUUCAUUUAAAUAUUUUAGAAAUCAGUUUUGUAAAAAUCUCUAUUUAAACAUAAUUCUUAUAACAUAAUUCGUAUUUAUUAUAAAGGACAUCAUGCAUGAAUCUACUUAUCUCGAUCCAUAGCAAUCAAUUCAAUACCUCAAGAAUAACCAACGAGCUCACCCACGUCCUGUAAUCAUCAUAAAAAUAUUCUUAUGAAUAUCAUCUCUAACCUUAAACAUAAUCCCAGUCAUCCUUAAAUCAUAGGCACUUGUACUAGCUUAAUACUUAUACAUAUUCUAAACAUAUCCUAUACUUAUGAGUAUCUUGUACAUGCUGAUUUUUAAUAACCUAUACACAUGUCGAAAAACCAUGAAAAUUUACAGAGGCACUGUGAACAUGCAUAGCAUUGCAUACAAUAUUUCACAAAAAUCAGCACAAGUCAAAAUCGAGUCAGAAUAUUGGCCUUUCACCAAAGUAACAAAAUUGUCCAGCACUGACCAAAACAGACAUUUUCCAAUUAGAAAAUUCAUAAAAUUUUCUUUAGUACUCGAAAUAAUAUGUUUCUUUUUUCGAAUCACAGAAGAAACAUUCAGAAAGCACUAAUUAAAUUUCAUAAUUUUUGGACUCCUGAAACUAUUUUAAAACGUUUUAUUUCCGAGAACAUCUAACCCGUCCAGAAAAUCUUAGAGUUGAAAACAGAAUUUCAAAAAUUCGUAUCUUUUAUUUUACAUGCCCAAAAAUCACGAUUCCAUUUUUUAAAGACAGAGGAAAGAUUGAAAUUUCAUUAUAAAAUCCUAACAUGGCAUGUAAUAUUCAUAAACUAGCCCAACUGUUAUACGUUUCAGCUUCUGCAAUUCUGGAAAACAGUUUCCAGAUUUGCAGCAGCCACAUGUUACGGUUUUUAAUAAUUCAACCAUAAAGAAUAAAACUACGAAAUUAAACAUGCAAGCAUAGGAGACAUAUAUCUGUUGAUACAAAAAUCGCCAUAAUUUUUAAGGAUGUGUAACCUUAUAGAAAAAUUUCCAGAAUUGAGAACCGCUGCUGAAAAUCGGAAUUUUCCAGCACCAGUAACCCAACUUCGAAAACCCAUAACAAUUUGCAUAAUUAGACGAUUUCAACACAAAACCUAUCAAUGGAAAGCUUAGGAUGUCUAGUUCCAUGAUAUGUAAGCAUAUUCAUGUGAUUCUAAAUAGAGAAAACGCUUUCAAGCAAGGAAUAGAGACUGUUCAUAUCAUCACAACAUUACAAACACGCAUAUAUUACCCAAAUCAUACUACGAGUAAUUAAAGGCAAACAAUUCAAAAAAAUAAAUCAUAUAAGUCUAAGAAAUAUUUAAUACCUUAAGGAAAACACUAAGAAAAGAAGUUAUAAAACUUUCUUUUCCUUCUCCAAAGACUUAUGUUUCUUUCUUUUCUUUCUAGGGUUUGUAACGGUGUAGAAAAUAAAAGACGGCUUCCUCUUAAAUACUUGUCAAUUAAUAAAUACUUUUUUUAAAAUUUAAUAACUUAUGUAAUUUAUUUAAAGCAAUUUGAUAAAUUUUACUCACACACAAACACUCAAUAAUAAUUAUCCUACUCAAUUUUGAUAAGGGUAAAAGUAGAAAAAUAAAUAAAUAAAUAAAUAAAAGUGGGCGUUACAUGUUUGGCAUAUGUCGAUGACAUUUCUAAAAUUACCCACUCUCAUGUUUGGCUUUUUUGAGAGUCCUCAUCAAUCAACAUAAAAAUUUCAUCUCAUACCUUGCAUAAAUACUAAACUAGGGGUUGUGUGCAUAUCUUGUGGACCAAUUAGCAAUAACACAUCCUCUUCACGAAACACCAAUAGAUGUCAUAAUUACUAUCUCUUUCUGUUGAUUUAAAACUACUUUCCAAAUUUGCUAUAUUCCAACAAUCUCUUUUAAGAUGUUUUGAUUACCUACACUCGUCCAAGGGUUUCUACUAGUGGAAUAGGCCUUACAUUGUUCUUUGCUUUACUUGUAUAGACAUACUGAAUCAUUACGUUAUUGACUUGAGCUUCCCAUAAGCAAACAUUGAUUAUUCUGUCAAACUUUUUUGUUUCUAUCCUCAUAGGUUUUGAAAACCUCCUUGUUGCCAUAUUUGUUCUACAUUGCAACCUUAGCUCUAUUAUCACCUACUAAGAAAUAAUUAAUUCCACUUAAGAUUCGUAAGAAAAAAUAUCAAAUAAAUAGUAAAUAUAAAAUAGAUAGAAAAUAAAGCCAAUCAAAUAAUACAAAAUUUACAUGAAAACUUCUAUAUUGGAAAAAAACUAUAAUAGCCAAGGACAAUAAGAGAAAAAAUUAUUAUGUAAAAAUUAUUAUAAUUACUCUAGUAUUUUUUUAACACCUAAAACACCAAAAGCACCUAAUCUCUUAAUAGAACUAUCUUUUCUCUCGCAGUAAAAACUAUAUGCUUACAGACAAUCGAUUGUUAUAUUAUGCAAAUAAGUAAACCUAAUCUCCAUAUAUACAUAUAUAUGUGUGUGUGUGUGUGUGUGUAGGUAUGUAUGUAUAUAUGUAUGUAUGUGUAUGUAUGUGUGUAUAUAUAUAUACACACAUAUAUAGAUACCUACAUACAUACAUACAUAUAUAUAUGUACAUGUAUGUACAUACAUACAUACAUACAUACAUACAUACACACACACACAUACAUGCAUACAUACAUAUAUGGUUUGUAUUCCUCUUUGAAUAAGUUAAGUUCUAAAGAGAAAAUUACUUAUUUCUUAAAUAUGAAUUAUCUUCAAUAAGAAAACUGAAAAGUGUAGAAAAUUCCUAAUUUAGGACUUAAAAAUCUUCUUUGAAGAAAGAGACAUCUCCCAAUAUCCUCAAAUCCUCUUUACAAUGCCACCAAUCUCUUUUGUGACUAGCCCAGUUGAAACUUUUAAUUGAUGGGCUGUAAUUGCCAAUAUCCAAAAUAUCCAAAUAAAACAAAUUUCCAUAGGUAUAUUGGUAGAUUGAAUGACAACUAACAAACACGUGAUUUGAUUAACUUAUUUCCAAAAAAAAAGAAAAAAAAAAGAUACAAUGGAUGAACAUAAGACUCUUUCAACUCAUGGAAUUCAUCAAUACGGCCUUGGCUGAUCCACCUCAUGACUAGUAGAGUUCAAACCCCCGCUAAAUAGUAAAAAAAAAUAUUUGGAUUAUUAAUUACUCUUUCUUAAGUCUAUUUAAACUUAACUUUGAGAAUUAUGAACGUCUACACUUUAAUUAAAACAAUACAAGCCCACCCGUUUGUAUUUAAAAUUUUGUUUGAAUUUAUUCACGAGCAACAAGAAUAGUAUAAAUGGAAAAAAAAAACCAUCAAAUAAUAUCCCAUGACUCUGUUUCUUCAAUUUCAGGAGCAAUGGUGGAAUCAUAUUUUCCGAUUGAAAAACUUUUGGAAAAAUUAGUGAGCUCUACUUGUGAAGAACUUUUAUUGUUCUACGGUGUCAAAAAUGACUUACAAAAAUUAAAGGAGACGUUAACCACUGUCAAAAGUGUGGUUUUGGAUGCUGAGGAAAAGCAAAUCCAUAAUCGCCGGUUAAACGAUUGGCUGGGAAAGCUUAAGGAUGCUUGUUAUGAUGCAGAAGAUGUGUUGGAUGAAUUUGAGGUGGAAAAUCUACGAGGAAAGUCAUGAAGCAAAGAAGCAUCGGAAGAAAGUUUCGUAACUUUUUUGGAAGCUCAAAUCCGAUAGCUUUUCGUUUUAGAAUGGGUCAUCAAAUCAAGAAAAUUCGAGAGAGGUUUGAUGAGAUUGCAAAAUUGAGGGGUGAGUUUAAUCUCAUUGAACGACUUGACGAUCAUCGGCUAGUUGGGCACAAAGAAAGGGAACCCACUCACUCGUUUGUGCUUUCAUCAGAUAUUAUUGGAAGAGAUAAAGAUAGAGAAAAGAUUAUUGAACUAUUGAUGCAAACAAGUGACGGCGAAAGUGAAACUGUGUCUGUGGUUCCUAUUGUGGGACUUGGAGGUUUGGGCAAGACUGCACUUGCAAAAUUGGUGUACAAUGAUCAAAGGGUAGAAGAGCAUUUUGAGUUGAAAAUCUGGAUAUGUGUUUCUGAGGAUUUUGAUGAGAGACAAAUUAUGACAAAGAUUAUCAAGUCGAUAACUGGUCAAAACCAAGGUGACUUGGAUACAGACCAAUUGCAGCGAAUCUUGCGAGAUCGUUUGAAUGGUAAGAGAUACUUGCUUGUUAUGGAUGAUGUAUGGAACGAAGAUCCUGAAGCAUGGCGUAAAUUAAAAAGCUUAUUCUUGGGAGGUGCUAACGGAAGCAAAAUUUUGGUAACCACACGUAGCAGGAAGGUUGCUUCAAUCAUGGGCACGAGGGGAGGUACUACUGGCUACAACUUACAAGGUCUACCAUUCGAGGAUUGCUUGUCUUUGUUUAUGAAAUGUGCAUUUAAAGAAGAGCGAGAUAAACAUCCAAACCUCAUAAAAAUCGGGGAAGAAAUUGUGAAAAAAUGUGGAGGAAUUCCUCUGGCAGUCAGAUCACUAGGAAGUCUACUAUAUGACUCAACGGAUGAACAUUUUUGGGAAUAUGUGAGGGAUAAUGAGAUAUGGCAGUUAGAGCAAAAGGAAAGUGGUAUUUUACCUGCUCUGAGGUUAAGCUACGAUCAAUUGCCGCCUCACCUGAAACGAUGUGUUGCUUAUUGUUCAAUCUUUCCCAAGGAUUAUCAAUUUUAUGGUGAUUCUUUGGUUCAAUUUUGGAUGGCUCAUGGUCUUCUCCAAUCGCAUAAUAAGAAAGAAGAGUUAGAAGAUAUUGGUAUGCGGUACUUGAAGGAAUUACUAUCAAGAUCUUUCUUCCAAGAUUGGACUUUUGGGAUUUCAGGAAUGGAGUCGUUCACUUUCAAAAUGCACGACCUUAUGCAUGAUCUUGCCCUGCUAGUGGCCAAAGAUGAAUUCCUAGUAGUGAACUCUGAUCGUCAAUCUAUUCCCAAAAGUGUCCGUCAUUUGUCAUUUGCUGCUGCUACUGCAUCAAGAAAUGACUUUUCAAGCCUUUUGUCUGAUCUAGGUCGUGUGAGAACCAUUUUCUUUUCAACUGAUGAUGAGAAGACAAGCCAAUCAUUUGUUGAAUCAUGCAUCUCAAAGUCGCAGUUCCUGAGAGUGCUAAAUUUAAGUGAAUCUUCUAUUGAGGUUUGUUCCAGGAAGAUGGGAAAUUUGAAGCACAUGAGGUAUCUUGAUCUGUCGAGAAAUUAUAAAAUCAAGAAACUUCCAAAAUCCAUUUGCAAGCUACAGAGUUUACAAACACUGGAUCUUGAAGGAUGUCUGGAGCUAGAAGAGUUGCCUAAAGACAUAAGGUACCUUGUCAGUCUCAGAGUGUUAGUGCUAACCACAAAACAGAAGUCUUUGCAAGAGAUUGGAAUAAGGAGCUUGGGUUCUCUUCGUUGUUUGACAAUUUCUGGUUGUAGGGAUUUAGAACAUUUGUUCGAGGAGAUAGAUCAAUUAAGUGUCCUUCGAACAUUAGUAAUUGUUAGUUGUCCUAGUCUAAUCUCAUUGCCACCUGCUAUCAAAUAUCUCAGCUCAUUAGAGACUCUGAUUUUGUCGGAUUGUGAAAGCCUUGAUCUUAAUCUGAACGUGGAAAUGGAAGGUGAAGGAAGUCAUCAUGAUCGCAAAAACACAAGGCCUCACAUUCGGAGGGUUUUCAUCGGGGAAAUAACACAGUUAUUAGAACUGCCACAAUGGCUUCUUCAAUGUUGUACUGAUUCUUUACAGAGCUUGUUAAUUUCUGAUUGUCCCAACUUCUUGGCACUACCAGGGUCUCUAAAAGAUCUCGAAGCUCUUGAAACUCUUGUCAUCGGGAAUUGUCCAAAAUUGUCAUCGCUGCCGGAGGGUAUGCAUCACGUCACAACUCUGAAAUCAUUGACCAUUAUAGGAUGUCCUGCACUGAGUGAACGAUGCGAACCGCCAACAGGUGAAGAUUGGCCCAAGAUUGCACAUAUCACUCAGAUUGAUAUGGAUGGUUCCCCAGUUUCAGUGCGUUGAAGACGAGAUAAUCAAAUCAAGAGAUAUUUAGGUAUGGAUUUUUUUUUUCAAUAAGCAUACCACUCUGUUAUAUUUCCUCUUUUCAUGCAGCUUUGUAAUUUUUAAUUUCUCAUACAGCUAUACCGUUUAUAGUUUAAUGUUUUGUUAUGUUUACCAAACGAAAACUGGACUUUGAACGUUAGUUAGUUCAAUCAAACUUGUACUAAUUUAUUUUCUUCUAAUAGAUAAGUAGUUUGUCAGUACAAAACACAAAAAUAAAAUUUUGGAAACCGCACUGUUCUAGGGGUCAGAUCUGUUUCUAAAUUCAAACAGUUCAGGAUUUUUCAAAAUGGAACUUAUAAUGAGAUUUUUUUUUUAAUUAUCUAGUUAUCUUCAUAUGGAAUUUCAAUCUUUGUUAAUACUUUAACUUGCGCCGAAACAUCUAACAAUUCUUCCUCUUAUCCUUUUUUUUUCCCAAAUAUUGCAGCUUUCUUGGGAGAGGUUCAACCAAACUGCAGGGACAGUGAAAAUAUUACUCUAACGUUUUUCAGAACAGAGCUUCAAAGGUUUUAAUGUUGAUAAACAAGUACAUUGAGUGAGGUAUAUGUGUGUGCCUGUGUGGUCAUCACAAACAGUGAAAAAGUCAUUUUAUCAAAUGAUUUGGUGAAAUUUCAAGUACUUUCAGCUUGGUUUUUGCAGUUAAUAGGAAGUAGUUUGGUCUUGGGAUGUGGUAUAUGUAUCAAGUUCUUAUUGCUGGUGAACAUUACUGGUUUAGUGUGUGAUCAUUUACUAUCACUGCAUGCAUUAUCAGUUUAUUUUAUUAAACUAUCCCAAAUCAGUAACGAAUCCUCAAUUCCCUCUGUUUUCUUUGGAUCCUAGUAGUGUUUGGCAUGCAUCAACUAGUGUUCAUGCAUGUGUCGGUUCAUCAUAGACAACUUCAGCACACAUACAACGGCCCUCAUUUCUCCUUGCUCCAAUCAAUCGAUGGCAGAAUCAUCACAGACACCUUGAGCUCUGUCGAAUCAUCAUAGACAAUUUGUGAUUAGUGGGAGCAUUACAAGAAAGUUACGACUACUUCAAACUGUUAGAUUUGUUAAUAUGAUUCGGCUAUAGUUCUAUAAUUGGUGAGUUUUUGUGGGUUUGUUUGAUAUUUUUUUGUGGGUUUGUUUCUUAUAAUCUUUAUCCAGUCAAAGCAAACGUUCGCCUCUCACAUUGACGGUUAGGCUAGAUGUUUGACCCUGAAUAAGAUGAUUGAGUUUAUUAUAGUCUUCUUAUAUUGUCGGUUCAAUAUCAUUUUGAAAUAUCACAUCAAUUUCACUUUUGGAGUUUUAAUCCAUGCCCAGUUACACCUUUAUUUUACUUUUAAGCUGCAACAUUGAGUCACAUUCUUUUUCUGUUAUUAUUACGAUUAGCGACUGGUACAGUGGUAUUUGAACUGCAUAGCGUGUCAACAUUCACUCUAAAUGUCUUAGAAACUCUGUCUAUCACUAAUUUCCUAGAACAGGCCUCGUUGACAGUCAAAGAUUUGAGGCGUCUUUGUCAUCGUAGUUAUAAUUGAUUGUGGAGAGUGAAAACGCACUGUGAUGAAUGAAUGCAAAAGCUAUGUAAUUAAGACUACAUUUCUUAGGUUGGUGACCACAAAUAAUCGGAAGGAUAUUCACAAUAGUGUUAUUGAAGCUCUAUAUGGAAUAAGGAGACCAAACCUGUAUGUGAUAAGAGUUGUAUGAAUACCAAAUGAAUUGUAAGAGGAUAUGGUUACUUUAGAUUGCAAUUUAAGAAUGCUUGAGUUCUAAAAGCACAGAAAUGGGAUCAGUCUCUUGCUCGAGGGUAAACUCCUUCGUCAGUUAGUGAACUGUCCAUCAAAAGUAAAUAUUUAUGUGAUUGAGAGAAAUUUUGGAUUUUUGAUGAAAACAAAAAUCCUGUAUGCAUUUGCUUGCCCCCAAGGAGCUGAAGAUUCUCAAAUUGUUUGUAGACGUAAUAGUUCUUCUGAUAUCAUUUGGCUUGCUAAUCUUUCUUGCUCGAAAAUUUGCCCGUUGUGUGGUCUUGAUGGUGGGUGAAAUUGAUGUGUGGUUUCAGAUGAAGACGGCAGCAGAUAUGUGUGUGCCAUAUGACAUCGAGAAAAAGCAAAAGCCUUAAAGAGUUCAUCAACAUUUUCCAUUCAGAAGAAUCUGUUUUGUGGUUUUCAUGCUCGAGUGCCUACUUUUCAGUAUGCAAGCAGAGGAUUUGGCAUUAAUUUGGGGAAGCCUUUUUUUUGGGUAUAUGAGUGUGUGCAUUCCUUCAAUCACGUAGCUUUGUGCCAUUAACAUAAUGGCAAUUCCACAAUUGUGAUAAUGAGAAUUUUAUGAUUGGGGCAUAUUGUUAGGAACUCUUUACUGGUUUUUCUUUCCCCAUCUGGAUCUAUGAUUAAGGUUGUUUAAGGUGUUAUGGCUUUUAAUCUGCAAUCAUUGCGAAAGGGACUCACUAGCCGGCAAAUAAUAAAACAUGGUGCUGUCAAAUUUUAUAAGGAUUAUAUAUACAUACUCUUUCGUCUUCAAUGCACUGAAACUGGGGAACCAUCUAUAUGAUUUUCAUUCAGAAAAACCGGCGGGAACUAAUGACUUUCAUGAUUAAAAGUAGGAUUAUCGGAUUAUGGAGCAUUGUUAUGUAACGUUUUAUGGUUAUCUUAAGGAAAAAGUUGGCUUGGAAAUUAACUGAAAGGCAAUAUUCAUUCUAUCAUAAAACAAGUGUUUUUUUCACAAGGGGAGAAGGUUCCCUUUAUAAUUUACUAAUUUAUGCAACCGUUAAUAUUAAAAGAAAUUUUUUUUUAUAUUAAGGAUGAUGAUUCUUUUUCCCUUAGUAAAGUCUGUAUAUAACAUAUGAUGUGGUAAGCAAGGAAUCAAUUUAUCCCCUAUUUUGUUUUUCUUACUUUUUUUUCCCAAAAUAUUGCAACUUUCUUUGAAGAGGUUCGGCCAAACUGCUGAGACCGUCAGUACAGAGGUUCAACGGUUUUUUAAUACUGCAUUUUAAAAUUACAUGUAUUAUAUAUUCAUUACUUGUGAUUAUGUAAUUUUCUGAUGAUAAGUACAUUGAGUAAUGUAUAUAUGUGUGGCUGUGUGAUCAUUACUGAUAAUCUUAAUCAUAUAUUUCAAUACCAAUAAUGUUUCAGAAUUUCUCAAAUUCUCAGAAUAUACUCUCAAAUUCAUGUUUAUACUCUGUUCUUUCUCUUUCUCCUUCCUGGGUAAAUAUAAUUCAUUUGAUCGGGCUCUAAAUCCAUUUGAUCAGCAAUUAUUCUUUACGAGUUUGGCAAUCGAGCAAACUGAUUAUCAGUUGGCAAACUAAUUAGAUAUUGCAUUUUGGCCUUGAAGUGAAAUUAGUGAACAUGUUUCUUGAGGGCUCUUUUUAUAAGACACUUGAAGAAGAAAAUUCAUAUUUUUGCAAUGCUUCUUUCUCAAUAUAAAAUGAGUAAUUCGAAAGAAAAUUUAUUAUAGUAGAAACUACAACAAAAAGUUUUAAGUAUUGUUAAUCACAUCAUCAUAUUACGGUAUUACCAUUUAAUUUUUUAUUUUUAUCUAGUUUAAAUGAAAAAUUAAAGAAGCUUGGAACUUGGAGGGUAAUUUGAAUUCCGAAACGGCACCGUUUCACCUCGACCCACUAGAUACAAACUGAUUAUGAGUGAUACCAACGAUUGACCACUGUGACAGAGAGCCUCUCUCGGCGACGCCGACGGCCAGCUUUCACGCUCAUCUGCCGUCAUAUUCGCCAGCCGCCUGCUGUCACUCCGUCUUUGUUGUUGCGCCGGUGAAGGUGAGUACCGAGUUGCCAGUUGAGUUCAAUGGUUGUAUUUUGUAAUAGCAAUUAUAAUUAUCGGGUUUAAUUUGGGACAAUUUUGAUCAUCAAACUUUGCCAUGUUUCGUAUGACUCUGUUCUGUCUCACAUAGCAGGUUCUUGGUAGUUCGUACUCAUCAAUGUAUCCUGAUCGUGGUAUGGGAGGCAGCAGUUACAUGGGUAGUGGUGGUUCCGGAUCAUACUAGUGCUACGGUAAAAAUUGAAUUGUAAGUGAAAUUUUCUUUUAUGUAAAAUUACAAUGAUAUGAUUUUCUUGGUGUAUCAUAAACUGAGGUAUAAUGGUUCACCGAAGACUUUGGCAUCUCUCCAGUUUGCUAAGACGUAUGGCUCACAACGAAGGAAUCUACGGUAACAAGUGAAUAUUCUAUGGAACAGACUUGAGAUGAUGACAAAGAGGGUGCUGUAAGUGUAGGGUGUGGACUAUAUGAAGCUUCUCACACUAGGAUGCUUGCUACUUUGGAGAGGAUCAAGUUGCUGAGCCUAACAGCCUCCAUAUGUCACGGGAAGGGCUGCACUGGUUUAGGCCAUUCUUGGUUCUACAGACUGAUUACUUUGUCAAGUCUUAAUGCUGCAAGGAAACUCCCCUCAGUGUGUGAUAUGUACGAAUUGCUUCUUUACUUUUCUGUAUAAGAACUCCACUCGAUGGACAGUGUGGAGGCAUCUGUAUAAAUCUGUUUAUUGGAACCGACCCUGUCUUGAUCCGAAUUUUAAAACCUAAUCGAAUUUUAAUAUCGAACCCAACCGGAUAUCUCGAUUCGAUUCGGUUUGGUUUUAAACUCGGUUCUAUUUUUUAGGAACCGCCAGCUUGGGUACGGAACCGAACCAAACCAAACCGUACACUGUGUGCCUCGGUAAAGAGUUUGAUUUCUCUAUUUUAACCUUAAUUAAAUAUUGAUUUCCAAUUUUACCCUUUAACAAAACUAAAUUAAAUAACAAUAAUUUUCACUUCCUUUUUUGAUUUCAUUUUACGGCUCAACAAAACGGGGUUUUUAAUUAAAUAUGCCUUAAAAGUACGGUAUUUAGUUAAAUAUACCUCAUGCUUGAAAAUUAUCUAAAUAUGCCUUUUUAUGUGGUACAUUGUCUAAAAUGUCCCUAAAGAAAAAUAUAAAACACACACAACUCACAACACUCUUUACUUCACUCUUUAACUCCACACAACAAAAACUCACACUACACUCAAAAUCACUCACAAACAGAUAAUGCACUGAGAUUUUUAUUUGCAGCUGGGUGUAUUAUUCAUCCCAUGAAUAAGGUAUUUGAAACUUUUUAUUUUUUAUUUUGGGCUAUCUAUUCAAUUUGUUGACAUUAUAUUAUUUUUAGGGUUUUGUUUGGUUUGUGAUAAACACUAAAGCAACUCUUAUUUUUAUUACAUUUGCAUCAUAUGAUUGUUAUUUGAUGGAUUUUAUAACUACAUUCGUUAAAACCUGAAGUUGUUGUCAAAUUUUUUUUCUGCACCCGACAUACACGACAGUAGUCGUGUAUGUAUGUAUUUACACGACUGUAGUCGUGAAAAUGUGCAAAAAAAAAUCAAUUAUUAUGACACCUUAUCAUUCUAUUGGUUCAAAAAAUAUAUUUUUUUCACUAUAUUUAUCAUUUUACUAUUACUGCACUAUAGUCGUGUGUGUUAAUAAGUUACACGACUACUAGCAUGUACGUAUAAACUUACAUACUAUAAUUGUGUAUAUAUGUAAAAUGUUCCAAUUGGUAUGAGAUCCCAACAUUUUUUUAAGAAGAAAUGUCCUUUGAUUAUUUACUGAGUCAUGUAUUUUUGCAACUUACACGACUUCUGUCAUGUAUGUAUGAAUUUACACGACAACAAUCGUACAAGUUUGAAAGAUAUAGUAGUUGUUAUGACACCUAACAUUCUGUUAGUACAAAGAUUAUGGUUAUAUUUUAUUAAAUAUAUCAUCUGACUGUUUACAGAACUAUAGUUGUGUAUUUUAGCAAGUUACACAACUAUUAUCGUGUAAACUAUCAAUUACACGACGUCAAUCGUGUAAAUAGGCAGACAAAUCCACACUUCAUUUUAAGUCUUGUGAACAUGCAUUAGCUGUUUGUAGGUAUCGAGAAACAUUGUCUGUAUAUGACAUGUGUUCUCGUUACUAUUCCAGUGAAGCAUGGGUUGUAGCAUACGCAGAAACAAUAUAUCCUGUUGGCAUAGAAGAAGAAAUUAGAGGUUUCAGAAAAAGUGCAAAGUAAUGAGGUGUUGCCCCCUGUGGAAAAGUGGAAAAGGGGUCGGCCACAACAAAUUAGGAUACCAUCACAAGGCGACGAAAAGUUACGCCGUAAGUGUGGUAGGUGUGGUUCUCGAGGACAUAAUCGACUAACUUGCAGUGCACCAAUCCCACUGUCUAACAAUGAGCCCGUAGUUAAAUCGAAUGAAACAUAAACAAGCACAUGUACUACUAUGAACCUUAUAUACUUGUUAUUUUUUGUUGUUUUAAUUUUUUUAAUAUCUUUCAUAUUUAGUGAUAAAUUUCUACCUUUUGUUUCACAGAUGAAUAACUGUGUUUGUGUGGCUUUCUAAGAAUAAGUAUUGAAGGGAGGCGACUAGAGGCUUAUAAAAUAUGGACCGAGUGUUUGGGUUGAAUAUGCCAAAAAUUUAUGAUGAAUGUUAAACAACUUCUAUUGUAUUACGACUUAUUUACGAUUUCAAUAAGUAUUGAAUUUAUGUUAUUUAAUAAGCAACCGGACUAUAGUUAAUUUCAUUUAUUUGAAGUUUGAUAUGUUUAAAAUCUAUAUUGAUUGUGUCAUCAAUAUAAUGAAUGAUUGAAAAGAGUUUUUAUUCUGUGCACAUACCCGAGUACAAUCGUGUAUUUUGGCUGUUACAGAACUACUCAUGUUUAUUUCUAAAUACUCGACUACAGUCGUGUAUCUGUGCAAAUACCCGACUGUCACAGAGAGCUUGUCAUGUUUAUUUCUAAAUACUCGACCAUAGUUGUGUAUCUGUGCAAAUACCUGACUGCAGUCGAGUAUUUUGUCACAGAGAGCUUAUUAUGUUUAUUUCUAAAUACCCGACUGCAGUCGUGUAUCUGUGCAAAUACCCGACUGCAGUCGAGUAUUUUGUCACAGAGAGCUUAUUAUGUUUAUUUCCAAAUACCCGACUGCAGUCGAGUAUUUUGUCACAGAGAGUUUGUCAUGUUUAUUUCUAAAUACCUGACUGUAGUCGUGUAUCUGUGCAAAAACCCGACUGCAAUCGUGUAUUUUCUUACAGUGUAUUCCCUGUGCAUAUAUGGCAAUCCUGUUAUAUCACAUAGAUUGUACAAACUAUCUUAUCUAUCAUUAAUAUAAUUAACAAAGAAAUAAAUUAUAUUAAUGUUGUCAAUUUUCUUUAAUGACAUCAAAUAUCAACAACAUCCUCAUCAUAACUAUUACAUCUCAUAGUCCAAAAAAUGACACUACAAAGUUUUUUUUCAUGACCUAUGCCUAAAUAAUUUUACAGCCAAGGCUUGUCGAAAUUGUGUAACAUGAUCUUGUUGGCAAUAUAAAUUGACAUCAAGUCCAUGGGCUAGGACCUUUAAGUACCGCAACAAAAAUGCUCCACAAUCACCACUAAAAAAAUUCAUAUAAAUCAAUUGUUAAAAAUCAUCAUUUUAUGUGAUUUCAGCAUUGAAGUAUUUGCAGGUACUAUACAAAGGCAUUAUAGUUCCCAAUCAAGAAUAUGGAAUUUGUCUCGACAACUUGAAUAACAAAUCUCUGUACUUCCCAGUUUCAAAGUACUGGUAACAGAAACACAUUUUGGCAGUAACACAUUUUUCCAGUUUUUCCAUAGUUCUCAUCACCUUGUGACAAAUUUGUAAAUCACAAGUUAUUCCUCUUUUUCUCUUUUAUAAUAUAACAUUAUUAAUCAAAUAAAAUGCAAUUAAUUUGUUCAAUGACUUUAUCACAACUUCAUGAACUAAUUUCAAGACAACUCCUAGUCUUAGUUCUCAACUGCAAGUAUUGAAGUUGGGUUGAUUAUUUCUUGAUAGAAGUGACACCAAAAUCGAAAUUGAUGUGCAUUUUAUAUGUGUAAUUUGCCCAAAAAGAAUUAAAGAUUCAAGAACCUUGCAAGGAGAGAAAGUUGCCAUGUGUGCAAAUGUGGUCCACUUAAAUAAAAAUGAAAUUCUGGAGACAAACAAAACAACAAAAUGUACACGUUGCCAUCUGCAUUCACUCAAAACUCAAUUCGCUUAACCGGGCCAUAUACUCCUCAUGGAUGGAAAGUAAAAUCCUAGUCUCACCUAACAUUUUCACAGAUAUUAAAUUGAUAAAUUACCUUCAAUUUUUCGUUUUACUUGUUUUGGCGCGUUUCAACGAGAGUGUAGAAGAGUUGUUGUAAAAUGGCAGGGAUUUGUAAAAUGGAAGAUGAGACGCUGAAGGAGAGUGGGGGAAUUGCAGCUACUGGUUUGCACAGAAGCGGCGUCGUUUUACUUGUUUUGCUGCGUUUCGGCUAGAGUGUGUAGAAGAAUUGUUGUAAAAUUGCAGGGAUUUGUAAAAUGGAGGAGGAGAAAUCAGAAGAAGGGGCUGAAGGAGACGCUGCUCAUGAGAGAAUUGGGGGUUUUGUUAAUUGGUUGUGGUAGUUUGGUUGAUUUAGGUUUUUCAUUAGGUUAAUUUCGUAACUGCACAUUAGAAAAAGUAUAUACAGUGAAUUUUUGAGUAUGAGGGUGUUUUUAGAUAAAUACCCUAUUUUUAGGGUAUACCACGGACAAAUCCCUGCAACGGAAUCUCUCAAAACCGUUGUUCUGAACUUCCGGCGGCUUUCAGUACCGGCGAAGGCUGAAGAUUCAAGCAAUAGAGCUGCUCAUGAUGAGGGGAAGGAGAAGAAGACUUAGCGAGUUCGCAAGAACGUAUAUAGAGGAAUAAGGGAGAGGCCGUGGGAAAAAUGGGCAGUUGAAAUUAGAGACCCUUUCAAGGGCGUCCGCGUUUGGCUCGGCACACUUUCAACACAGCCGAAGCCACCAAGCGUAUCCGCGGCAACAAGGCCUAGCUCAACUUUGCUCUGCCGCCGCCGGCGCCAAUAACUCCACCUCUAGCUAAGAAACGCUGCACGCUAUCUCCUGCUAUCCCCUGAGUUACUCAGCCGAGUUUUGAAGAUUACUUUUUUUUUUCUUUUGGGCUUUCAUUGGUUUAUCAUUUGAGUCUACAAACAAAUUGUAUUCUUUUUCCCUAAAUUGUGAACACUUGGGGUUUUUAUUGUUGAAAUGCUUUAUUAUUUUUCGAUGACCAAGUAAUGUGAAUCAAUGUUCUCUUUAAAUAAUUUUCCCCUGUCCUUGCAUGUUCUACCGGUCAUUAUUUUUUAUUUGAAUUUGAAGAAACUUUCUAAGUGCAUACACCCAUAUGAAGUCGAAGAUCUUCCAGACAAGGUGGCAUCCAUCAAGAUCAAGAAAUUUUACUGCUUAGCAUGUGUUAUAUUUAUGGAUUGGCUAUUGAAAAAAUAAUGUUUGUACUGAUGCAGAUGCAGGAACUUUACACAUCUUAAGUUUACGUGAUAUUUUUUUCUUUUUUGACUCUGUUAGAUAGUUGUCAGUUAGUUAACCAAUUUAUGUUACUCUUCCUUGGCUAGCCAAUUAAGAACUCAUGUUUGCUGGAUUGUAAAGCCUACAUCUGGAAGCCACAGGUGAUUUUAUUUGAAGGCAAUUUGUUCUAGGCUAUAUGCGGAUUUCUAUCAUGAUUUCUGUAAGCUUGAAGGAGAUUUUUUUUAUGCGUGAGAGCUUGAAAAUUAUAUAUGUACAUGUUGAAACUAUUGGAUAUAUGUUAAGAAUCAAGCAUAAUUGUGUCGAGAUGAAACCAUAAUUUGGGUGCUGUUUUAUGAGUAAACUAUCUGCAAUUUGGGUGCAGUAAACCUAGGUUGAAUACCGGGACAUGGUAUAAAAGUGAAAUCACACAUUGAGUCUCGCAUAAAGAUUUUAAAGAUGCAAAUUCGAAUUGUACAUGAGAUGUUAUCUUGAUCGAAUUGCAGCGGCUUUGUUUUGGAUCCAGAAAACAAAAUUGUAAGCACAGAGAAGUCUCUAUGGGAUGCUUAUAUUAAGGUGCAUAAUGGCCUCAUUGAGUUUUGUGUUGUUGUUCUACGUUGUUUGAGUUUUGUGCUUCUGUUCUUUGUUGCUGCUUUUGCUACCGAUUUUGGCUAUUUUCUGCCACUCUGUUAUUUGCUAUUUUUUACUACUUUGGCUGCUGAUUUUUGCUGUUUUCGCUGCUUUAGCUGUUGUUUUGUCUGCUUUUUUUUUUUUUUUUUACUGCUCUUAUUGUUGAUUUUUGCUGUUCUCUAUCGUGUUUUACCCACUGGUUGUCGCAUGUUUAUUAAUACUGUUUGCUGCUGUUUUUUGCUGCUAAUUUUUUUUUUUUUUUUUCUGUUUUCUGCGGUUAUUUGCUGCCGUUGCUGUUUUACUCGCCAGUUGAUGAUGUUUUGUGGUUCUCCUCCUCCUCGAGUGCCUACUUUUUCCAGUGUGCAAGCAUAUCUGUUGAGAGUGGCUGAUGAAAUCACUAAACUGUUACAGUUGAUCUCAUGCUUCUCUAGAGAAGGAAUUAGACUUAUUUUGGUGAAGGGGUUUUUUCUGGUUUUUAUAUCAGUGUGUGCGUUUCUUCAAUCAUGUAGCUUUGUGGCAUUACGAUCGAUAAUGUAAUUUGCUGAUGAUAAGUACACUGAGUGAUGUAUAUAUGUGUGGCUGUGUGAUCAUUACUGAUAAAUUCAUUUGAUCAGCAAUUAUUCUUUACGAGUUUGGUAAUCGAGCAAACUGAUUAUCAGUUGGCAAACUAAUUAGAUAUUGCAUUUUGGCCUUGAAGUGAAAUUAGUGAACAUGUUUCUUGAGGGCUUCUUUUAUAAGACACUUGAAGAAGAAAAUUCAUGUUUUUGCAAAACUUCUUUCUCAAUAUAAAAUGAUAAUUCGAAAGAAUAUUUAUUAAAGAAGCUUGGAACUUGGAGGGCAAUUUGAAUUCUGAAACGGCACCGUUUCACCUCGACCCACUAGAUACAAACUGAUUAUGAGUGACACCAACGAUUGACCGCUGAGACAGAGAACCUCUCUCGGUGACGCCGACGGCCAGCUUUCACGCUCAUCUGCCGUCAUAUUCGGCAGCCGCCUGCCGUCACUCCGUCUUUGUUGUUGCGCCGGUGAAGGUGAGUACCGAGUUGUCAGUUGAGUUCAAUAGUUGUAUUUUGUAAUAGCAAUUACAAUUAUCGGGUUUAAUUUGGGACAAUUUUGAUCAUCAAUCUUUGCCAUGUUUCGUAUGACUCUGUUCUGUCUCACAUAGCAGGUUCUUGGUAGCUCGUACUCAUCAAUGUAUCCUGAUCGUGGUAUGGGAGGCAGCAGUUACAUGGGUAGUGGUGGUUCCGGAUCAUACUAGUGAUGUGGUAAAAAUUGAAUUGUAAGUGAAAUUUUCUUUUAUGUAAAAUUACAAUGAUCUAAUUUUCUUGGUGCAUUAUAAACUGAGACAUAAUGGUUCACCGAAGACUUUGGCAUCUCUCAAGUUAGCUAAGACGCAUGGUUCACGACAAAGGAAUCUACGGUAACAAGUGAAUUUUCUAUGGAACAGACUUGAGAUGAUGACAAAGAGGCUGCUGUAGGGUGUGGACUAUAUGAAGCUUCUCGCAUUAGGAUGCUUGCUACUUUGGAGAGGAUCAAGUUGCUGAGCCUAACAGCCUCCAUAUGUCAUGGGAAGGGCUGCACUGGUUUAGGCCAUUCUUGGUUCUACAGACUGAUUACUUUGUCAAGUCUUAAUGCUGCAAGGAAACUCCCCUCAGUGUGUGAUAUGUACGAAUUGCUUCUUUACUUUUCUGUAUAAGAACUCCACUUGAUGGACAGUGUGGAGGCAUCUGCAUAAAUCUGUUUAUUGGAAUCAACCCUGUCUGAUCCGAAUUUUAAAACCGAAUCGAAUUUUAAUAUCGAACCCAACCGGAUAUCUUGGUUCGAUUCGGUUUGAUUUUAAGCUCGGUUCUAUUUUUUAGGAACCGCCAGCUUGGGUACGGAACCGAACCAAACCAAACCAAACCGUACACUGUGUGCCUCAGUAAAGAGUUUGAUUUCUCUAUUUUAACCUUAAUUAAAUAUUGAUUUCCAAUUUUACCCUUUAACAAAACUAAAUUAAAUAACAAUAAUUUUCACUUGCUUUUUCGAUUUCAUUUUACGGCUCAACAAAAUCUCUCAAAACCGUUGUUCUGAACUUCCGGCGGCUUUCAGUACCGGCGAAGGCUGAAGAUUCAAGCAAUAGAGCUGCUCAUGAUGAGGGGAAGGAGAAGAAGACUUAGCCGAGUUUUGAAGAUUACUUUUUUUUUUUCUUUUGGGUUUUCAUUGGUUUAUCAUUUGAGUCUACAAACAAAUGGUAUUCUUUUUCCCUAAAUUGUGAACACUUGGGGUUUUUAUUGUUGAAAUGCUUUAUUAUUUUUCGAUGACCAAGUAAUGUGAAUCAAUGUUCUCUUUAAAUAAUUUUCCCCUGUCCUUGCAUGUUCUACCGGUCAUUAUUUUUUAUUUGAAUUUGAAGAAACUUUCUAAGUGCAUACACCCAUAUGAAGUCGAAGAUCUUCCAGACAAGGUGGCAUCCAUCAAGAUCAAGAAAUUUUACUGCUUAGCAUGUGUUAUAUUUAUGGAUUGGCUAUUGAAAAAAUAAUGUUUGUACUGAUGCAGAUGCAGGAACUUUACACAUCUUAAGUUUACGUGAUAUUUUUUUCUUUUUUGACUCUGUUAGAUAGUUGUCAGUUAGUUAACCAAUUUAUGUUACUCUUCCUUGGCUAGCCAAUUAAGAACUCAUGUUUGCUGGAUUGUAAAGCCUACAUCUGGAAGCCACAGGUGAUUUUAUUUGAAGGCAAUUUGUUCUAGGCUAUAUGCGGAUUUCUAUCAUGAUUUCUGUAAGCUUGAAGGAGAUUUUUUUUAUGCGUGAGAGCUUGAAAUUAUAUAUGUACAUGUUGAAACUAUUGGAUAUAUGUUAAGAAUCAAGCAUAAUUGUGUCGAGAUGAAACCAUAAUUUGGGUGCUGUUUUAUGAGUAAACUAUCUGCAAUUUGGGUGCAGUAAACCUAGGUUGAAUACCGGGACAUGGUAUAAAAGUGAAAUCACACAUUGAGUCUCGCAUAAAGAUUUUAAAGAUGCAAAUUCGAAUUGUACAUGAGAUGUUAUCUUGAUCGAAUUGCAGCGGCUUUGUUUUGGAUCCAGAAAACAAAAUUGUAAGCACAGAGAAGUCUCUAUGGGAUGCUUAUAUUAAGGUGCAUAAUGGCCUCAUUGAGUUUUGUGUUGUUGUUCUACGUUGUUUGAGUUUUGUGCUUCUGUUCUUUGUUGCUGCUUUUGCUACCGAUUUUGGCUAUUUUCUGCCACUCUGUUAUUUGCUAUUUUUUACUACUUUGGCUGCUGAUUUUUGCUGUUUUCGCUGCUUUAGCUGUUGUUUUGUCUGCUUUUUUUUUUUUUUUUUUACUGCUCUUAUUGUUGAUUUUUGCUGUUCUCUAUCGUGUUUUACCCACUGGUUGUCGCAUGUUUAUUAAUACUGUUUGCUGCUGUUUUUUGCUGCUAAUUUUUUUUUUUUUUUUUCUGUUUUCUGCGGUUAUUUGCUGCCGUUGCUGUUUUACUCGCCAGUUGAUGAUGUUUUGUGGUUCUCCUCCUCCUCGAGUGCCUACUUUUUCCAGUGUGCAAGCAUAUCUGUUGAGAGUGGCUGAUGAAAUCACUAAACUGUUACAGUUGAUCUCAUGCUUCUCUAGAGAAGGAAUUAGACUUAUUUUGGUGAAGGGGUUUUUUCUGGUUUUUAUAUCAGUGUGUGCGUUUCUUCAAUCAUGUAGCUUUGUGGCAUUACGAUCGAUAAUGGCAACUCCACAAUGAUGAUAAUGAUAAUUUUGUGAUUCAGACACGUUGUUAGGAAUUCUGUACUGGUUUUUCUCUCGCCUUCGGUGUCUACGAUGAAGCAUAUAAUGGCUUUUAAUCUGCAACUGCUGCAAAAUGGACUCACUAGCUAGCAAAUAAUAAUAUAUAGUGCUGUCAAAUUUAUAAAGAUUAUAUAUACACACACUUUCGUGUUCAAUGCACCGACACUGGAUGUAUAUUGGCAUUUAGAAAAGUUGGCGAUAACUAAUGACUUUCAAGAUUAAUUAAAUGACAAUAUUCAGUCUAUCAUAAAACAAGUUUUCAACAAGUGAAGAGGAGGUACUCUUUAUAAUUGGAUAAUUAAUGCAAACUUCAAUAUUUUCAACCAAAAGAAAACAAUGAUAUUUGAUAUGUAUUCAACAUUAGGGAAAAACCACCCAUAUCGAAGGUUUGCUUAAAUGAUCAAAUAAAUCCACUUAGUUUCUUAAAUGGUUAUACAUAUCCUCUUUUUGACUAUUUAUUGGGUUAUGUUUGAGAGUUAGGACUAAGUGUGGGAUUAUACUAACUUUGAGAUUAAAUAUUAUUCCAUAUUUAGCAAUUUUCCUUGGAUUGGAUUAUGAGAGACUAAAUUCUAAGUUAGUUGUUAAAUAAAGGGGAUUGGCAAUACCAAUUUAUAAAUAGAUUUAAAUGGGAUUAGAAUAAGAGGAAAAAAUGUUCAUUUGUAAUAUUUCUUUCAUAUAUAACACCAUCUUUUAUUUAUUACUUAAAAUUUAAUUAAUGAAUUAAUUAUUCUAUUCAUGAUUUACUUGAAAUAUAUUUUUUAUUUUGUUUUUAUAUUCUAAUUAAAUUGGUACUUUAAUUUAAUAAUUUGUUACAUUAAUUGAUUGUACUAAAUUUAAUAAUCACCAAUGUAAUAUUAAAAUAUAAUUAUGAAAAUUAAUAAUACUAGUAAUUAAUUGAUUUUAUAUAUUAUUUGUUAAUUUUUGGAUAAAAUAAAAUAUAUAUCUAAAAUAUCUAAAUAAUCAAAAACUUUUAUUAAUUUAUAUUUUUUAUUACAAUUAUGACUACCCAUAAGUAAUUUAUUGUAUAUUUAAUGUUCUUAUUAAUUAUAUUUAAAUUAGUCUUAAUUAUUAUUCUUAAAUAUUCAUAAAUAGUUUUUUAUUUAAAUAUAAUUUAACAUUGUCUAAUCUAAUGUUGUACCAAACAUAAGACAAUACUGUAUAAUCCCACAUAAUACUUAGUCCAAUUUAGUCUUGCAUGCCAAAUGUAAUCUUAUACACUUUCAUUACAACAAGCCAAUAAUUGACUUAAAUAAACUUCUAUAACAAUUAUAAGUUAAAAUUAAAAUAAUAUGAUAUAUAAAAUAAGAUAAAAUUUAUAAAUUAUUUUGAAUAUUAGACAAAUGAUUUUAACAUUAUUAAUUUGUCAUAUUCUUUUACUACUAAUAAAAUAUGUUUGACAAAUUAAUAAUAUUAAAAUAAUUAUACCUAACAUUCACAAUAAUUUAUAAAAUUUAUAUAUUUUGUUUGCAAUUUUUUUUAAUUAUGUCUAUAUUAAUAUAAAUCUUAAAGUCAAUUUUUGGAUUAAUAGAUUUUAGUAUAUAUAAUAAUAACUUAAUAUUAAAAAUAAUUUUCAUUACAUACGUUAUUCUAUUAAUUAUCUUAUUGUAAUAUUUUAUUUGUAUCAUAUGAUAUUUAUUAAUUAUUAUUUUUAUCUUAUUACUAUAUUUAUAUUUAUUUGUGUUGUUGUAAUCAAAGGGUAUAGUAACUAAAAAUGUGUUUAUGUGACUAUUUAACCUAAAGGGUCUUUGUGACCAUUUAAGUAAACCUUGGAAAUGUGCGACAAUAGUCAUUCUAAUGACUUUCAAGAUUGAAAGUGAGUCGGAUUAUCAAAUUAUGAAGCAUUAAUACGUAAUGUUUUAUGGUUAUUUUAAGGUUGAAGUUGGUUUAUUCAUUAAACAAGCUUUUAACAAGAGGAGAAGGUUCCCUUUAUAAUUUAAUAAUUAAUACAACCUUCAAUAACAAAAAAAUCAUAUAAUAAGGAUGAUGAUUCUUGCUCACUUGGAUAAGAUAUAUAUAUAUAUAAAACCUAUGAUGUGGUAAGCAAGGAAUCAAUUAUGUAUUUCUUAAUCAAUUCAAUUUCUCUAUUACAUUUUCAUGGCGAAUGUCCCUUACUUCCAUUACCUUGGGAUUGUAAAAUGAUGCUUAAUGCUGCUUUCAAAAAAUUAACAUACACAUCCUUUUAUUCUAAUGGAUCAUAGCACGCAAUGCAUUACCAAUAGGGAUGACUAAAAUCUCCGCAGAGACGGGUACCUUCGUAGAUUUUUCUAAGUAAGACUUGUGUCGUCUUGUCCUCUGGCAAGUUUUGUUUUGUCUUGUCCUACUGACAAGUUUGCUUGAUAUAUUUUAAGGAUUGGUCGUCAACUUCUUCUUUUACUUGUUUUGGGGUGGACUCAUUCUGUUAAUCACAAGUGGUAUGGCAUCUAAUAGCAAUUCAAUGGAGCCUGAGAUGACUGCUGCAUAUGAUUCGUUCUCCAUAGGUGAGGACGAGGAGGAUGGCCUUGUCUUCCAGAGUGAUGAUAUGGCAACGGGGCAGGAAGGUUUGAAUGAUGUUAGAUUCUGUUUGGUGGGGCGGUUUUUAACGGAUAAAGUGAUUAAUUUCCCAGCUAUGAAGAAUACAAUGGCAGCAUUAUGGCGGCCAGGAAAGGGCGUAUGCAUUAAAGAUUUAUCAUCCACCCUUUUCUUGUUUCAAUUUUUUCAUGAGAUUGAUCUGCAACUUGUCAUUGAUUCGGGCCCAUGGACAUUCGAUCAACAUAUUCUAAUUCUACAGAGAUUGGGGGAGCAUGAUCAGCCACAUAGGGUCCCUUUAUAUCAUACUUUCUUUUGGAUUCAAGUGUAUAACUUACCCAUUGGAUUCCAAUCGGAGAAGGUGUUGACAAACAUUGGUAACUAUAUUGGUGAGUUCCAAGCUUCGGAUCCUAACAAUCUCAUGGGAGUAAGAGUCUCAAUAGAUGUCCGGAAGCCUUUGAAGAAAAGAUUGCGUCUGAAGAAGGAGGGGGGGGGGAGUGGUUUUGGGUUGAUUUUAAAUAUGAAAGGUUGAAUGUUUUCUGUUUCAUCUGUGGGCUGCUUGGGCACACCGAAAAACUAUGUCCGAAGCUGUAUGAAUGUGUGGCUACUGAUAUGGUUAGGCUGUAUGGACCAGAGAUGAAUGCUCCAACUCGUCGGAAUGCAAUGUCUUCCGGUGAUCGGUGGCUACGUUCAGUACCUCCGGACGAAGGUGGGUUCAUGUUUGGUAAGUCCACGGAAUUCGUAAGUGGUGCAGAGAUUAAGGAUAUGAAUGCCACAAAAUUGGGAGUUACCACUAAUAGGAAGAUGCCUCACAGUUUAGGAAGGGAUGGGUAUGAGAAUAUGGAAAUCAUGGAGAUAUCAAAGGGAUUGGCAGUUGUCAAAGCACGUGAGAGUCAAAGGAAUGAUAAGGGGAAAGGGGUGGAUUGGCUUGCUAAUGGGAUGGAUCUUGUUCACACGGCUGAUAGCUGUAGAGAGAAAGGAAUCGUUCUAAAGGAAGCUAAACGGAGACGGGCCGAGAUUGAUUUGGAUGGGCUUGGGCAAUCAGAGGAAGAUGAGCAAUCUAUGGUCAUGGAUCCAAAAAACGGACUAGCGGUGGGACUUGGUUUUCAGGCCCACCGAGACCAAUGAGUACCUUGAGCUGGAACUGCCGUGGUUUGGGCCAGCCACGGACAGUUCGAAUGUUAACAGAACUGGUUCGUAGGAAAAAACCUUCUUUUAUAUUCCUUAUAGAAACGUUAUGUAGUAAAAGUAAACUAGAAAGUAUUAAAAGACAGUUGGGCUAUGACGGGCUUUUUGUUGUGGACCGAGUGGGCCGAAGUGGAGGACUUGCGCUUCUUUGGCAGGCAACUAGUUCUGUGAAGCUUCUGAAGUAUGCUACCAAUUUUAUAGAUGCUGAAAUUGAAGAUCAGGAGGUAGGAAAGUGGAGGCUGACUGGCUUUUAUGGCUAUCCUGAGACUAGCAGGAGGCGGGAAUCGUGGGACUUGCUCCGCUUACUUUCUACUUCAUCCUCUCUUCCUUGGCUAUGCAUAGGGGAUUUUAAUGAUCUUUUGGCGGCAAAUGAGAAGAGGGGCAAAAUUGUUCAUCAUAAUUGGAAGUUAGUGGGCUUUCAAAAAGCUAUUGCAGAUUGCAAUCUGCUUGAUCUUGGUGUCGAGGGAUAUCAGUAUACUUGGGAGAGGGCUAGGGGAACUGAUCGGUGGGUUGAGGAAAGACUUGACAGGGCCUUUGCUUCUGAGGCGUGGCUGCAGCGUUUCACCAGAGCAAAGGUAUAUAGUUUAGAAUCUUCUUGUUCUGAUCACCUCCCUAUAUUUUUGGAUCCUAGCCCAGCUCAGUAUGUUACGAGGAAUAGGCGUUUUCGGUUUGAAAAUAUAUGGAUGCGUGAGGCGGACUGCAGUGAGGUUAUUCGGGAAAGUUGGUAUUCUCACCCAAGGAAUUCUAUCCAACGUAAAAUUUUGGCUUGUGGGUCUGCUUUAACGGAGUGGGGGGGUCAUUUAGGCCGAAACUUUCGUAAGCGUAUUAUGGACUGCAAGAACCGAAUGACUUCUUUAAGAGGGCGUCGUGAUAGAAAAGGUGUGACUGAGUUUACGGAGGCUCGAAAUCGUUAUAAUGAGUUGCUGCAUAGUCAUGAGGUGUUCUGGAAACAGCGGGCAAAAUCGCUUUGGCUAAAAGAAGGAGAUAAGAACACUCGUUACUUUCAUGCUUCGGCUUCAGCACGGAAAAGGCAAAAUUCCUUGGGGAAUCUUCGUAAUGAUCAAGGAGAAUGGUGCGCCAAUUCUGUUGAGGUGGAUGCAUUGAUAGUUGAUUACUUUACGAGCUUGUUUACAGCUGGAGGAGUCCAAACUGCCGAAGUUAUUCAGUGUGUGGAUACUAAAGUUACAAGUGAACAUAAUUCAAUGUUGUUAGCUCCAUUUUCUGCCAUUGAAGUGAAAUAAGCAGUAUUUGGUAUGCACCCGGAUAAGUCUCCAGGUCCUGAUGGGAUGAACCCGGCCUUCUACCAAAAGUUCUGGCAUAUCGUGGGUGAGGAUGUGGUUAUGGCUUGCCUCAAUCUUCUUCAGGAUGCUUCCUUUCCGGUAGGCUUGAAUGAUACUUCCAUUGUUUUAAUUCCGAAUAAGCAAAGGCCUGAAUUUUUAUCAGAUAUGCGACCUAUUGCAUUAUGCAAUGUUCUUUAUAAGAUAAUUUCUAAAAUGUUAGCUAACCGUAUGAAAUUAGUGCUUGAGUUGGCUAUUUCAGAUUCCCAAAGCGCCUUUGUGCCGGGACGAGCUAUCACUGAUAACAUAAUCAUAUCGGCUGAGAUUAUGCACUUCUUGAAGCGAAAACGGCAAGGAAAAAAUGGGGUAGCUGCAUUGAAAAUUGAUAUGUCUAAGGCGUAUGAUAGGAUCGAGUGGAAUUUUCUUCAAGAUAUGAUGCUCAAGAUGGGGUUUGCUGCCAAGUGGGUGGAAUUAAUGAUGCUCUGCGUUUCUACUGUCCGAUACCGCGUGCUCCGUGAGGGUAAGGAGAUUGGUCCGAUUGUUCCCUGCAGAGGCCUUCGCCAAGGGGAUCCUUUAUCCCCGUACUUAUUUAUUAUAUGUGCAGAGGGGUUAAGUUCAUUGAUUCGCAGGCAAGAGAGUAAUGGAUUGCUUCACGGAGUUAGAAUUGCGAGAGGAGCUCCAACAGUGUCUCAUUUGUUUUUUGCGGAUGAUAGUUUCCUGUUCUUUCGGGCAAACAACAAUGAAGCUUACUUAAUCAAGCACUUGCUGGCCAUAUAUGGACGAGCCUCUGGCCAAGUUGUUAACUUCAGUAAAUCUGCAAUCUCAUUUAGUGCUAAUGUAGUUGAAAGCGUAACUCGGGAGGUCUGUGCUAUUCUUGCGGUUAAUUCCACUGCUAAUCACGGGACUUAUCUUGGACUGCCAUCAGCCAUUGGUAGGAAAAAGAAAGAAGUGUUCCAAUAUAUUAGAGACAAGUUAUGGCAAAGACUUCAAGGUUGGGGGUCGCGGAUGCUUUCUCGGGCUGGAAAGGAGAUUUUGUUAAAAACAGUGGCCCUUGCUAUGCCUAAUUAUGUUAUGAGUAUUUAUUUGCUGCCCAAAGAGCUAUGUAGAGAGCUAGAAGUGUUGAUGAAUUCUUUCUGGUGGCGUAAUAAUCACAGUGGUGGGACAGGAAUUAAUUGGGUUAAGUGGAAAUACUUGUGCAAACCAAAGGGGUGUGGUGGACUUGGGUUCAAGCAAUUUUAUUUAUUUAACAUUGCGAUGUUAGGAAGGCAGAUGUGGAAGUUAUUAACCUGCCCUGAUUCUCUAAUGGCGAGAAUUCUUAAAGCUCGGUACUAUCCGCGAACUUCUGUAGUUCGAGCUUCGUUGGGGCAUAAUCCCAGCUAUGUAUGGCGUUCCAUUCUGGCUGCAAAGGAAGUGGUGGUCCAAGGGAGUAGAGUGCAGGUUGGCAGUGGUCGUUCGAUAUCCAUUGGUAAAGAUCCUUGGCUUCCAGACCUCCAAGAUGGGUGUGUUUCUACAAAUCUUAAUGAGGAGCUAGCUACAGCUCCUGUCAGCAGCUUAAUGAUGCCUCACCAACGAGCUUGGGACUAUAAUGCUGUUUCGGACAUCUUCAAUUCAAGAGAUAAGGAGUUGAUUCUGAAGAUUCCUCUUAGUUCCCGCCGCGAAGAUGAUGUGUGGUAUUGGAUGGCGGAUUCCCGGGGAUGUUAUUCAGUUCGCAGCUGCUAUAAGGUUUUAAAUCCUAUCACUCCCGGUUCCUUAGCGGAUGUGUGGAGGAAAUUGUGGAACUCGAAAGUGCCGAACAAGGUUAAGAAUUUUAUUUGGAGAGCUGCACACAACGUGUUGCCUACAGCACUCAAUUUAAUUUCCAAAAGGGUGGAUGUUCCAGCUAUGUGUUCUGUAUGCAAUGCCUACGAAGAAACAGUUUUACACUCCUUGGUUGCCUGCAGUUUUGCUAAGUCUUGUUGGACUUCUUCAUCGGUGGGUUUUGUUGGCUAUUGCUCUAAUUUUUUGGACUGGCUCGCUCACGUUUUUACAAGGUGCAGUAAAGAUGAGUGUAAUAUUGCUAUGAUGAUUUGUUGGCGGAUUUGGGUAAAUCGAAACAACAAAGUUUGGAACAACACUACCAGCUCAGUUUGUCAAAUUCUCAACUCUGCUGGACAGUUUCUCUAUCAGUGGCAAGCGGCAAAACAGCAAGUAUUUGAUGUUAAUGAUGAUACUCACAGAUUGGUUCAUGGGGCAUUGUGUUGGGAGCAACCUAAGUUUGGGUGGGUAAAGUGCAAUGUGAAUGCAGCUGUGUUUGAGUCUCAAGGGAAGAUUGGGAUCGGUUGUGUGAUUCGUAAUUCACAAGGAGGUUUUGUGGCAGCAAGGUGUGUGAGUGUGGCAGGAAUUUUUGGAGCAAGGGAGGCUGAAGCUCUUGGCAUAAGAGAGGCUCUUAGUUGGAUGAAAGAACUGCAGAUUCCAUGUGUUAUCAUAGAGAUGGACUGCCUACAAGUGUUCCGAGCUUUGGUUGAACAGUUUUCAAGUCCAAAUGGGUUUGGUUUGAUUAUUGAAGACUGUCAAGCUUUAGUUAAGUUUAUCGGAGAAGUGCAAUUCUCCUUUGUGCGUCGAUCUGCGAAUCUUGCUGCUCACUCCGUUGCGAGGGCAACAGGUUCUUUGUCAGGUCCCCAGGAGUGGAAUGUUGUUCCACCUCUGUGGUUGUUAAACAGUUUGUAAGUUUUGCUUAAUGAAAUUUCUUCCUUUCAAAAAAAAAAAUAAAAAUGAAUAAUCCUUUAACGAAGGUUAUAAUCAAUUGCAGGUUUCUAGUUUGGCUGCUUAGUUUUAGGACUACGAAUAUUACAAUAUCAUAAUUAAAGGAAAGAAUAUAUGCGGUAGUCUUUGCCUGAUCUACUUUCUUCUUCUUAAUAAACCACGUAAAAGGAAAGAAUAUUGUAUACGCAGCACACUAUAAUACUCUAAUUACCAAUUCUUUAUCUUAUAAUAUAAGUUCAUAGUGAUUAAUUUGUCCUUCUUCAGCAAAAAACAAAUCACAUUUCAGCACAUCUACAAGAGCCCUCAUUUCUCUUUGCUCCAGCCAAUUGAUAGCAGAAUCAUCACAGACACCUUGAGCUCCGUCAAUCAUCAUAGACAAUUGGUGACUAGUGGGAGCAUUUCAAGGAAGGUACGACGAGUACAAACUGAUAGAUUUGUUUAUAUGAUUCGGCUGUAGUUUUUAUAUAUGGUUAAAUUAUGACAAUAAUCAAGAGAUAAUCAUGUACCUCAUUAGUUUCAUAAAUGUACAUACUAAUUUAUUCCCCUGCUUGCCAGAAUCAAACAUGUAGAAUAAGAUAAAUUUUAAGAUUUAAAAUUUUCAAUUCAUUAAAAAUCUAGUGGGAUAUUAAUCGGUAAAACCACUUAGGGGUAGUACAAGAGGUUUGUGGUGCUAACCAAUUUAUGUGAGUGGAGAAAGAAUUAGGCUUUUUUAAUAAAAAUUAAUAAUCAUAUUAAUAAAAUGACAUAAAUUUCAAGAUUUAAAACUUUAGACAUCAUUAGAAGUAAGAGGGGGAUCGUAAAAACUUUGAAUGUAACUUAUCGGUAGUGGAAUGGAUUUUUUUUUUUUUUUUUUGGUUGAAGCUAUUUACACACCUUUGAACACAUGUUAGGGUGAGGGUAUUUCAGUAUUUUACCCACAUCUCAAUAAAAUAUUUUGAGGUGAUGCUACCACUAAACAACUCAUUAAAGCCAUUUACUUAAUAAACACACUUCUAAAUUUUAAAAUGCACAAUUUUAUUUUACAAACCCAUUAAUACCUAAAAUACCCUUAUUAAGUUAAAUUAUCACAAUUUCUCUUAUCAUUUUCUUUUCCCAUCAUUUCUCCGUUUCUUCACCCUUUUCUUCUUCAUUUUUGGAGCUUUACCCAUAGCUUUUUUAUUCCAAAUUCUCAAACUUUUUAUUUUAUUUUUUAAUAGCUAUUUUUCCCGUUGAUAUUUCAUGUGUUUAUAUGAUUCAGCUAUAGUUUUAACUUUUAUAUAUGGUCAAGUUAUAACAGUAAUCAAGAGAUAAUCAUGUUCAUCAUAAGUUGCAUAAAUAUACAUACUAAUUUAUUCCUCUACUUGCCAGAACCAUACAUAUAAAAUUAGAUACAUUUUAAGGUUUAAUCUUAGGGUUGGCAAUAAGCUCCGGAUCCGCAACAAUCCAGAAGAUCCAGAUCUGGAAAAAUCCGGAUCCGCAUGCUAAAAAAUGUGAAUCCAGAUCUUAAAAAUCACAAUCCGUGCAGAUCCGGAUGUAAGUGCAUCCAAAAAACCGAAUAUCUGGAUCCACAAUUUUUUAUAAUUAAAUUAUUUAUUUAAUUAAAUUUCAAUUGAAAAAUAGAUAAAUUAAAUUAUUUAUUUAAAUGUAUAAGCAUAAUUAACUCUCUAAUCUUCAUUAACUUUAAAAAAUAUGUUAAUAAACUAAUAAUAAUAAUAAUUAGAGAAUAUUGUAAUAAAUCGGUUUACCUUACAUUUUUUUUUAUGUUUGAUUUAUAUUGUGAAAUUAUUGUUUGUGAAUUUAUGGUGUUGUUGUAUGUUAUUUAUGUUUAGGGUUGGCAAUGGGAUGGGAUGGGACGGGAUUUGUCAAUCCCAGUCCUGUCCCGUAUAUUGAAUUGGGACUAAAAAAAGUCUCAUUCCCGUCCCUUUAUUUUUUUUUGGGACAAAAAUUUAUCCCAAUCCUGUCCCAUUAAAUAUCUCGUCCCAUCCCAUUAUCCCGAAUAGUCCCGAAUGUAAAUAAAUAAAUUUUAAUUUUUUCUUUUACGGAUUGUCAUAAAUCAAUAUAUAGCAAAUAAAGAAACAAAAAAUUCAAAGUUCCGAAGCUAAUCCAAAUCAAUCUAAGUUCCAAAGUUCAAGCAAAAGUUAAAAAUUAACAUAAUCUUCCAAAAGUUGACUUCAAUUCCAGUUCCCACUUCAUUAGACAAAAAAACUUCAUACUCUAACCACACUUUCAAGACCGCACUUUCAAAUUUCUGUAUAAACCUACAAGAAUUUAAUAAAGAGAGGUUAGAGUAAGACUAAUAUUUUGAUAAUUACAUAAUAAUUAAUCAUUAACGUUCAAAAUUAUUAAUAAAAUCGGUUACCUCUUCAAUCUCUGCAUCAACUUUUUCUUCAUCUGCAAAUGUAGGAUUUUCACUAGAAGUUGUAUGCCCAUUGUCUUAGAAAACAAAAAAAAAAAUUAAAAACUAGAAAAGAAAAUAAAAAAGUUUGAAGAUUUAAAAUAUGCAUAAAUUACAAUAAAAUAAAUUACCUCUUGUGUAAGCAUUCAACCAACUUUGAGUGCACAUCAAUGCCUCCACUAUUUGAGAGUGUAGUCUAUUACAAUGUGGGCUAACUACUCUACCACCUGUGCUAAAAGCUGACUCGGAAGCAACUAUUGAUACUGGGAUUGCUAGUGUAUCCCUAGCAAUAGUAGAUAACAAAGGAUAUUGUAUUGCAUUUAUUUUCCACCACCCCAAAAUAUCAAAAUUUUUGUCCUUGGUAAUCAACACAUAUUCACCUAAAUAUGACUCAAGCUCAGUCUUACGGUUCUCAACCAUAUUGGCUUUCAAAAAAUCAUCAUACCUACUUGAAAGUUGUUCCUCAACAUGGGACAUAACGACUGAGGACUCUCCUAUACUAGAACUAAAAGCACCCGCGCUAGGACCGCUUACAGAUAAUUUGGCCUUAAAUUCAUACUCCUUUAUUAAUUCCUUAAAAAGCAUCUGAACUCUCUCAAUAUGAAUAUUUGAUUCAUCACCAUAUAACAAUGGAAAGUAGAACUCAAUCAAUUUCAUUUUAUAUCUAGGAUCCAACACUGUUGCCACGGUUAAUACCCCAUUAACAUCUUUCCAAUAUUUUUCAAAUUUGCCAAUCAUGUUAAUUGCCAUUUGUCUAACUUCAUCAUGCUCACAUGUAAGCCAACUACCUAAUGAUAAUCUAAUCUCACAAAUAUGAAUGAAAAACAAAUUGGAUGUGGGGUACUUAGUUCCAGAAAAUACCUCAGUCACAUUAUAAAACGAUUUCAAAUUAUUUGACAAUAUACGAGCUAACUCCCAUUCACUUUCACUUGGCAAACACCUAUAUUGUGCCUCCAAUUGAUGCAAUCUAUAAAAGACAUUUUUAUACUCCAGGGCAACAGAAAUUAUGAGAUAAGUAGAGUUCCAUCUAGUGAUGCAAUCAAGAACUAACUCCUUACUACAUGGAAUAUUCAACCUACGAGAAAUCUCUUUAAAUUUUUCCCUUCUUUGAGGGGUAACUGUCCAAAAUGCAACACUAGCACGAAUUUUAGCAACACCCUCACUAAUUACACUUAACCCCUCUUUGACAAUCAAGUUUAAAAUGUGAGCAGUACAUCGUAUAUGAAACAACUUGCCACCCAUAAGUAAAUCAUUUUUAUCAAGUUUAUCUAGUAGAAGUUGAAUCAUUCGAUCAUUAGUAGUGCAAUUAUCAACAGUUAAUGCAGAUAACUUACGCUCAAGAUUAAGAUCCAUUAAACAUCUCAAUAGUACAUCACAAAGUACUUGAGAAGUAUGUCGAGCUUGCACAUGAAUAAACCUACAUAGAAAAAAUACAAUUAAUUACAAACAUAUUCAAUAAAUAAAUAUAAUGCACUAAAUAUUUCAAUGUUAAUUAGAAUUAAACAUAGUACCUCAAAAUUUGACUCCGUAAGGUCCAAGAAUCAUCAAUAAAGUGUGCUGUAAUAGCCAUGUACCCUUUUGUUUGGGAGCCACAAGUCCACAUGUCGGUUGUGAUUGCAACUUUACUACUGUUACUCUCUAUUAAACUCACAACCUUAGCCUUUUCCAUCUAAUAUAGCUCCAUAAUAUCACUUUUCAUAGUAUUGCGAGAUAUGUUUUUCCACAUUGGGUUUAAAGAAGACAACACUUUUCUAAACCAUUCAUGCUCAACGCAACUUAAUGGGUACUCAUGCAUAAUGAUCAUACGUGCAAUCAAUCCCCUAGUGACAUCAGGAUCAAAAGAAUAAGUCUCUACCUUCACAUUUCCCUGAUCAUCCUCAAUUGUUUUUAACUUCUUUGAAUAAUGUGUUAUCUCAAUUUGAUUACGCCGAGGGCAUAUUUUCAUGUGAUCGUUCAAGUGUCUUGUUCCAUCUCUAGGACCUCCAACAUAGUCUUUAUUGCAGUGCUUACAAAAGGCUCUUAUUUUUCCAUUUUUUAUCUUUCUUUCAAAAUGUUUCUAGACCACUGAUCUUAAUCUUGAUGUUAAAUCAUUGUCUUUGGCAUUUUCUUCAACAACAUGCACAUCAUCAUUAUCUAAACUUUCAUUGUCCACUACUGGAGGAGAAGCCAUCCUUUAAAGCAAAAAGAAAAAAACAAUCCACAACUCAAAUAAAUGAAUUAAAUAUAAAUUAACCUUUUAAAAACAUCAAACCAUAUAAAACAAAAGUAAUAAUAAUAUGGGACCACAAGAACCUUUAUUUUAAAACUCAAUACUACUUAAACAGAUAUAAUAAUCAUUAUAAUAUAACAACUUCAACUAGAUUGCCGUAUAUAAUAUAAUAAUAUUUAACAAAUAUCAAUUAUAUGGAAAGAGCACAAAACUGUAAACAAUAAAAACAAAAAAAGCCAAAUUAUGAAUGUUAACUUACGGUGUGGAGGCUGAAAAGUGAGAAUUUUGUGGAUGAAUUGCUAGCAGAGACGUAGUGGGCAAGUCGUGGGUGGCUGCUUGGGAACUUUUGUGGCGGAGUAAAAUUUUUUGUGGUGAGGGCAAGGGGCGUUGGGCGGUCAACACUUAGGGUGCAGUGUUAAUUUAGGAAAUUGGUUGAGUUUUGAAGGGUAAUUAUUGCUAUAAAUUAUUAAUUUUAUUUGUGACUUUUUCACUUUUUAUUUUAAAUUAUAAUGUUAACGGGAUAUACAGGACAGGACGGGAUUUUAUAAUUGGUUCUCCUCCCGUCCCAUAAAUAAAAGCGGGAUUUAUUUUGAUCCUUAUCCCAUCCCAUUUUAAUUUGGGAUGAAAAAAUAUGUCCCAAUCCCAUCCUAAACGGGACGGGAUCCCGCAGGAUCCCGUCCCAACGGGAAAAAUUGUCAUCCCUAUUUAUGUUGAAUUGAAGUUAAAUUGUUGAUUCUUAAAUUAUAAUUGAAUUUUAUUUAAUAUUAUUAUGUAAAUUAUUAAAUUUAAAAUUAUAUUUAAAUUUAUUAUUAUGCGGAUCCGAAUAUCCAGAAUAUCCGUCCGCAAUCCGUGCAGAUGUUAUCCGCAUCCGGAUCCGUAUUUUUUUUUGCGGAUCCGGAUGUCAAAAGUUUAAUCCGGAUUUUGAUGCACUAACAUCCGAAUCCAGAUCCAAAUUUUGCCAUCCCUAGUUUAAAACUUUGCAAUUCGUUAAAAAUCUUGCGGGAUAUUAACCGGUAAAACCACUUAGGGAUAGUACAAGAGGUUUAUGAUUUCUCAACCCAUUUAUGUGGGUGGAGAGAGAAUCAAGUGUUUUUUUAAAUAAAGAAUAAUUAAUAAUUAAUAAUCAAAUUAAUAAAAAUAAAUAAAUUGUAAGGGGGAUCGUAAAAGUUUUGUAUAUAACAUAUCGGUAGUGGAAAGAAAUUUUUUUAGAGAGGCUAUUUGGCUUGGAACAUAUAUUACAAUACUCUCUUCAUCCACUUCUCAAUAAAAUAUUUUAUUACAAAAUUUUCCUUAAUUAAAUUAUUGUUUUAGCCAUAUAUUAUGUUCGUUUAUCUCCCUAAAGUUUUUAUUCUUUCACCCUUUUUUCUCUUUUCCUUUGUGUCUCCCCAAUUUUUUUCCAGUCCUAUGGGGUUCUUAUUAAAGCUUCUAUUGAGUAAAAUCUUUAUUAAAAUUGCUUAUAAAAAAAAAAGAAAAAAAGAAUGGGUCUCUUUUAAAAUUUGUCUUUCCUUCCUUUACCCUUGAGUUACUAUUAGAUGUAUAAGCUCAAGAUGAGACUAGUAAUUGGAUUUCCAUUAAAAGUUUUAAUUUCAAAAAAUCAAAAGAUCACCAUACAAAUAUCAAAAGAUCACUAACUUAAUUAUACUGGUAAUAAUUAAGAUAAGUAAAAGACCUACUAUUUCUGUUUGAUGUUAUUAUGAUAAAGAAAAAAAAAAAAGAAAUAGCAAGUUGCUGCAGUUGCAACAAUUGAGGAUAUGCUAAUAAAAGUGUUACAGAGAUAGAUUUAAUUGAUAAAAAUAAGAUUUUAAUAAAAAGUAUUGAGAGAAACAAUUAAUAAAAACUAAUGAUAUUUAUUAAGGGUAUAUUAUGAAUAUUUGUGGCCUUUUUUGAGGUAACUAAAUAAAUUUUAAGUUCUGAUAAUGUGUUUAUUACAUAAGUGGAUUUAUUCAGUAUUCUAGUGGAUUUAAAGAGUUUCAACUCUCAUAUUAUAAUAAAUUUUUAUAUUGCUACAAUUGCCCUAAUAUAGUGGACAAUAUUAUAUUGUACACAUAAGAAUACUCUAGCACGGUAGCACCCAAUUAAAAUUUUUAGUAAAACAUAUAAGACCUCUAAAUGUAAAGAGAAUUCCGUCAAGGUAUUGCAGUAGUAUUUAAUGCUCUUGGCUAGUGUAAACUAUUGUGCCACAUGUAGUAUUUCGAUCCUGACAAGUGCAUUACAAAUAAUGACUCUUAUUUCAGGUCUUUUAGGUACUUUAGAGAUAUAUUAGCUCUGGAGCUAGUAUUAGGUCAUAACGUGCUUCUUUUAAUGAAAGAUGUGGUUCAUUUUUCCCUACACCAAAGCAUUUUCUGUGGAAUAACCGUGUCAAAUGCUCAUUUAUCAAGGGCACGUGUGGUGUUGUCAGUAUGAUAUGCUAACCCACGUGCACUUAUGGAAAAUCAAAUGAGAAAAAUGAAUUAAAAAAUGCAAAAGCUAAUUAAUAAUGUUCGAGUUUGAGAUGAAGAAUAUUUAAUUUUAUGGAUAUAAAGAUAAGAAAGAUUUAAUGAGAACUAUCCUAAUAUUAAAAUACUAUUUAAAAUAAAUUUUAUUUGACGUAAUAGUAUGUCUCAUAAUAAGACUCGUAGUGGUCAGAAUCGUACAUGUAAAAUGAGAUAAAUUUUAAGGUUUAAAACUUUGCAAUUCAUUAAAAAAUCUAGUGCGAUAUUAAUUGGUAAAACCUCUUAGGGGUAGUACAAGAGGUUUAUAAUUCCCUAAUCCAUUUAUGUGGGUGGAGAGGGAAUUAAGAGUUUUUUAAUAAAGAAUUAAUAAAAAUUAAUAAUCAUGUUAAUAACUUAUUGGUAGUAGAAUGGAAUUUUAUUUGGAGAGGCAAUUUGGCUCAGAACAUAUAUUAAAAUGAGGAUAUUUGAACCCGCCACAAUACUCUCUACAUCCACUUUUCAAUAAAAAAUUUAUUACAAAAUUUUCCUUAAUUAAAUUACUAUUUUAGCCAAAUAUUACGUUCAUUUAUCUCCCUAAAGUUUUUAAUUUUUAACCCUUUUUUCUCUUUUCCUGUUUGUCUCCCCAAUUUGUUUCUAGUCCUAUGUGGUUCUUAUAUUUUAAAGCUUCUAUUGGAGUAAAAUCUCUACUAAAAUUGCUUAUCAAAAAAAAAAUCUCUUUUAAAUUUUGCCUUUUCUUUACCCCCAAGUUACUAUUAGAUGUAUAUGUUCACCGUGAAAGUUUAGAUCUCAAACCUUUUCUGUAUCUUAAAUGGAUUGUCGUGGAUAUGCCUAAGAUGAGCAUUUUCUUCCUCUUCACUUCAUCAUCUUUGAUAUAGUAAUUAUAAUUGAUUGAGGAGUGUUAAAACGCAUUGUGAUGAAUGAAUGCACAAGCUAUGUGAUUAAGACUGCAUUUAUCAGCUGGUUGGCGACCGCAAAUAUUAGGCAGGUUAUUCACAAUAGUGCUACUGAAGCUUUAUAUGGAAUAAGGAGACCAAACCUCUAUAUGAUAAGAGUUGUAUGAAUACCAAAUGAAUUGUAAGAGGAUAUGGUUAAUUUAGAUUGCAAUUUAAGAAAGCUUGAGUUCUAAGAGCACAGAAAUGGGAUCAGUCUUGCUCAAGUGUAAACUCCAUCAGUUAGGAAGCUGUCCAUAAAAUGUAAAUAUUUAUGUGAUUGAGAGAAAUUUUGGACUUUUGAUGAAAACAAAAUCCUGUAUGCAUUUGCUUGUCCCCAAGGAGCUGAAAGUUCUCAAAUUGUUUGUAGACGUAAUAGUUCUCCUGAUGUCAUUUGGCUUGCUAAUCUUUUUUUGCUCGAAAAUUUGCCUAUUGUGUGGUCUUGACGGUGGGUGAAAUUGAUUCGUGGUCUCAGAUGAAGACAGCAGCAGAUGUGUGUGUGCUAUAUGACAUCGAGAAAAAGCAAAAGCCUUAAAGAGUUCAUCCACAUUUUCCAUUUCAGAAGAAUCUGUUUGUGGUUCUCCUGCUCGAGUGCCAACUUUUCAGUGUGCAAGCAUAUAUGUUGAGACCGGCAGAUGAAAUCACUAAACUUUUACAGUUGAUCUGAGGCUCCUCUAAAGAAGGAUUUGGAUUUUGGAAUUAAUUUGGGGAAAGGGUUUUUUUCUGGUAUAUGAGUGUAAGCAUUCCUUCAAUCACGUAGCUUUGUGCCAUUAACAUAAUGGCAAUUCCACAAUGGGGAUAAUGAUAAUUUUGUGAUUGGGAACUCUUUACUGGUUUUUCUUUCGCCAUCUGUGUCUAUGAUUAAGGUUGUUUAAAGUGUUAUGGCUUUUAAUCUACAACCAUUGCGAAAUGGACUCACUAGCUGGCAAAUAAUAAAACAUAGUGCUGUCAAAUUUUGUAAGGAUUAUGCAUACACACUCUUUCGUCUUCAAUGCCCUGAAACUGGGUAACUACAUGUAUGAUUUUCAUUCAGAAAAACUGGCGAGAACUAAUGACUUUGCAGAUUAAAAAAUAAGUAGGAUUAUCAGAUUAUGUAGCAUUGUUAUGUAUUGUCUUGUGUAUUUUUUAAGGUUAAAGUUGGUUUGGAAAUUAAUUAAAAGACGAUAUUCAUUCUAUCACCGGACGAGUUUUUAACACGAGGAGAAGGUUCCUUUUGUAAUUUACUAAUUUAUACAACCUUUAAUAUUAAAACAAAAUUUUAUGUAUUAAGGACGAUGAUUCUUGCUCACUUAGUAAGAUAUGUACAUAACAUAGGUUUGUUAAGCAAGGAAUCAAUUAUGUAUUUCUUGUAUCUGAAAAAAUGAAUCAUCCUUUAACGAGGGUUAUCAUCAAUUGCAGGUUUCUAGUUUGGUUGCUUGGUUUGAGGACUAUGAAUAUUACAUUGUCAUAACUAAAGGAAAGAAUAUUGUAUACACAGCACACUAUAAUUACCAAUUCUUUAUCUUAUAAUAUAAGUUCAUAGUGAUUAAUUUGUCCGUCUUCAGCCAAAAAAAAAAAAAAGUCCCAUUUCAGCACAAAUACAAGAGCUCUCAUUUUUCUUUGCUCCAGCCAUUUUAUAGCAGUGUCAUCACAGACACCUCAAGCUCUGCCGAAUCAUCAUAGACAAUUCGUGAUUGGUGGGAGCAUUACAAGAAAGGUACGACUACUUCAAACUGAUAGAUUUGUUUAUAUGAUUUAGCUAUAGUUUUAACUUUUAACAAUAAACAAGAGACAAUCAUGUACAUCGUUAGUUACAUAAAUGUAGAUACUAAUUUAUUCCUGUACUUGCCAGAUCCAUACAUAUAAAAAUGAGAUAAAUUUUAAGGUUUAAAAAAUUUCAAUUCAUCAAAAAUCUAGUGCUAUAUUAAGCGGUAAAAUCACUUAGGGUUAGUACAAGAGGUUUAUGAUUCCCCGACCCGUUUAUAUGUAUGGGUGGAGAAGGUAUUAGGCAAUAAAGAAUUAGUAAAAAUUAACAAACAUAUUAUAAAAGGAAAUAAAUUUCAAGAGGGAACGUAAAAGAUUGUAUGUAACUUAUCGUUAGUGGAAUGGAAUUUUUUUGGAGAGGCUAUAUUUGGCUUGGAACAUAUAUUAGAACAAGGUUAUUUGAACCCACCGCACUCUCCAAAAUCCACUUCUCAAUAAAAAAUUUCAUUAGAAAUUUUUUCUUAAUUAAAUUACUAUUUUAACCAAAUAUUAUGUUAAUUUAUCUCCCUAAAACUUUUAUUUUUUUCACCCUUUUUUCUCUUUUCCUCUCCAUCUCCCCAAUUUUUUUUCUAGUCCUGUGUGGUUCUUAUACUUUAAGGCUUCUAUUGGAGUAAAAUCUCUAUUCAAAUUGCUUAUCCAAAAAAAAAAAAAUCUUUUAAAAUUUGCCUUUCCUUUACCCUCGAGUCACUAUUAGAUGUAUAUGCUCGUGAUGAAACUUUAGUAAUUGGAUUUCUAUUAAAUAUUUUAAUUUAAAAAAAUGAGAAGAUCACUAUAAAAAUAUCAAAAGAUCACCAACUUAAUUAUAGCAAUAAUUAAGGGAGUUAAAAAACUUACUAUUUCUGUUUGAAGUUAUUAUUAUAAAGAAAGAAAGGAAAAAAAAAGUCGCUGCAAUUGCAUCAAUUGAGGACAUGUUAUGAAAAGUAUCAUAGAAAGUAGUGAGAGAAACAACUAAUGAAAAUUAAUGAUACUUAUUGAGGGUAUAUUGGGAAUAUUUGUGGGUUUUUUGAAUGAAAAAAUAAAAUUUUAAGUUGUGAUAAUGUGUUUAUUAUAUAAAUGGGUUUAUUCAGCAUUACAAUGGGUUUAAAUGGCUUUAUCCUUCAUAUUAUAAUAAAUUUUUAUAUUACUAUAAUAGCCGUAAUAUAGAGGACAAUGUAAUGAAAAUAUUGUUACUGUUAUACUUAUUAAAGAAACAAUAUUAUCUUGUACAAACAAGAACACUCCAGUGCUGUAAUAUAAUCUAAUGCUUUUUGGUAGUGUAAACUAUGUGUGCCACGUGUAGUAUUUCAAUCUUCACAAGUGGCAUUGUAAAUAGUGGCUCUUAUUUCAGUUCCUCAUAGGCACUCUAGAGACACGUUAGCUUCGAAGCUAGUAUUUGGUCAUCACGUGCUUCUUUUAAUGAAACAUGUGGUUCAUUUUAUCCUUAUACGAGAGCAUUUUGUGCGGAAUAACCAUGUCAAAUGCUCAUUUAUCAAGGACACGUGUCGUGUUCUCAGAACAUAGUAAAAAUAUGAUACGCUAACCCAUGUACGUUUAUGGAAAAUCAAAUGAAAACAAAGAACUAAAAAAAACGUACAAAGGCUAAUUAAUAAUGUUUGAGUUUGAGAUGAUUAAUAUUUAAUUUUAUGGUUGUAAAGAUAAGAAUAAAAGUAGGUCUAGUGAGGACUAUCCUCAUAUUAUAACACUAUUUAAAGUAAAUUUUGUUAUAAAAGAUUUUAUUCAAUUAGGUACAGAGACCAUUCAAACUAUAUUUUAGUAUGUCUCAUAAUAGGACUAACAUUGGUCAAAUCAACCUAUUUCGAUAAGAUCCAUCGAAAUUAAUAUUUAAAAGAUUUAUCAUCUCAUUAUACAAUACACAGCUUUGCCAUCUAGUAGAGAAUGAUUGGUUGGCACACCAUAGUUUACAUAAAUAUUUCUAAUAUUUGAAUCAUUUGUUAGGAAAUUUUAACCCUACCAAGAUCUUGUAAGUAAACAUAUCAAAUAAAUAGUAAAUAGAUAAUAUAUAGAGAAUAAAACCAAUCAUACAACACAAUAAUUUACCGGAGAAAAAUUCCUAUACUGGAGAAAAACCGCGGCCGCCAAAGAUGACGAAAGAAAAACCCACUAUGUAAAGAUCAUUACAAUCAUUCUAGUAUUUUCCAAAUAUACAAAACCCCAAUAACAAAUAAUCUCUCAUUCUAGAAACUGUCUACUUGUAUAGAACUGAUCAUUAUGUUAUGCAAACAAGUGAAUCUAACCUUCUUAUAUAUUGUGAUUGUUUCAUAUAAGAGAAGUAUUUAUUUCCUUAUAUAAGUUGUAUUCCUCCUUUAAUAAGUUCUUUGGAAUUACUUAUUCCUUAAACACGAACCCCCCAAACAAAAAAAAUUACUAAAUAAAAAAAUUCUAGAAAAUAUUCUAAUUUAGGAUUUACAAAUCCUCAUUGAAAAAGGAGAUAUGUUUCUUAAAAAUCUCCACUUUGGCGAGUUUUUUAAUUAAACGACAACAUAUGAUCCGCCAUACAUCUAUGCAACCAUGUCGUCUCCACCUUCUUUAGUCUUACCAAAACCACACUGACAUUGGACUAAUGAGAAUCACUCCACCAUGAGUAAAAUCUUGUCCUCUAUCCAGCAACCAUAAUUUUCUACAUCGAGAAUCAUCAUACUUCACAUUAUCUAGAGUACACAUGUUUGGCAUAUGUCGAUCACAUUUAUGAAAUUACCCACUCUCAUGUUUGGCUUCUUUGAGAGUCCUCAACGAUCAACAUAAAAAGUCCACCACAUACCUUGCAUAAAUACUAAACUACAUGUUGUGUGCACAUCUUGUGGACCCAUUAACAAUAACACAUCCUCUUCCACGACACACCAAUAGAUAACAUAAUUAGUAUCUCCUUCUAUUAAUUUACAACUACUUUCCAAAUUUUAUAUAUUCUAACAAUCUCUUUUAAGAUAUUUUGAUUACCUACACUCCUCUAGGGGUUUCUACUAGUGGAAUAGGCCUGACAUUGCUCUUUGCUUUACUUGUAUAGACAGAUUGAACAAUAUGUUAUUGACUUGAUCUUCCCAAAAGGCAAAAUUAAUUAUUCCGUCAAACGUUUCUGUUUCUAUCUUCAUAGGUUUUGAAAACCUCCUUGUUGACGUAUUUGCUCUACAUUGCAGCCUUAACUCUAUUAUCACCUGCUAAGAAAUAAUUAAUCUCACCUAAGAUUCGCAAGAAAAAAUAUGAAAUAAAUAGUAAAUAGAAAAUAGGUGGAGAAUAAAGCUAAUAAAAUAAUACAAAAAUUUACAUGAAAAAUUUCUAUAUUGGAGAAAAAUUAUAAUAGCUAAGGACGAUAAGAGAAAAAUUUAUUAUGUAAAUAUUAUUAUAAUUACUCUAGGGUUUUUCUCACACCUAAAACACCAAAAGCACCUAAUUUUAAUAGAACUACUUUUCUCUCACACUGAAAACUAUUUACUUACAAAUAACUGAUUAUUGAAUUAUGCAAAGAAGUAAACUCAAUCUCCAUAUAUAUAUGUAGUGAUUAUUUCAUAUAGAAGUUGUAUUCCUUUCCUUAUAUGAUUUGUAUUCCUCCUUGAAUAAGUUAAGUUAUAAAGAGAAAAUUACUUAUUUCUUAAAUAUGAAUUAUCUUCAAUAAGAAAACUAAAAAGUGUAGAAAAUUCCUAAUUUAAGACUUAAAAAUCUUCUUUGAAAAAAGAGACAUCUCCCAAUGUCCUCAAAUCCUCCUUACAAUGCCACCAAUCUCUUUUGUGACUAGCCCAAUUGAAACUUUUAAUGGAUGGGCUGUAAUUGCCAAUAUCCAAAUAAAACAAAUUUCCAUAGAUAUAUUGGUAGAUUGAAGGACAACUAACAACACAUGAUUUGAUUAACUUACUUCCAAAAAAAAAGAAAAAAAAAAGAUACAAUGGAUUAACAUAAGACUCUUGUGCCAACUCAUGGAAUUCAUCAAUAAGGCCUUGGCUGAUCCACCUCAUGAUUAGUAGGGUUCAAACCCUUGCUAAAUGAUAAGAAAAAUAUUUGGAUUACUAAUUACUGUUUCUGAAGUCUAUUUAAACUUUAACUUUUAGAAUUUUGAACGUCUACACUUUAAUUAAAACAAUACAAGCCCACCCGUUUGUAUUUAAAAUUUUGUUUGAAUUUAUUCACAAGCAACAAGAAUAGUAUAAAUGGAAAAAAAAAAGUACCAUCAAAUAAUAUUCCAUGACUUUGUUUCUUCAAUUUCAGGAGCAAUGGUGGAAUCAUUCUUUCCGAUUGAAAAACUUUUGGAAAAAUUAGGGAGCUCUGCUCAUGAAGAACUUUUAUUGUUCUGCGGUGUCAAAAAUGACUUACAAAAGUUAAAGGAGACGUUAACCACUGUCAAAAGUGUGGUUUUGGAUGCUGAGGAAAAGCAAAUCCAUAAUCACCGGUUAAGCGAUUGGCUGGGAAAGCUUAAGGAUGCUUGUUAUGAUGCAGAAGAUGUGUUGGAUGAAUUUGAGGUGGAAGAUCUACGAAGGCAAGUCAUGAAGCAAAGAAGCAUCGGAAGAAAGUUUCGUAACUUUUUUGGAAGCUCAAAUCCGAUAGCUUUUCGUUUUAGAAUGGGUCAUCAAAUCAAGAAAAUUCGAGAGAGGUUUGAUGAGAUUGCAAAAUUGAGGGGUGAGUUUAAUCCCAUUGAACGACUUGACGAUCAUCGGCGAGUUGUGCACAAAGAAAGGGAACCCACUCACUCGUUUGUGCUUUCAUCAGAUAUUAUUGGAAGAGAUAAAGAUAGAGAAAAGAUUAUUGAACUAUUGAUGCAAACAAGUGGCGGCGAAAGUGAAACUGUGCCUGUGGUUCCUAUUGUGGGACUUGGAGGUUUGGGCAAGACUGCACUUGCAAAAUUGGUGUACAAUGAUCAAAGGGUAGAAGAGCAUUUUGAGUUGAAAAUCUGGAUAUGUGUUUCUGAGGAUUUUGAUGAGAGACAAAUUAUGACAAAGAUUAUCAAGUCGAUAACUGGUCAAAACCAAGGUGACUUGGAUACAGACCAAUUGCAACGAAUCUUGCGAGAUCGUUUGAAUAGUAAGAGAUACUUGCUUGUUAUGGAUGAUGUAUGGAACGAAGAUCCUGAAGCAUGGCGUAAAUUAAAAAGCUUAUUGUUGGGAGGUGCUAACGGAAGCAAAAUUUUGGUAACCACACGUAGCAGGAAGGUUGCUUCAAUCAUGGGCACGAGGGGAGGUACUACUGGCUACAACUUACAAGGUCUACCAUUCGAGGAUUGCUUGUCUUUGUUUAUGAAAUGUGCAUUUAAAGAAGAGCGAGAUAAACAUCCAAACCUCAUAAAAAUCGGGGAAGAAAUUGUGAAAAAAUGUGGGGGAAUUCCUCUGGUAGUCAGAGCACUAGGAAGUCUAUUAUAUUGCUCAACGGAUGAACAUGAUUGGGAAUAUGUGAGGGAUAAUGAGAUAUGGCAGUUAGAGCAAAAGGAAAGUGGCAUUUUACCUGCUCUGAGGUUAAGCUACGAUCAAUUGCCGCCUCACCUGAAACAAUGUAUUGCUUAUUGUUCAAUCUUUCCCAAGGAUUAUCAAUUUUAUGGUGAGUCUUUGGUUCAAUUUUGGAUGGCUCAUGGUCUUCUCCAAUCCCAUAAUAAGAAUAAGGAGUUAGAAGAUAUUGGUAUGCGGUACUUGAAGGAAUUACUGUCAAGAUCUUUCUUCCAAGAUUUGAUUUUUGGGAUUUCAGGAAUGGAGACUCUCUCUUUCAAAAUGCAUGACCUUAUGCAUGAUCUUGCCCUGCUAGUGGCCAAAGAUGAAUUCCUAGUAGUGAACUCUGAUUGUCAAUCUAUUCCCAAAAGAGUCCGCCAUUUGUCAUUUGCUGCUGCUAAUGCAUCAAGGAAUGACUUUUCAAGCCUUUUAUCUGAUCUAGGUCGCUUGAGAACCAUUUUCUUUUCAACUGAUGAUGAGAAGGCAAGCCAAUCAUUUGUUGAAUCAUGCAUCUCAAAGUUGUAGUUCCUGAGAGUGCUAAAUUUAAGUGAAUCUGCUCUUGAGGUUUGUCCCAGGAAGAUGGGAAAUUGGAAGCACAUGAGGUAUCUUGAUCUGUCGUGAAAUUAUAAAAUCAAGAAACUUCCAAAAUCCAUUUGCGAGCUACAGAGUUUACAAACACUGGAUCUUGAAGGAUGUCUGGAGCUAGAAGAGUUGCCUAAAGACAUAAGGUACCUUGUCAGUCUCAGAGUGUUAGUGCUAACCACAAAACAGAAGUCUUUGCAAGAGAGUGGAAUAAGGAGCUUGGGUUCUCUUCGUUGUUUGACAAUUUCUCGUUGUAGGGAUUUAGAACAUUUGUUCGAGGAGAUAGAUCAAUUAAGUCUCCUUCGAACAUUAUUUAUUGGUGAUUGUCCUCGUCUAAUCUCAUUGCCACCUUCUAUCAAAUAUCUCAGCUGAUUAGAGACUCUGAUUUUGUCGGAUUGUGAAAGCCUUGAUCUUAAUCUGAACGUGGAAAUGGAAGGUGAAGGAAGUCAUCAUGAUCGCAAAAACACAAGGCCUCACCUUCGGAGGGUUUUCAUCGGGGAAAUAACACAGUUAUUAGAACUGCCACAAUGGCUUCUUCAAUGUUGUACUGAUUCUUUACAGAGCUUGGUUAUUGGAGAUUGUCCCAACUUCAUGGGACUACCAAGGUCUCUAAAAGAUCUCGAAGCUCUUGAAACUCUUGUGAUUGCAGAAUGUCCAAAAUUGUCAUCGUUGCCGGAGGAUAUGCAUCACCUCACUACUCUGAAAUUAUUGACCAUUGCAGAAUGUCCUGCACUGAGUGAAAGAUGCAAACCGCCAACAGGUGAAGAUUGGCCCAAGAUUUCACAUAUCCCCCAGAUUGGUCUUGAUCACGAGAUGAUUAAGUCAAGUGAUAAUUAGGUAUGGAUUAAUAUCUCGUCCUUUUAAUUUCCUCUUUUCAUGCAGCUUUCUAAUUUUUAAUUUCUCAUACAGCUAUUCCGUUUAUAGUUUAAUGUUUUGUUAUGUUUACCAAACGAAAACUUGACUUUGAACGUUAGUUAGUUCAAUCAAAUUUGUACUAAUUUAUUUUCUUCUAAUACACAAUUAGUUUGUCAGUACGAAACACAAAAAUAAUAUUUUGGAAACCGCACUGUUCUAGGGGUCAGAUCUGUUUCUAAAUUCAAACAGUUCAGGAUUUUUCAAAAUGGAACUUGCGCCGAAACAUCUAACUAUUCUUCCUCUUAUCCUUUUUUUUUCCCAAAUAUUGCAGCUUUCUUGGGAGAGGUUCAACCAAACUGCAGGGACAGUGAAAAUAUUACUCUAACGUGGUUCAGAACAGAGCUUCAACGGUUUUAAUGUUGUGUUUUAAAGUUACAAGUAUUAUAUAUUUGUUACGUGUGGUAACCUUUUUGUGACAUGAUUUUUGUGGAGGUUUUUGUUUUUGUUUUUUAUUCCUCCAUAUAAAAUGACUAAUUCGAAAGAAUAUGUAUUGUAAUAGAACCUAGAACUUCUAUGUAUUUUAGGAUGAAAAUUCUGUACAAUAGAAAAUAUUAAAACGAAAAUUAAAGUUGAUAUGAGAAAAUUAAAGAAGCUUGCAACUUGGAACAGGUAAGAGAUAGAGAGAGACUCUCGGACUCUUUACAAGGAGCAAAAAUGGAAUGAAACUCUGUUUUGAUUAAAAUUCAAUGACUUUCUUCGUAUUAAUCAAAUUAAUUAAUUAAUUAUUUUGGUAAAAAGAAUUUGCCAAUUGUGUGACGGUCUUGGAGACCCUUGACGGUGGUGAAAUUGAUUCACGGUUUCAAAUGAAGACAUGCAGCGGAUGCGUUCGUGCCGUAUGACAUCGAUGAAAAAGUAAAGAGUUUGAUUUCUCUAUUUUGCCCUUAAUUAAUCGUUGACAUCUAAUUUUACACUCCCAACAAAUUUGAAUGAAACAAUCCUAAUGUUUAGAACGUGUACAUUAACAAAAACGAGAUGCUCCUGAUGAGGGGAAGGAGAAAAAGACACAACGAGUUCGCAAGAACGUGUACAGAGGAAUAAGGCAGAGGCCAUGGGAGAAAUGGGUAGCUGAAAUUAGAGACCCUUACAAGGGCGUCCGCGUUUGGCUCGGCACAGCCGAAAAAGCUGCAAGAGUUUAUGCUGACGUCGCCAAGAAUAUCCGUGGCAACAAGGCCUAGCUCGACUUUGCUCACCGGCCGCCAGUAACUCCACCUCCAGGUAAGAAACGCUUCGUGCUAUCUCGUGAGUUGACUCAGUCGAGUUUCGGAGAUUACUUUUUUAUUGGUUUUCAUUGAUUUCUUUUCCUGCCCUUAUCUACGAGGUUGUGCUCUCCCUUGGAUGCCCUUUAAUAAACAGCUUUCCUAAUAACAACUGAAGCGAAAAGUCAUUUUAUCAAAUGAUUUGGUGAAAUUUCAAGUACUUUCAUCUUGGGAUGUGGUAUAUGUAUCAAGUUCUUAUUGCUGGUGAACAUUACUGGUUUAGUGUGCGAUCGUUUACUAUCACUGCAUGCAUUAUCAGUUUAUUUUAUUGAACUAUCCCAAAUCAGUAACGAAUCCUCAAUUCCCUCUGUUUUCUUUGGAUCCUAGUAGUGUUUGGCAUGCAUCAACUAGUGUUCAUGCAUGUGUCGGUUCAUCAUAGACAACUUCAGCACACAUACAACAGCCCUCAUUUCUCCUUGCUCCAACCAAUCGAUGGCAGAAUCAUCACAGACACCUUGAGCUCUGUCGAAUCAUCAUAGACAAUUUGUGAUUAGUGGGAGCAUUACAAGAAAGUUACGACUACUUCAAACUGUUAGAUUUGUUAAUAUGAUUUGGCUAUAGUUCUAUACAUGGUUAAGUUAUAACAGUAGUCAAGAGAUAAUCAUGUACAUCAGUAGUUAAAUAAAUGCAUACUAAUCUAUACCUCUACUUGCCGGAAUCCUAUAUGUAAAACAAGAUAAAUUUUAAUGUUUAAAACUUUGUAAUUCAUUAAAAAAUUAUUCGUCUACCUUUACAUUCCAAAUAUAAUUGGUGAGUUUUUGUGGGUCUGUUUGAUAUUUUAUGAUUACUAACUUCAUGGGUUUGAUGGAAUUUUUCAUUUUUAUGUUGUGAAUGUUAGGGUAUGCGAGAGUGCUCUUCAAUUGCAUUGCCUUUGCUUUAUGUUUCUCUGACAAAAGGGUUUGCUUGUUCUUUACUUUAUCAGCUGAGAAUAUAUUUUACAAGUUUACUUUGAUUUCUGGCUUUAUGGCCUCUGUUUGAUGUGUGUAGUAUUUGACUGUAAUGCGAGUAUUGUGUGUUUUCAGCUUUGCAUGUGAUGCGGUAGAUAGUUAGUGUGCUGGUAAAUUCAAUCAAGGUAUGAUUCAUAUGAAGUGAUCUGCUAUCUAUCUUUUGGCAAAUUAAGCGUCGAUGAUUUAUGCUAAUUGAGCCGCUAAAAGUUGUCUUUGUGUGUGAUUGAGUACAUGUUAGUGUGAAUUCUCGUAAUGUUCAUCCAGUCAAAGCAAACGUUCGUCUUUCACAUUGACUAUUAGGCAAGAUGUUUGAUAGUGAAUUAGAUGAUUCAGUUUAUUAUAGUCUUCUUAUAUUGUCGGUUCAAUAUCAUUUUGAAAAAUCAUAUCAAAACUGCUUUUGGAGUUUUAAUCCAGCACAGUUACACCUAUAUUGUACUUUUGAUCUGCAACCUUGAGUCACUGUCAUUUUGCUGUUAGUAUUUCGAUUAGCAACUUGUACAGUGGUAUUUGAACUGCAUGGUGAGAGGAAAAUGCAAGUACUUGGAAGAAAUUGGAAUUGUAUUAUAUAUUCGAAUAAUUUACAAUGAGACAUAUUGAGGUCCUUAUAUAGUACAAAUUAUAGCCGUUCGAGAAUUAAAGAGCAUUCUUAAAGUAUAAUAGAAUUAACCACAAUUGAGGAAAUCGUGAUUGCUAUUGACAUAGGAAAUCUCGGCUUUAUUAGCUUGCAGUCAAGGCUGAUCUUUUGGCUGGUUUUCUUGAUUCCUUUCCUUGAUUCCUGACUCAUUGAUUGCUAUUUCUACAGCCUGACACUUUCCUUUAACAUCCCCCCUCAAACUUGGUCGUGGUAGAGUCCAAAUACCAAGUUUGGUGCAUAAAUUAUGAAAGGCAGUGCUGGAGAGAGGCUUUGUAAAUAUAUCAGCUAGUUGAUCUUUGGAACUCACAAACUGGGUGAUUAGUUUCCCUUGAGCCACUUUCUCGCGGACAAAGUGAUAAUCAAUCUCAAUAAGUUUUGUGCGAGCAUGAAGAACGGGAUUGACUGUUAAAUGAAGAGCUGACAUGUUAUCACUAAAUAGUGUUGGAGGUUGAGGAAGCUGAAAGCCAAUGUCACUAAGAAGAUAGGUGAUCCAUGUGAGUUCUGCAGCAGCUGAAGCCAUAGCACGAUACUCAGCUUCCGUACUUGAUCGAGCAACAGUAGGUUGUUUCUUGGCUGACCAGGAUACACAAUUGGGACCUAAAAAAGUGCAAAAUCCUGUGGUGGAUCUUCUUGUUAGAGGACAACCACCCCAAUUUGAAUCUGAAAAUGCAUACAAAUUAGUUAUAGUGUGAGAAAGUAAUCGAAUACCAUGAUCUAAAGUUCCUUGGACAUAUCAUAGAAUUCUUUUGACUAAUUGAAAAUGAAAAUUGCUCGGUUGAUGCAUAUGUUGGCAAACAAAAUUAACACUGUAAGCAAUGUCUGGCAUAGUGAAUGUCAAGUAUUGUAAUCCACCUACAAUGCUUCUAUAGAAGGUAGGAUCAGAAAAUAAACUUGUAUCAAUGGGGUGAUUGUGAGGCACCAUAGGAGUAGAUAAUGGUUUACUAGUAUGCAUUUUUGCUCUUUUAAGCAAAUCGGCAGCAUAUUUUCUUUGAUGCAAGAUAAGACCAUGAGAAAAUUUAGCUACUUCUACACCUAAAAAGUAAUGAAUGUAACCAAGAUCUUUCAUAGCAAACUCCUUUCCAAGUGAGCAGAGAAAUUGAUUUAGAAGAAUAUGGUUGCUUCCUGUUAAAAUUAAAUCAUCAACAUAAACAAGUAAAAAUAUAACGCCAUGAUUUUUUCGAAAAAUAAACAAUGAAGAGUCAACAGUGCUACAGACAAAUCCAUAAGCUAAGAGGAACAUACUGAACCUAUCAAACCAUGCUCUCGGUGCUUGUUUUAGCCCAUAUAAAGCUUUGUCAAGUUUACAAACAUGGUGCGGAUAUUUUUCAUCAAUAAAUCCAGGGGGUUGCUCCAUGAAAACUGGUUUAUCGAGCUUGCCAUGUAAAAAUGCAUUUUUGACAUCUAAUUGUCGAAUGUCCCAAUUGUGGGAUAGUGCAAUUGAUAAGACUAUCCUGAUGGUUGCAGGUUUUACAACGGGUGAAAAUGUUUCUAGGAAGUCAAUUCCUGGAAUUUGAUUAAAGCCUUUGGCCACUAGCCUAGCUUUUAGUCUUUCUAGAGUGCCAUCAGCUUUAAGUUUUGUUUUGUAUACCCACUUACAGCCUAUGACAUUCAUGUCAUUGGAUCUUGGAAUUAAUAUCCAUGUCUUAUUUUGAUGCAGGGCAACAAUUUCCUCUUUCAUAGCAUGCAACCAUCCUGGAUGAUAUAAAGCAUCUUUAAUGCCUUUAGGCUCUGUUGGCACAUUAUAACUAAGUAAUGCAAAUUCAGUAGGGCUAUACCUGGUGCUGCGUUUAUAUAUACCUGCUUUGCCACGUGUUGUCAUGUUGUGAGAUGGUUGUAUACUUACAGUGGAAUCAAGAGUAGGUUUUUGUCUCGUGUCUUGAUCUGUUUGAUUCUGAAUCUUUGUUAGGCUGAAUGCUAGUUAGAUCCAACUCAUGGGAAACUUCAGUCUCUUAUUCAGGAGCCAUUGUGUCUUGAUCAGAGUCAUGUUGAGGUGCUGAAAUGUUUGUAGCCUCAAAAUCUUUGCUAGUUGGAUCAAGUUCGUGAGGGGUCUGUAACAUGUUUAUAUUGCUAUAUUCUUGGCCUCCACUUCCUUCAUUGUUUGUGGUAGAGAUAUCAAGGUUAGUAUUUUCAUUUUGGUUGAUAUCCGCUACCCUGUGGCUAUUUUCUGUUAUAGGUACUGCCAUGUUUGUUCGAGGAGAUAGUUGGUUAUAGUUGUUUCCAAUUCCUGCAGUAGUAAAAGUUCCUGCAAUCCACUCAUUGAAACUUGUUAGAUUUGUGUGUUCACCACAACUACUAUAAAGUAUACCUGGCUUCAUGAAGGGGAAAGUCUUUUCAUCAAAGAAAACAUCUCUUGACAAAUAUACUUUUCCAGUAGGUGGGUGAAAACAUCUAUAACCUUUAUAAAAUUCACUAUAUCCAAGGAACACACAAGGAAGAGAUUUUGGAUCAAAUUUAUUUUGAUUUAUUCUUCUAAGACAUGGAAAACAUCUAGAGCCAAACACUCUUAAGGAAGAGUAGUCAGGUUUCUUACCGGUUAACUUCUCAAUGGGACUUUUCAUGGCAUGUAUGGCUGAAGGUAACCUAUUGAUUAGCCAUGUUGCAGUAGAAAAUGCUUCCACCCAGAAGCGUUUAGGAACUCCAGCAUGAAACAACAUAGUAAGUCCAAGCUCAGUGAUAUUCUUAUGCUUUCUCUCAGCAACACCGUUUUGCUGAGGUGUUCCUGGGCAUGAUUUCUGUGACUUGAUUCCAUGAUUUAAAAGGUAUUCUUGAAAUUCUUUGCUUCCAAACUCACCUCCUCCAUCCGAUUGAAAAACUUUGAUGUUUUUCUCAAACUGAUUUUUCAAAAAUUUAUGAAAAGAAAUAAAGCAAUUAAAGAAAUUAGAUUUUUUUCGUAAAGGAAAAAACCAAGUAAACCGAGUGAAUUCAUCAACAAAUAUAACAUAAAAUUUAAAAUUUUGAAAUGAUUUAGCUGGAGCAGGACCCCAUAAGUCACAAUGAAUUUUACCAAAAGGUUCCGAACAAUGUUCAUCAAUAUUAAGAAAAGGGAGUCUACAAGAUUUGCCUAAUUGGCAACUUUCACAUAAAAAAUUUUCCCCGUCAUGCUCAUUUACAGAAAUGAGCUUAUUAUGCUUUAAAUAACUAAUUAUUUUCAUAUGUGGAUGCCCAAGCCGUUGAUGCCAUGUGGUAUCACUAGUUGCUUGAAACCUUGAUGAGUAGAAUGUCAUGUUUUGAUUUGGUUCCAAGCUAUAGAGGCCACCAUUCCUAGUUCCUGUUGUGAUCACUUUCCCUGUUUCCCUGUUCUUAAUCACAAAAUUAUUUGCAGUGAAUUCAAACAUGUAAGGAAAAUAAGUGGUUAAUUGACUUACAGAGAGAAGAUUCUUUUUAAUCUCAGGAACAACUAAAACAUUUUUUAAUUUGACAGAGUUUUUAUCUGUGUGCAAAACAGUAUCUCCUAUAUGAGUAAUUUUCAAUUUAUGUCCAUUACCUACCAUUAUCUUAUCUGAUCCAUGAUAUAGUUGACAGUGAAUUAACUUACCAUUAUCUGAAGUCAUAUGUUGAGUAGCUCCUGUAUCAGGAAACCAUGCAUCAGUCUCAUUUUCUGAUAUUGCCAUAGCGGCAAGAGCUUGUGCUGCAUUAUUAGGCUGAUAGCCUUGUUUGAAUCUAUGCCAACAUUCAAAGGCAGAGUGUCGAGGCUUAAGACAAAUCUGACAAAUUAAAUCAUCUUUGUCUUGCUCAUUUUGAGAAGGAUUCUGAUUAUUCCUUUGUGGUGCUUCCGAAGGUUUUUGUACUGCUUGAGGGAAGCCUCUUCCUUUUGAGUUGAAGGAAUUUUGCCCUUGUCUGUUAAGGGGAUUUUGUCCCUGCAUGUUAAAAGGAACUUGUCCCUGGCUAUUGUUUCUAAAGUGUUUUCCAUUGUUUUUAUUUUGAGCAAAAAAGGCAGAGUGUUCAUCAGUAGCACUUGCAGAGCAAUGAAAAGAUUUCAUGUUCUCAUGACUUUGAAGUAAUUGAAUGACAUCAUUAUAUGAAGGUAUUGGAGGUUUCAUCAUAGAUGUAACAAAAGAUCUAUAACCCUUACCUAAUCCUUUGAGAAGACCAAAAACCUUUUGUUGAUCUUCCAUCGAUUUGCUAAUGGCAUCAAGUUCAUCACAUAUCUCUUUGAAGCCUCUGAUGUAGUCAUUGAUAGUUUUGUAAUUUUGCUUGCUGUGCAGAUGCAUCUUUUGCAUGAGAAAGAACUCUCUAUCUUUGGUGUUUCGAGCAAAGUAUUCUGAUAAGGCUUUCCAUACUGCUGCUGAUGUUUCUAUUCCCAUAGCAAGUCCAAGGACUUCCUCUGAUAGAGUCCCCACGAUCCAUCCGCGAAGAAGUCGAUCCGAUCUCCUCCACAUUAUGUAAUCAUAAUUCAUCACAUAUUCUUGUUUUGUUGUAGAUGCUUCAGCUUCUACAGUUGAUUUUAAGACAAAUUCUGCAGGUUCGGGAUAUGUUCCAUCUAGAAAACCUCCCAUAUCUUGGCUUUCAAUAAGCCCACUUAUUUGUGUUUUCCACAACAUGUAGUUGUUUUGGGUGAGUUUGAAAGAGACGAAGUUGCUUAUAUUCAAUGUCGAAGGAUAUGGAAAUGAAACGGUAGAUGUAGUUUUUGAAGACACAAGAGCCAUGGUUGACUAAUAAUAUUUAAUUAUUCUGCCAGGAGCUAUUGCUCUGAUACCAUGAGAGGAAAAUGCAAGUACUUGGAAGAAAUUGGAAUUGUAUUAUAUAUUCGAAUAAUUUACAAUGAGACAUAUUGAGGUCCUUAUAUAGUACAAAUUAUAGCCGUUCGAGAAUUAAAGAGCAUUCUUAAAGUAUAAUAGAAUUAACCACAAUUGAGGAAAUCGUGAUUGCUAUUAACAGAGGAAAUCUCGGCUUUAUUAGCUUGCAGUCAAGGCUGAUCUUUUGGCUGGUUUUCUUGAUUCCUUUCCUUGAUUCCUGACUCAUUGAUUGCUAUUUCUACAGCCUGACACUUUCCUUUAACACAUGGUAUGUCAACUUUCACUCUAUGUGUCUUAGAAACUCUGUAUAUCACUAAUUUCCUAGCACAGGCCUUGUUGACAGUCAAAGAUUUGAGGCAUAUUUCUGUAUUGAAGGCUUUUCUGUCGUCAAUUUGAUGAUGAGCGCAUGUAUUAUCCCCAAUAUUUUGAGCAGGAACUUGUAACUAGUAAUAACCAGUACCUAAGAUGUUGCAUUUGAUUGACUUCUCUUUCUCGUUUAGUUUCAGCCGUUGGAGCUGUUUCAGACAUGGUAACUGAUACGUAAUUUCUCUCUUUCCACCCCACAAUGUAUCAUUAGUCAUCAUUCGUUCUGGUUGGCGUGGAUACGCAUACUAAUUUGGAUUAUUGUCUGUGCCUUCGUCUUUUGUCAAUAAUCUUUUGCAUUUCAGGAUUAGUACAUCUUGUAUACUGGUAAUACUCUCUCAACUAUACAUGUAAGACUUUGUUAUGUUUUCUUGACCCGUAAUCUAAUGCUAUAAGAUGACGGCAUAAUUGAGCUAUUUUGCAUCUCCAUGCAGGCCUGAUUUGGUUUUUGUGUCACUACCUGCAUUAGAUAUUGGUAGUCAAUGGCUGCAGAUGUACAGGUGCCGUUUCGUUUCCCUGACAUAAUCUCAUGUAACAUGAAAUUGCUUGUGAAACUGGAAGAUAUUUGAUUCUUUUUUUUUUCAUUUUUGCUAAAGAAAAGUUUUACUUGCGUUGGGAAAUAUGCCUACCACUCUGGAUCUCCGUUGCAGUACAUUCUUGAGAGGAAAAUCUAGCCAUAAAAUGUAAAAGACAACACAAAUUGGCUUUUCAAAGCCUAUUAUGGGAACCGGAUGUUUAUGGGUUAUAGUUGUGUGGCAUGUGAGGUAAUUGUAGCUUUCCGUGUUAUUAUCCAUAUCAGGAUUUGCAAAUGUUAUCAGUGCUUUUUACCUGAUCCAACUGUUUCAACCCUGCAGCUUCUUUACCUAAUCAUAUUUCUUAUUGCGGAGACGCAGAGUGAAAGUUUGGUGGAUGUAGGAUCUCAUUUUCUUACUAUUAGAUUGUUCUGCAUAUAGAAAGAUUUCUCCUGUUUCUCGCUUUGCAAACAAUCUCUUCUUUCAGGUUGUGGUGAGUGCUGUGCGACAGGGCUCGCCUCUUUCCUUCCUAGUUGCAUUGAGUUUAUUCGGAUGGGCAAUCAAGCAAACGAUCAAUGUCAUACAGGUAACUUGCACUCCAUAUGAUCGUAAUGUUCGUUUAUUCUGAUACUUCUUCACAGUAAGUAAAUUUCUUGAUGUCUACAAAUUAAGGAGACUUUUGUAUGGGUAAAGUUGACAUUUUACAAUGGCAUUCUGGAUCCUGAAAUCGGUCAGUUUGAGAUUCACAUGCUGUGAUAUGCUCUAAUGUUAAAACUCAAACCUUUUCUGUAUCUUAAAUGGAUUGUCGUGGAUAUGCCUGGGAUGAUCAUUUUCUUCCUCUUCACUUCAUCAUCUUUGUCAUAGUAGUUAUAAUUGAUUGAGGAGUGUGAAAACGCAUUGUGAUGAAUGAAUGCACAAGCUAUGUGAUUAAGACUGCAUUUAUUAGGUUGGUGACGGCAAAUAUCAGGCAGGAUAUUCACAAUAGUGCUACUGAAGCUUUAUAUGGAAUAAGGAGACCAAACCUCUAUAUGAUAAGAGUUGUAUGAAUACCAAAUGAAUUGUAAGAGGAUAUGGUUAAUUUAGAUUGCAAUUUAAGAAAGCUUGAGUUCUAAGAGCACAGAAAUGGGAUCAGUCUUGCUCAAGUGUGAACUCCAUCAGUUAGGAAGCUGUCCAUCAAAUGGAAAUAUUUACGUGAUUCAGAGAAAUUUUGGACUUUUGAUGAAAACAAAAAUCAUGUAUGCAUUUGCUUGCCCCGAAGGAGCUGAAAGUUCUCAAAUUGUUUGUAGACGUCAUAGUUCUCCUGAUGUCAUUUGGCUUGGUAAUCUUUUUUGCUCGAAAAUUUUCCCAUUGUGUGGUCUUGACGGUGGGUGAAAUUGAUUUGUGGUUUCAGAUGAAGACAGCAGCAGAUGUGUGUGUGCUAUAGGACAUCGAGAAAAAGCAAAGGCCUGAAAGAGUUCAUCAACAUUUUCCAUUUCAGAAGAAUCUGUUUGUGGUUCUCCUGCUCAAGUGCCUACUUUUACAGUUGAGACCGGCAUAUGAAAUCACUAAACUUUUACAGUUGAUCCGAGGCUUCUCUAGCAAAGGAUUUGAAAUUAAUUUGGGGAAGGGGUGUUUUUUUGGGUAUAUGAGUGUGUGCAUUCCUUCAAUCACGUAGCUUCGUGCCAUUAACUUAUUGGUUUUUCUUUCGCAUCUGUGUCUAUGAUUAAGGUUGUUUAAGGUGGUAUAGAUUUCAGUACAUUGAACAAAAAAUUAUUUAUUUUUAUUCAAAUAAAAAUACCUAAAAAUCAAACCUUAGUUAAAAAAAAUAAAGUUUAAAAAAUUCUGAAAUUAAUCAAAUUUUAAAACUUGAGACUUUUAACAGAUUAAUCCAACCUUUGAAUAAAUAAACUAAAUGGGGGUCAAUUUUUCUCGUGUCAGCUUGUUCAAUCGACACUAUCUUUUCAACCUCUCACGAAUAAACAAAUCACUAAUGAUGUGUCCAUUUCUUCUACUUUAUAAUAAUUUUUAAUAAAAAGAUUAUUAAAGUGGUUCGGCUGUGGGAGCCACACGUGUCUGUGGCAGCGCACACCCAAGAGAAGCCAGUCUGGUUCCAAGAAGAAAGUGAACAUGUGAUGAUGAGAUGCCGUAUCAAAUGGGGCCACGUAGACAGAGGUGCUUCGAGGUGACAUGUCAGCAGAUACCUCCACCGACGAUCUUCAAAAUAAUUUGAACGGUUGGGAUUUUAUUUUCAACUUACCUGUGUCCAGGCUGUUGUUGAUUGUCGCUAUCGUGAAUUGUCCACUUCGAUUUUUUUUUUUAAUUUCUCCAACACUCUCCUAACUAAAGGAGUUAAUAAGAUUUCGAUAUUUUUUUCUUUAAAUGAUUUGAAAUAUCAAUAUUUUAUAAUUUUUUUUGGGUCCUAUUUUGUCCAUAAAAUGUUUAGCGAUCCUUUAGUUAAUUAGUUUCGUGGCUGUCUUAUCAAAUUAUUACAACGGUGAUAACGGUUACACACAAAAAUUAAGAAAAAAAAAGAUUAUAAUUAACGGGGUACGAUCCAUGUUGUCGAUACGCCGUUGGACAACUUUCAUUAGACUGAAGGAUUAUAAUUAACACACUCUUUCACCUUCAAUGCACUGAAACUGGGGAACUACAUGUAUGAUUUUCAUUCAGAAAAACCGAUGGGAACUAAUGACUUUCCAGAUUAAAAAAAAAAAAAGUAGGAUUAUCAAACUAUGUAGCAUUGUUAUGUAAAGUUUUAUGGUUAUUUUAAGGCUAAAAUUGGUUUAGAAAUUAAUUAAAAGACAAUAUUCAUUCUAACAUAAAACGAGUUUUUAACAAGAGGAGGAGGUUCCUUUUAUAAUUUACUAAUUUAUACAACCUUUAAUAUUAAAACAAUAUUUUAUAUAUUAAGGAUGAUGAUUCUUGCUCACUUAGUAAGAUAUGUAGACAUAACAUAGAUGUGGUGAGCAGGGAAUCAAUUAUGUAUUUCUUGUUUCUGAGAAAAUAUUUUAUCCUUUAACGAGGAUUAUCAUCAAUUGCAGGUUUCUAGUUUGGUUGCUUAGUUUGAGGAAAGAAUAUAUGCUAUGGAAUAUAUGCUAUGGUGUUUGGCUGGUCUGCAUUUUUCUUUUCAAUUAAUGUAAUAUUCUUAUGCUAUGGAAUUGAUUAUCAUAACUAAAGGAAAGAAUAUAUACUAUGGAAUAUAUGCUAUGGUCUUUGGCUGGUCUACUUUUUUCUUUUCAAUUAAUGUAUUAUUCAUAUGCUAUGGAAUAUGAAUAUUACAUUAAGGACGAUGAUUCUUGCUCACUUAGUAAGAUAUGUAGACAUAACAUAGAUGUGGUGAGCAGGGAAUCAAUUAUGUAUUUCUUGUUUCUGAGAAAAUAUUUUAUCCUUUAACGAGGAUUAUCAUCAAUUGCAGGUUUCUAGUUUGGUUGCUUAGUUUGAAGAAAGAAUAUAUGCUAUGCUAUGGAAUAUAUGCUAUGGUGUUUGGCUGGUCUGCUUUUUUCUUUUCAAUUAAUGUAUUAUUCAUAUGCUAUGGAAUAUGAAUAUUACAUUAAGGGAAAGAAUAUUUUUACACAGCACACUAUAAUACUCUAAUUACCAAUUUUUUAUCUUGUAAUACAAGUUCAUAGCGAUUAAUUUAUCCGUCUUCAGCAAAAAAAAAGUCCCAUUUCAGCACAUAUACAAGAGCCCUCAUUUUUCUUUGCUUCAGCCAUUUUAUAGCAGAAUCAUCACAGACACUUUGAGCUCUGCCGAAUCAUCAUAGACAAUUUGUGAUUGGUGGGAGCAUUACAAGAAAGGUACGACUACUUCGAACCGAUAGAUUUGUUUAUAUGAUUUAGCUAUCGUUUUAACUUUUAACAAUAAACAAGAGACAAUCAUGUACAUCAUUGGUUACAUAAAUAUUAAAAUGAGAUAAAUUUAUUCCUCUACUUGCCAGAUCCAUACAUAUUAAAAUGAGAUAAAUUUUAAGGUUUAAAAAUUUUCAAUUCAUCAAAAAUCUAGUGCGAUAUUAAGCGGUAAAAUCACUUAGGGUUAGUACAAGAGGUUUAUGAUUCCCUGACUCAUUUAUAUAGGUGGAGAGGGAAUUAGGCAAUAAAGAAUUGAUACAAUUAAUAAUUAUAUUAUAAAAAGAAAUAAAUUUCAAGAGAGAUCAUAAGUUCGUAGAAGAUUGUAUGUCAGUUAUUUGUAGUGGAAUGGAGUGUUUUUUUGGAGAGGCUAUUUGGCUUGGAAUAUAUAUUAGAAUGAGAUUAUUUGAACCCACCGCAAUACUCUCUAAAAUCCACUUUUCAAUAAAAAAUUUCAGUGCAAAAUUUUCCUUAAUUAAAUUACUAUUUUAGCCAAAUAUUAUGUUGAUUUAUCUCCCUAAAGUUUUUAUUUUUUUUCACCCUUUUUUCUCUUUUCCUCUCUGUUUCCCCAAUUUUUUUUUUUCCAGUCCUAUGUGGUUCUUAUAUUUUAAGGCUUCUAUUGGAGUAAGAUCUAUAUUCAAAUUGCUUAUCCAAAAAAAAAAAAAAAUCUUUUAAAAUUUGCCUUUCCUUUACCCUCGAGUCACUAUUAGAUGUAUAUGCUCCUCAAGAAACUUUAGUAAUUUGAUUUCUAUUAAAUAUUUUAAUUUCAAAAAAUGAGAAGGUCACUAUACAAAUAUCAAAAGAUCACCAACUUAAUUAUACUAGUUAUAAUUGAGGGAAAUAAAAGACUUACUAUUUCUGUUUGAAGUUAUUAUGAUGAACAAAGAAAAGAGGGGGGGGGGGGGGGGGAAAGUCGCUGCAAUUGCAUCAAUUGAGGACAUGUUAAGAAACGUAUCAUUGAGAUAAGAUUUAAUUGAUAAAAAUAAGAUUUACUAGAAAGUAGUGAGAGAAACAACUAACAAAAAUUCAUGAUACUUAUUGAGGGUAUAUUGAGAAUAUUUGUGGCUUUUUUGAGUAAAAAAAUAAAGUUUUAAGUUGUGAUAAUGUGUUUAUUACGUAAAUGAGUUUAUUUAAUAUUACAGUGGAUUUAAGUAGCCUUACCCUUCAUAUUAUAAUAAUUUUUUACAUUACUCUAUAAUAGCCCUACUAUAGAGGACCAUUUAAUGAAAAUAUUGUUACUCUUAUACCUAUUAAAAGAAACAAUAUUAUCUUGUACGUACAAGAACGUUCUAGUGCCCAAGUAAAAGUUUUAGUAAAACGUAUAAGAACUCUAAGUGUAAAGAGAAUUUCGUCAAGGUACUAUAGUAGUAUCUAAUGCUCUUUGCUAGUGUAAACUAUUUGUGCCACGUGUAGUAUUUCAAUCUUCACAAGUGGCAUUGCAUAUCGUGGCUCUUAUUUCAGUUCCUCAAAAGCACUCUAGAGGUAGGUUAGCUUAUAAGCUAGUAUUUGGUCAUCAUGUGCUUCUUUUAAUGAAACAUGUGGUUCAUUUUGUCCUUAUACGAGAGCAUUUUGUGUGGAAUAACCUUGUAAAAUGCUCAUUUAUCAAGGACACAUGUCGUGUUGUCAGAACAUAGUAAAAAUAUGAUACGCUAACCCAUGUGCAUUUAUGAAAAAUCAAAUGAAAACAAAGAACUAAAAAAAAUGCAAAGGCUAAUUCAUAAUGUUUGAGUUUGAGAUGAUUAAUAUUUAAUUUUAUGGUUGCAAAGAUAAGAAUAAAAGUAGGUCUAGUGAGAAAUACCCUCAUAUUAUAAUACUAUUUAAAAUAAAUUUUGUUAUAAAAGAUUUUAUUUAAUAAGGUAUGGAGACUGUUCAAAAUAUAUUUUACGUACAAACUCAUAUGUUUGACGUAAUAGUAUGUCUCAUGCUAGGACUAGCAAUGGUCAAAUCAACCUAUUUCGAUAAGAUCCAUCAAAAUUAAUAUUUAAAAAAUUUAUCAUCUCAUUAUACAAUACACAUCUUUGCCAUCACAGCUUUGCCAUCUAGUAGAGAAUGAUUGGUUGGCACACCAUAGUUUACACGAAUAUUUCUAAUAUUUGAAUCGUCUGUUAGAAAAUUUUAAUUCUAGCAAGAUCUUGUAAGUAAAAAUAUCAAAUAAAUAGUAAAUAGAAAAUAUACACAGAAUAAAACCAAUCAUACAAUACAAUAAUUUACGUGAAAAAUUCUUAUAUUGAAGAAAAACCGCAACCGCCAAAGAUGACAAAAGAAAAAUCUACUAUUUAAAGAUCAUUACAAUUACUUUAAUAUUUUCCUCACAUAAAAAACCCCAAUAACAAAUAAUCUCUCAUUUCAGAAACUGUCUACUUGUAUAGAACUGAUUGUUGUGUUAUUUAAACAAGUGAAUCUAACCUUUCGUAUAUAUUGUGAUUAUUUCAUAUUGGAGAAAUAUUUAUUUCCUUAUAGAAUUUGUAUUUCUCCUUUAAUAAGUUCUUUGGCAUUACUUAUUCCUUAAACAUGAACCCCCCCCCCCCCCCCGGAACAAGAAAAUUACUAAAUAAAAAAAUUCUAGGAAAUAUCCUAAUUUAGGAUUUACAAAUCUUCAUUGAAAAAGGAGAUAUGUUUCUUAAAAAUCUCCACUUUGGUGAGUUUUUCAAUUAAGUGACAAAAUAUAAUCCGCCAUACAUCUAUGCAACCAUGUCGUCUCCCCCUUAUUUAGUCUACCAAAACCACACUAACAUAAGACUAAUGAGAAUCACUCCACCAUGGGUAAAAUCUUGUCCUCUAUCCAGCAGCCAUAAUUUUCUACAUCGAGAAUCAUCAUACUCCACAUUAUCCAGAGUACACAUGUUUUGUAACACUCCAAAAAUUACCCACGAAAACACAAGGAUAAAAUUGGAAUGAAACUUUACAUCAUUUAUUCUUAUUAAUAAAUCUCAAGAUAGACAAUUAUUCAUACUCCAACUGAAUCCUUACAUAAAACAUCUGAAAUAAAGUCUAUAAAGAAAAGUCUCUAGUCCAAAAUAAAAAGUCUAGCCAAAUUCACUCUUGAAAGCAACUCCAAAGAUCCACUAAGAAAAAUUCUCCAUUUAAGCACCCAAGUCACAUUUCUAAUCAAUCUGCAAAAUAUUGGAGACGAGGGGUGAGCCGUCAACUCGGUAAGCAAAUCCAUGCACAAUAUUUGAAAACCUUGUAAGUUUACCUUUAAAUAUUUUAUAACAACAUCUUCAUUUAGCAUAAGGGGUGGAUUCAUAUAAAAGCAUUAAAAACAUUAAAACAUUCAUAAAAACGUUAAAACAUAAACAUUGGUAGCUCAUGCCUCGUAGUCAUCAUUAUUCAUCAUUCAUCAUUUAGGGUGUUAUACCCCGCAUUUUUCCUCAUUUAGGGUACUAUACCCCACGUUGUUCAUAAUAUCCUUGUGCACCAGAUCAUCAUCAUACCAGCAAGUUGGCCUUAGCAUUUCAUAACAUCAUAACAUUAACAUCAUAUACAUUACUACGGACUAUGAACCAAAACAUUUUUGAAUCCACCUUACAUCUUUUCAUAAAUAGCAUUUAAAGUCUUCUAAAACAUUUAAGAACUUUUCUUUUACACAUUUAAUUCUUUUAAAAAAUUCUUUAAGAAAACAUUUAAUUUUAAAAAAACUAAUUUCUUAAGAAAAAAUCAUUUUAAAAUACAUUUAUAUAAAUUCAUUUAGAAGCGUUUUUAUUUUACAAAAUUCAUUUAAAUAUUUUAGAAAUCAGUUUUGUAAAAAUCUCUAUUUAAACAUAAUUCUUAUAACAUAAUUCUCAUAACAUAAUUCGUAUUUAUUAUAAAGGACAUCAUGCAUGAAUCUACUUAUCUUGAUCCAUAGCAAUCAAUUCAAUACCUUAAGAAUAACCAACGAGGUCACCCAUGUCCUAUAAUCAUCAUAAAAAUAUUCUUAUCAAUAUCAUCUCUAACCUUAAACAUAAUCCCAGUCAUCCUUAAAUCAUAGGCACUUAUACUAGCUUAAUACUUAUACAUAUUCUAAACAUAUCCUAUACUUAUGAGUAUCCUGUACAUGCUGAUUUUUAAUAACCUAUACACAUGUCGGAAAACCAUGAAAAUUUACAGAGGCACUGUGAACAUGCAUAGCAUUGCAUACAAUAUUUCACAAAAAUCAGCACAAGUCAAAAUCGAGUCAGAAUAUUGACCUUUCACCAAAGUAACAAAAUUGUCCAGCACUGACCAAAACAGACAUUUUCCACUUAUAAAAUUCAUAAAAUUUUCUUUAGUACUCGAAAUAAUAUGUUUCUUUUUUUGAAUCACAGAAGAAACAUUCAGAAAGCACUAAUUAAAUUUCAUAAUUUUUGGACUCCUGAAACUAUUUUAAAACGUUUUAUUUCCGAGAACAUCUAACCCGUCCAGAAAAUCUCAGAGUUGAAAACAGAAUUUCAAACAUUCGUAUCUUUUAUUUUACAUGCCCAAAAAUCACGAUUCCAUUUUUUAAAGACAGAGGAAAGAUUGAAAUUUCAUUAUAAAAUCCUAACAUGACAUGUAAUAUUCAUAAACUAGCCCAACUGUUAUACGUUUCAGCUUCUGCAAUUCUGGAAAACAGUUUUCAGAUUUGCAGCAGCCACAUGUUACGGUUUUUAAUAAUUCAACCAUAAAGAAUAAAACUACGAAAUUACACAUGCAAGCAUAGGAGACAUAGAUCUGUUGAUACAAAAAUCGCCAUAAUUUUUAAGGAUGUGUAACCUUAUAGAAAAAUUUCCAGAAUUGAGAACCGCUGUUGAAAAUCGGAAUUUUCCAGCACCAGUAACCCAACUUCGAAAACCCAUAACAAUUUGCAUAAUCAGACGAUUUCAACACAAAACCUAUCAAUGGAAAGCUUAGGAUGUCUAGUUCCAUGAUAUGUAAGCAUAUUCAUGUGAUUCUAAAUAAAGAAAACGCUUUCAAGCAAGGAAUAGAGACUGUUCAUAUCAUCACAACAUUACAAACACGCAUAUAUUACCCAAAUCAUACUACAAGUAAUUAAAGGCAAACAAUUCAAAAAAAUAAAUCAUAUAAGUCUAAGAAAUAUUUAGUACCUUAAGGAAAACACUAAGGUGGCGUUUGUUUUUUAACUUAAUGACUUAAAGUGACUUAACUUAAUUAAUUAAGUUAAUUAGAGGUGUUUGUUUUUAUAACUUAAUGAGACUUUUUAGAUAAUUUUGACUUAAUAAAAUAAGCCAAUUUUUUUAGCUUUUUACUUAAUGGAGAAAUCUGAAUUAAGUCAAUUACUUACUAAUGUCAAAAAUAUCCUUGCUUUAUAAUUUAUUUUUCAUGUUUAUCCCAAACUCACCCAUAGACAUUUACCCUACAUAAAAAUAUCGAUGUUUUUCUUUCUUAUAUUAUAUACGAUAAAAUUUAAAAUUUAUGGUAUUUUAUCUAUUAAAAUUCCAAAAUAAUUAUGUAUUUACUUGAAUUUAGUUUUACUUAUAAAUGUAAAAUAUUGUGGCAUUUAAUAUAUUAUUUAUUUGAUAUUCAAAUUUAAUAAGGAUACAAAUGUAAAAGUACAUAUUUUUAACUUUUUAAGUUGAAAAAAACAAACAACUUAAUACUUAUUUUCUGAGAUUCAGAUGAAAAAACAAACAUAUUAUUCAGAUUCAGACAUUCAGAUCUAUUCAGAAUUCAGACUAAUUCAGGUAUAUUCAGAUUUUAGAUAAAAAAACAAACGCCACCUAAAAAAAGAAGUUAUAAAACUUUCUUUUCCUUCUCCAAAGACUUAUGUUUCUUUUUUUUCUUUCUAGAGUUUGUAACGGUGUAGAAAAUAAAAGACAGCUUCCUCUUAAAUACUUGUCAAUUAAUAAAUACUUUUUUAAAAAAAAUUUAAUAACUUACAUAAUUUAUUUAAAGCAAUUUGAUAAAUUUUACCCACACACAAACACUCAAUAAUAAUUAUCCUACUCAAUUUUGAUAAGGGUAAAAGUAGAAAAAUAAAUAAAUAAAUAAAUAAAUAAAAGUGGGCGUUACAUGUUUGGCAUAUGUCGAUGACAUUUCUAAAAUUACCCACUCUCAUGUUUGGCUUUUUUGAGAGUCCUCAUCAAUCAACAUAAAAAUUUCAUCUCAUACCUUGCAUAAAUACUAAACUAGGGGUUGUUUGCAUAUCUUGUGGACCAAUUAGCAAUAACACAUCCUCUUCACGAAACACCAAUAGAUGUCAUAAUUACUAUCUCUUUCUGUUGAUUUAAAACUACUUUCCAAAUUUGCUAUAUUCCAACAAUCUCUUUUAAGAUGUUUUGAUUACCUACACUCGUCCAAGGGUUUCUACUAGUGGAAUAGGCCUUACAUUGUUCUUUGCUUUACUUGUAUAGACAUAUUGAAUCAUUACGUUAUUGACUUGAGCUUCCCAUAAGCAAACAUUGAUUAUUCUGUCAAACUUUUUCGUUUCUAUCUUCAUAGGUUUUGAAAACCUCCUUGUUGCCAUAUUUGCUCUACAUUGCAACCUUAGCUACUAUCACCUACUAAGAAAUAAUUAAUCCCACUUAAGAUUCGUAAGAAAAAAAUAUCAAAUAAAUAGUAAAUAUAAAAUAGAUAGAAAAUAAAGCCAAUCAAAUAAUACAAAAUUUACAUGAAAACUUCUAUAUUGGAGAAAAACUAUAAUAGCCAUGGACGAUAAGAGAAAAAAUUAUUAUGUAAAAAUUAUUAUAAUUACUCUAGUAUUUUUUUAACACCUAAAACACCAAAAGCACCUAAUCUCUUAAUAGAACUAUCUUUUCUCUCGCAGUAAAAACUAUUUACUUACAGACAAUCGAUUGUUAUAUUAUGCAAAUAAGUAAACCUAAUCUCCAUAUAUGUGUGUGUGUGUGUGUGUGUGUGUGUGUGUGUGUGUGUGUAUGUAUGUAUGUGUAUGUAUGUGUAUAUAUAUAUAUAUACUCACACAUAUAUAGAUACCUACAUACAUACAUACAUAUUUAUAUGUACAUGUAUGUACAUACAUACAUAAAUACAUACAUAUAUACACACACACAUACAUGCAUACAUACAUACAUACAUACAUACAUAUACACACACACAUACAUGCAUACAUACAUACAUACAUACAUACAUACAUACAUAUAUGAUUUGUAUUCCUCUUUGAAUAAGUUAAGUUCUAAAGAGAAAAUUACUUAUUUGUUAAAUAUGAAUUAUCUUCAAUAAGAAAACUGAAAAGUGUAGAAAAUUCCUAAUUUAGGACUUAAAAAUCUUCUUUGAAAAAAGAGACAUCUCCCAAUAUCCUCAAAUCCUCUUUACAAUGCCACCAAAUCUCUUUUGUGACUAGCCCAGUUGAAACUUUUAAUUGAUGGGCUGUAAUUGCCAAUAUCCAAAAUAUCCAAAUAAAACAAAUUUCCAUAGGUAUAUUGGUAGAUUGAAUGACAACUAACAACACGUGAUUUGAUUAACUUAUUUCCAAAAAAAAAGAAAAAAAAAAGAUACAAUGGAUGAACAUAAGACUCUUGUGCCAACUCAUGGAAUUCAUCAAUAAGGCCUUGCCUGAUCCACCUCAUGACUAGUAGAGUUCAAACCCCCGCUAAAUACUAAAAAAAAUAUUUGGAUUAUUAAUUACUCUUUCUUAAGUCUAUUUAAACUUAACGUUGAGAAUUAUGAACGUCUACACUUUAAUUAAAACAAUACAAGCCCACCCGUUUGUAUUUAAAAUUUUGUUUGAAUUUAUUCACGAGCAACAAGAAUAGUAUAAAUGGAAAAAAAAACCAUCAAAUAAUAUCCCAUGACUUUGUUUCUUCAAUUUCAGGAGCAAUGGUGGAAUCAUAUUUUCCGAUUGAAAAACUUUUGGAAAAAUUAGUGAGCUCUACUUGUGAAGAACUUUUAUUGUUCUACGGUGUCAAAAAUGACUUACAAAAAUUAAAGGAGACGUUAACCACUGUCAAAAGUGUGGUUUUGGAUGCUGAGGAAAAGCAAAUCCAUAAUCACCGAUUAAGCGAUUGGCUGGGAAAGCUUAAAGAUGCUUGUUAUGAUGCAGAAGAUGUGUUGGAUGAAUUUGAGGUGGAAAAUCUACGAAGGCAAGUCAUGAAGCAAAGAAGCAUCGGAAGAAAGUUUCGUAACUUUUUUGGAAGCUCAAAUCCGAUAGCUUUUCGUUUUAGAAUGGGUCAUCAAAUCAAGAAAAUUCGAGAGAGAUUUGAUGAGAUUGCAAAAUUGAGGGGUGAGUUUAAUCUCAUUGAACGACUUGACGAUCAUCGGCGAGUUGUGCACAAAGAAAGGGAACCCACUCACUCGUUUGUGCUUUCAUCUGAUAUUAUUGGAAGAGAUAAAGAUAGAGAAAAGAUUAUUGAACUAUUGAUGCAAACAAGUGACGGCGAAAGUGAAACUGUGUCUGUGGUUCCUAUUGUGGGACUUGGAGGUUUGGGCAAGACUGCACUUGCAAAAUUGGUGUACAAUGAUCAAAGGGUAGAAGAGCAUUUUGAGUUGAAAAUCUGGAUAUGUGUUUCUGAGGAUUUUGAUGAGAAACAACUUAUGACAAAGAUUAUCAAGUCGAUAACUGGUCAAAACCAAGGUGACUUGGAUACAGACCAAUUGCAACGAACCUUGCGAGAUCGUUUGAAUAGUAAGAGAUACUUGCUUGUUAUGGAUGAUGUAUGGAACGAAGAUCCUGAAGCAUGGCGUAAAUUAAAAAGCUUAUUAUUGGGAGGUGCUAACGGAAGCAAAAUUUUGGUAACCGCACGUAGCAGGAAGGUUGCUUCAAUCAUGGGCACGAGGGGAGGUACUACUGGCUACAACUUACAAGGUCUACCAUUCGAGGAUUGCUUGUCUUUGUUUAUGAAAUGUGCAUUUAAAGAAGAGCGAGAUAAACAUCCAAACCUUGUUAAAAUCGGGGAAGAAAUUUUGAAAAAAUGUGGCGGAAUUCCUCUGGCAGUCAGAACACUAGGAUGUCUACUAUAUGACUCAACGGAUGAACAUUUUUGGGAAUAUGUGAGGGAUAAUGAGAUAUGGCAGUUAGAGCAAAAGGAAAGUGGUAUUUUACCUGCUCUGAGGUUAAGCUACGAUCAAUUGCCGCCUGACCUGAAACGAUGUGUUGCUUAUUGUUCAAUCUUUCCCAAGGAUUAUCAAUUUCAUGGUGAUUCUUUGGUUCAAUUUUGGAUGGCUCAUGGUCUUCUCCAAUCCCAUAAUAAGGAGUUAGAAGAUAUUGGUAUGCGGUACGUGAAGGAAUUACUAUCAAGAUCUUUCUUCCAAGAUUUGACUAUUGGGAUGUUAGGAAUGGAGACGUUCUCUUUCAAAAUGCACGAC